UAAGGUUUCUCAACCAUCAAUACUGUACUUGAAGUAGUAGUUCAUAUGAGAUAAUUGCUAGACUGUAUAGGAAUACUGAUGAAACCCGUGAAUUAAAGCUACCUGAGAAAACACAUUCUUCUUCCUUUUUGCACAUUUAUCUGCAGCUCUAACCAUCGCCACUGAAGGAAUGGAAGCUCUUCAGAUGGCUCUGUAGUUCUAUUCUCAUAAAAGCUUGACUUCCAAACAUUACCAAUGCUGGUACCAUACUUAAACGUCAAUGUAACUUGAGUAACGGCAUAUGACACUAUUUACCCUUUUUUAGUUAGAGGAUUCAUCCGGGAAAGAUUGAAAGUCAAAUCAAGAACCUUAAAAUCAACAUAAGGAAUAUUCCUGUUGCCAGUUGAGCUCGUCUUUGGAAAUUAACUAUCCUUCCCUACAAGGGGUCAUCUUUUACGGUGCUACCAUCAACGUACCUAUAUUGACGUUAGUUUCUUUUAUGUUAAUAUUUGCACAAAUGUGCAGUUUGCAUGCAUCACGGAAGCAAGGAAGAAUCCUACGGACUUUUUGCAAUCUGCUGUCAUUAAUGAGCAUACUGAGGACAAUCACCAUGCAGAGUCGUCCCUUUCCAAUCAGAAGAAGACAAGUAAUGGUAACACAUUGAAGGAUUUCGAGUCGAAGCCCGGCUCCUUUCUCUGGGGGUAUCAAGGCAACGAGGCUGAGUCUAAGUCUAAGGAGGAGAAGCCUCUUAUGAAAGGCUUUGAGUCGAAGCCCGGCUCCUUUCUCUGGGGGUAUCAAGGCAACGACGUUGAGUCUAAGUCUAAGGAGGAGAAGCCUUUUAUGAAAGGCUUUGAGUCAAAGCCCGGCUCUUUUCUCUGGGGGUAUCAAGGCAACAAUGCUGAGUCUAAGUCUAAGGAGGAGAACCCUCUUAUGAAAGACUUUGAGUCGAAGCCCGGCUCCUUUCUCUGGGGGUAUCAAGGCAACGACGCUGAGUCUAAGUCUGAGGAGGAGAAGCCUCUUAUGAAAGACUUUGAGUUGAAACCCGGCUCCUUUCUCUGGGGGUAUCAAGGCAACGACGCUGAGUCUAAGUCUAAGGAGGAGAAGCCUCUUAUAAAAGACUUUGAAUCGAAGCCCGGCUCCUUUCUCUGGGGGUAUCAAGGCAACGAUGUUGAGUCAAAGUCUAAGGAGAAGAAGCCUCUUAUAGCCCGGCUCCUUUCUCUGGGGAUAUCAAGGCCCUCUUAUGAAAGACUUUGAGUCAAAGCCCGGCUCCUUUCUCUGGGGUAUCAAGGCAACGACGCUGAGUCUAAGUCUAAGGAGGAGAAGCCUCUUAUGAAAGACUUUGAGUCGAAGCCCGGCUCCUUUCUCUGGGGGUAUCAAGGCAACCACGCUGAGUACAAGGAGGAGAAACCACUCGUGAAAGAUAAUUAAUGUCCAGGGAAGCCGCAACUUUACCUCUGAAUGGACCACGGACAUAUAUGUCUUCUAGCUGGUCUGAUUUUCUGCAUUUUCUUUAUUGGCAUGAACAUGUGUGAUAUGUAAUAAAUGCAGUUCUUCUUUCAACCAAGCGUUCUGUAUAAUUAAUUAAAUGAAAGUCAGUAGCGUUGAGUGCAUUUCUGUUUCUUUGUUUGUUGUUUCUUUUUGCCAUUUACCAUAGACAGGAAGCGCACAAAAAAGAGCACUAUUCAAGCAUGACAAGAAUCAUAGAGUGAGCGAACCAACUAUACCUUGAUAAUCUAAAAAGAGUUCUGCAAACUCGUACUCUUGUACGAAACCAGGACCAUAUAUAUAUAUAUAUAUAUAUAUAGAUAUAUCGAUUCAAUUUUCUAAUGAUGUGUGUGGUACGAACGCACAUUAGAAGUACAGAAAAUUCUAGUGUAAACUUUCACAAAAGAAGAGAAAGAAUGGAGAACUCUUGAAGCGUGAUUGAUCGCUAUUCUUAAGAAUUUAAUUAUCCAUACUACACUAAGUAUUUGCUGUAGAGAUAAAGGUAAUUUAACUUUAAGAUACAACAAGAGAAGAAGAAGUUGAUAGCAAUAUCAAGUUUCUCAAACUAAGAAAUGAUCAAAUAAUUCUAGCUAGUUUUGACAAUAAAAGGCUUGUUUUUUUACAAGUAACCUGUUUUCCACUCGUCUCUAAGUAUCCUUCGAUACGUGGCACUUAAUCCCAAUUAUUUGACUUUAAACUUCGUUCUGUGAUGUGGAUUCUAUGUGUUAGUAUAUACAAGACUGAUCUUAAACAUUACUUGAAAAUCAUAUUAUAUGUAACUGAGUACCGCAUAACUUGCAAUUAUCCACUUACGCUCUCAAUAUUAUUGGGAAAUUACAUGGAUUUUCGUUUCGGUAACUCUAAUUAUAUAGUCUCACGAUCCAUCUUAACUGAAGGGGCCAUUAUGAAUUAGAUGAACAUGAAGUUGUAUUUCGAUUCUCAAGCUAUUCCGUUCCUCUUUCUUCAUUGUAAGGAUUAGAGUCUCUUUUGGAGGGAAAAAAAAACACUCUAAUUAUACAGGAUUAAAGCAAAUAGCAAUGGUCUAUAAAAGGAUAAAAAGUAAGCAGGCUGGGGCAUAUUUAUUAAAACAUGAAAAUAAUAUGAAAUUUUAUAAUACACAUGAUACGAAAAAUAAACUGUAUGUAAAUAAUGCAAAUAUAUUCGAAAAGUACAAAGCUGAAAAUACAGCUUCAUUUACCAUGUGCAUAAUAGCUGUGUGCACAUUCCAGUGAAGAUUUUUUAUUUUUAGUGUAAGUGAGAAAUUUCGAGUUCUAAACCUUUCAUUUACACUCUCUUGUCCUAUAUCAUCCAAUCCAUCCCUUCCUAUAUUUUUAUGAAGAUGAGUACAUAAUGUGAGUUUUUAUUUUUUGAGGUGAAUAACUUGUUCACAAAAAAGUUUUCUCGAUUUAGGUAAAGUUUAAACUUUACGUUGUCUAAACAACGCAAGCAGAUGCCACUAGGACAGAAGUCAUUAUGAUGACUUCAUCCAAGGUAACAAAAAAAAGGCGUACAAUUGCACUUAAAAUUUGUGAAUUUAUAGUACUAUUUCAUGGUUUAUCGCCUCAAAGUUAACAAUAAAUAAUGUUUUGAACCCCAUUUAAACAACUUAUGAGUGUAAUUCAAAUUUAUUGCUCUAUUAUGUGUGUACAAUGUAUCAAAACAAAAGAGUAGCAAAUUGUGUUUUAUUGCACUUUUUGUUUAGCUAGCUUCAUGCAAAUUAACCUUCGUAGAUUAUAGGUAAAGAAUUGGUUUGCCAUUCAAUGUAUCCAAGAAAUAUGUGUUAGUACAUAAUGUUUAUUUUAAUGGAUGUACUGGUGUAAAACAAAAUUACAAAUUAUUAAGUUUUAAACUUUACAAGUACUUAAAGGACAAUAAUUUUUUAUUAAAUUAAAAUUUUCCGUUCUGUGAUUUGGUAGUUUAUCUUAUAACCCCUCUAUAGUUUAAAAAUCUGUAAUCAACCUCCUCAUAAUCUGGGUUAACAUAUCAUCAUUAAUUUUUCUAAAGUUUAAGCAAAUUAAUAUAUUGAAAAAUUCAUCCUUUCACUAAUUCUUUGAGGUAGUUACAAAAGUAUUACAAUUAUUAUACACCUUAAACUAUGUAUUUGUUUUCAAGUAAACACAAAAGAUGCAGCAAACCAUUUUUAGCCAAGUUAAUAAAAUUGCAAAUGUAACAAUAUAAAGCACCUUAUGAAAAGUUACUCUAUAUGAUUAAGAAAAUAAUUUAUAUUUAUUAGAAUGGGAAAAAGUUGCCAGAAGAGGGAGAGACCAUAAGAAAAAUAGUUUAGAGUGAACUGCAUCAAUCAUGCCUUCCAUCAGGGAAAAAAAGGGGUUAAAUAUCAAAAACCGCCAUGGAGUUUGCCUAAUGUUUACUUUACCUCCCUAUGGUUUGGCAACCUACAAUUUGACUUCCUGUAGUUUCAACUAAAGUAAAAGUCUGACAGAAAACAUCUAAACUAACGUCUGAAAGGAAAAUGUCAAAAUUGCCCCUCUAUAAGGGUUUUGGGUUAAGCACCAAAAAUCCCCCUGUGGUUUGUCAAAUGUACACUUUACCUCCCUAUGGUUUUAAAACAUACAAUUUAACUCCCUGUCGUAUCACCUAAAGUGAAAAUCUAACAAAAAUUCCGUUAAAUACACUUUAGUUGAAACGACAGGGAGUCAAAUUGUAGGUUUCCAAAUUAUAGGGAGGUAAAGUAAACAUUAGGCAAACCACAGAGGGGUUUUUGGUAUUUAACCCAAAAAAAUGAUAGAUGUGCGUGUAUAUAGGUGACGGGACUUUUAUAUCAAUGCAAGUUUAAAUCCGAUUUUAUACUCGUUGACUACAAAUAUACAGGCCGAAAUCGUAAUGUAAGGUGUGUAUCGGGUCAAUCCCACGAGGAGCAAAUUAAAUAAGUACUAGACCCUUAUUUUUCUCUAUUAUUUAGACUUACAAUAAAUUUGAGUAAAAAAUUUAUAAUGCUAUUGUCUACAACUCUGGUUUAAUCAAUGUUAAAUGCAAAUGGAGAAAUUUCACAAAAGAUUGAAUCUUGGGAUGUAGAUUCCACUUAUGGCAUAAACAACACAAAUGAAUAGAUUUACCUUUUGUUAUUUUUCUUGUUUAACCAGGGAUUCAUUUCCAAUAUUACCAAAUCUCAUUCUCAUGAUGAAAUGGCCUAGAGCAAUAUAGUUUUCCCUAUUUUCAUGGUGAAAUACUAGUUCUACUCUGUUUUCCUUCAUGAAAUGCUAGAAAAUGCACUUAAGUGUACAUCUAUUUUCAUGAACAUACAACUCAAGCUCUACUCAUGUUUUUCCAUUGUUACUAUCAAUUUUCAUUGACUAAUAACAACUAUGAACAUGCUAUUGGUGAUCAAACAACCACAAGUAAUUACAACUGCACAAAUAGACAAGUUAAUACAAGAUAUAACAAGUGUAAAUCACAUUCAAUUCAUAUUAUUUAGCCAUAAGUUUUAUCUACUCCCUAGAUAAAGAAAAUUAACUACUCAUGAAUGAGAUAAAAAUCAAACUCACAAGUUCAUUAAUGCAAAACAUCACAAAGUACAAUUACAAGAAAGAUAAAAGAAAGCUUAGCCAAUUAAUGGUGAAGCCCUCAAAUUUCUGCUAUGUUCUUGUAAAAGAUGAUUACAAGAUGAGUCUCCAAUUGCUUCCUCAAGAACUCUUCACUAAAGAGAAACUUGUUGCAAGAAGAAAAACUAGUUAUGUAUGGUCAUCUCUAGCUUCUCCAUUCUAUCUCUGCAUAAAAGGUGGUAGAAAGACAUUUUUUUUUCUCCUUCAUGACUUCAACCACUUAGAUUUUGUAAAGGAAGUCAAAAGAUAUGUUGUUUUGAUUAGUCAAUAACUCAUUUGGUCUUCUCUUUUGUUGCAGAAGCAUGUGCCACCGAAUUUUCUCUCCCAAGAUAGCUGGAACGUUGUGUGAAAAGUGAGAAAAAACAGCUGCGCCACUUGCUGAAGAGAGAGGCGGAUCCGAGCCUUGGAUCAGAAGGGUGAAGAUCGAUCCGAGAACUUUCUCUGAUGGAUCCGAGCUCGGAUUGUAUGACUUCGGAUACACUGCUCCAGAAGUACAGACGAGAGCUCGGAUCGCCCUUUACUCACACGGAUCUGACCUCGGAUCUGUGCUGAUGAAUUUCCAGUUUUUUACUUCUUCUCUUUUCUCUUCAUGUUUGUUCCUAGUUUCUCUUGUACUUUAUCCUCGGGACAAUUCUUACAAUUCCUUCAUCUCGUGCAUGAAUUCUAUAUAUCAAUGUCCUUCAUAAUUUCACAAAAAUUAACACAUUAAUCCACUUACUUAUCAAAUUUUAAACACUUAAAUAAUAUUUAAUCAAUUAUCACCAAAAGAGUUCAAAUAUGGCUUUAAUCUUCUCAAAACAUACCAAAAGUUUAUGCCAAACUUGUACAAAAUAUACGUUAAAUAUUCACUUAUUAAAUUCCCCACACUUGAAUCAUUGCUUGUCCUCAAGCAAUUUCACACAUAACUUACCAUAAUGAUUCAAGAGAUAAAACAAUAUACGUACUCUUGUCAAAUUUAAUUUCUCAAAAACCUAGAAAUCAAUCAUUAUGCCAUUUCUCAGAUUAUACUAAAUACUCAUAAUAUCAAGUUAAAGAAAGAUAAUUAUGCAUUAAUUUUAACAACUUCAAAUCAAUCUCUCAUUCUAUCCUAAUUUCACAAAUAAGUAAAUCGCAUAGUCAAUUCUAUGGCCUUCCUGAUCCCAUGACCAUCAAAACUUAACAAUUGAGAGGGAUUUAUUCACACUUCAUUAUUUUUAAAUAGUGAAAUCGCCUUUUUAUGCGAAAAUCGACACUUUUAGGUGAAGAUUCCCGGUUACUCAACAUUUCACUUAUUCAAAUUGCUAAGCAUACUCUUAAUUCCAAUACCUUUUUACGCGAAUGUUAAUAUUUGUAAAUGCCAACCCCCGGUUACUUAGUAUGUGAAUCAUUAGAGUAGAAAAAUAAUAUCAAUAUAUAUAUAUUUUUUUAAUAUUUUUCUUUUCCCUCUAAGCAUAAUUAAAGGAAGAAUCUAGCCUUGUCUUGACUAUAUCAAUCACUGAUAGGGUGUUAAUUGUUAGCAAUUUUAUUGUUAAUUUUUCCUUUUAUCCUUGCCAAAUAAUGUUUUAAUUAUUAAUAUUUACUUAUAUUUGGUUUGUGGACUUAAAUCGAAUGAACCAUCUUCAAAUGGCUGAUUCAAUGCAUCAGCCACUUCAAAAGAUAUCUGCUACGUAUGUUAUAGCAGCUGUUACGAAAAGGAAGCAACACUACUGAUCGAUCUUCAUAAUGUAUAUAUAUUACUUGGAACUUGCAAGCAAGUUCCGAGUCAUUUUACUAAAUUUAUUUGAAAUAAAGAUUUCAUCUGAAUUUAAGACUUGACAUAAUCAACAUUUCUAUAUAUAAAAAAAUUUUCUAUACGCUAGCAUACUUGAUGACUAAUCUUAAUUUGACUUUGAAACUUAUGCUUUGCACAUAUGAUAUGCAUUCAAAUCCAAUAGUGUCUAAGUUGUUAGUUAGUCUAUAGAGGUUAAUCAUAUAUAUUUAUAGAGUAAAUGGCAAAAAGUGUGACUAAACAAUUAACCUUUUAUGUCUUCUGGUCACUAGACUAUUUUUUAGUUUAGGAUUUUAACAUAAUUCAGUUAAAGUCCCUAAUUCUGUGAUUCAUGUAUUUUUACCCUCAAUUGGAUAUUUUUACCCCUAUAAGCACGCUAUUUCUUGUCCCGGGACUACCUUUCCAUUUGUUCUAACUCCAAAAUUUGACCAAACACAAAAAAGCUACAAUUUUGUUAGUUGACUAAUAUUUUUGGCUAAAAAAAUAGUUUAGUGAGUAAAUGAUGUAAAAGUUAAUAGUUUAGUAAUAUUUUUUGCCAUUUGCUCUAUAUAUAGAGUUUUUCUCUUUCCAAAUAAUAGUUAUUUAUGGAUCAUUUGGAACUCAAGUUAAACCUAUUUUUGUAUAUAAAUUUGAUAAAGUUCAGUCAUAAUUGGCACUACAAGAAAUUUGGCCUUUUGUGACAACAGAAAAGUUGUCACAGUUGAGCAAAUUUAGUGACGACUUUAGGUGUUGUCAUAGUUGACCGAGAGUACACUCAUCAUCAUUUCCAACACGGGAUUAAUUGUCACAAUAUGGGUGGCGUGCAACUGGCCUGUGUGGUGGGAAAUCACCAUUGUGAUGACUUGAAAAAAUAUUGUCACUGAAAUGGGCUCUACAAUGACUACUUACAAUGUUAUCACAAUGUGGUUACCGGUUCAAAGUUAGUGACAACAAUUAGUUGUCACUGUCUAAAGUAAUUGGUCAUAACUCACUUUCAUUAAUUCUACUAUGCCACCCUAAUUUUUUCAAUAUUUUCCCAUAUGUUGUAAAUAAAUUUUAUUAAUUCUAUUAUGGCACCCUAUCUUUUAUAUUUUAGCCCCGUAUGCAGUAAACUAAUUUCAUUAACUCUACCAUAACACGUUAUCUUUUGCAAUUUAGCCUCAUGUGUAAUAAACUAAUUACAUUAAUUCUAUUAUGGCACCCGAUCAUUUACAAUUUAGCCUAUGUUUUUCAUUAGUAAAAUGGGGAAGGUAUUGUAAUAAAAAUGUAUACAUAUUUUAUAAUUGUUCCAAACUUAGUUAGUAACUUGUUAUGAAGGUAAAACAGUAUCAUGGACUCCCUAUCUAGUUCUCUUGGCAACACAUGAAAAAUUAGUGAUCAGAAAAUUACUUGUGUGAUGACCUAGGAAAAUGUUGUCACUAAAUGGUCCAUAUAGUGACAACUUCCAACAUCGUCACUGUCGCUCAACCGGUUCAGAGGUAGUGACAAUAAUUAGUUGUCACUGUCUAAAGUACUUGGUCCUAGAUCAUUUUCAUUAAUUCUACUAUGUCACCCUAACUUUUGCAAUUUAGCCCCAAAUGUAAUAAAAAAAUUUCAUUAAUUCUACUAUGACACUAUAACUUUUGUAAUUUAACCCCAUAUGCAGUACACUAAUUUCUUUAAUUCUACUAUUACACCCUAACUUUUACAAUUUUGUCCCAUAUGUAGUAUACCAAUUUCUUUAACUCUACCAUUACACCAUAACUUUUGCAAUUAAGCCCUAUAUCUAAUUCGCCAAUUUCAUUAAAUCAACUAUGGCACUGUAACUUCUGCAAUUUAACCCUAUAUGUAAUAUACAAAUUUCAUUAUUUGUACUAUCACCCUAUGGUGUUGCAAUUUAGCGAUUUUUUUAUUAGCAAAAUAUAUAAGUUAUCUUAAUAAACUAUAUAUGUAUACAUAUUUUAAAAUUUUCCCAAACUUAGGUAAUAAUUUGUUAUAAAUGUAAAAAAAUUCAUACAUUCCCCAUUUAUCCAAAUGACAACAUGGUGAAAAAUUAAUAAUUUGGAUAACCUAAAAACAGAGGUAGUCAAUAGUAGAAUUUAAAAAUAAAACUUAAUAUGAAAUUAAGUCUAAUCCUAACAUUUGCAUGAUCAAAAGGUUGUUAUUAAUUAUAGAAGCCACAUUUAUCAUUCAUGAAUUAGUACAUAUACCAAAUAGAUAGAUUUAGCAUUUCAUACAUGUAUUUGUAAACUAUUUUAAUUGUUCAAUCAACUAAUUCAAUUGUCAGGUCUUGUUAGACUGCAAGUCAUACAUAAUUGAUAACACCACAAAAUGAGUACCAAAAAGAUUUUAAUUAAAAGAGUGUUUAUUUUUUUGAAUCAUAAACAUAUUUCUAACAAUAUUUUUUAUUUUUUGAACUAUUUUAUUGUAUAAUAAAUUAGAAAAAGGCCUAUAUUAGUUAAAAUUGGUAAAAAAAAAUCCGCCUAAAUACACUAAAUUGUCAUAUUCUAUUAUUUUAACACAACCUAAGAGUAAAAAUAAUAAUAAAACUCAAAACAAUAGAAAAACUUAAUUACAUAAAGAUGAGAAAAAGAAAAGAGAGAGAGAUAGGUGAAAGGACAAAGAAAGCAUGCACUUCUUGCAUCUAAAUAAGGAAAAGACGUGCUUUUAUAUGUACGGAACUAAGAGCGGCAAACUAAAAAAUUCAAAUGGUGUGGCGGGCUGAAGGGAUUUUAGGGAAACGACACCGUUUGAUUCUAUGUCCUAAUAACUUAGGCAAAAUUUAAGACUUCUUCUUCCUCUUUUAUUGUCCUCCUUACGUCACCGAGAAUGCCCUCCUUAUGUAUCAAACUUGCACUACCAAAUCCAUCCAUAAACCAAUUAGUGCAACACUUUGAAUUUGGGCAACUUUAUUGAACUUGCACUACCAACAUCCCUAAUUCACCUAUUGCACUGCCUUGGUGGCAAGAAAUCAGAAAUUAGGCUUACCUGGUUCAGAGUCACCCGAGAGAGAAACAGGACAUGGUGGAGAAGAUAAGAACGGGUACCGACUUGGUGUACUUAAGGGUUUUGUUUCAGGAGCCAAAAGGGGCUUUUUUGACACCAUUAACGGUGGUUCUGGCAAGUGGGUUUAUCCUGGGAGUGGUGGAUCUGAGGUGAACUUGGCUAAUGGUGGUGGCUUGUUCUCUCCCAAGGGUGCUAAUGGCGCUGCCAAGAGUAUUGGUGCUGGUGGAGUUGAGGGUGGAAGUCAGCAAACUUUUGUGGGUUCUGGGGUUGGAAAAGAAACUGUUCCUCAGUCACCUAAGCCGUUUAGGAGAAGAAGCCUUAGGUUUCUGCUGUUAAUGGUCAUGCUGCAGCCCCUGCCGCUAAGUAAAAUUUUCUGCUUUCCUCUGUUGUUUGAGAUUAAAACUACCAUGCUUCCUUAAUUCUUUUAAAGUUAGAGUAGCAGCAUGAUUGUAGAGUUAGUUGUUUUGGUCCUCUAGGUACCGUUGCCGUUCAUGUCUCCUUUGUUGAUUUUUGACCUCGUUAAUAAGUAGUUAUUACUCCAUUCAAUUUUUUUUUUCUUCUUAACUAGCUGAUACAAGAUAAUUCUUUGGUUGUUAUUGUUAGGACCGGUCCAAGAAUAAACAAACUAAAGUUAUAACAAAAUAGGCGGUAUAACCGAUCAUAUAAAGAUUAGGCAGUAGACACUAGCCAUAUAAUAAUUAGACGGUAAAACCGACCAUAUAAAAGGGUUAUGACAACCCAAUAAAGACAAAUAAUAAAGCAAAAUAAAUAACACAGAAAUUUAUGUGGUUCGGUCAAAUUGACCUACGUCGACAGGCGAGGGAGGAGUAAUAUUUCAACUAUGAAGAAAAAAUACAAAAGCAGUAGAAAAGUGGUUCCUAGGCCAAAAUGACACUUACAAAAGAUUUAGAAAAUAUUUCUAAACUUAAAAUAAGAGAGUCUAAAAUAUUUGACUAUAAAUGGGUUAGAUGACCCAAGAAACUAAUAGCCCAUAUAAUGCUCUCUUGAGUGGUGCAUUUAAAAUCUUCAUAAGCCUUCUAUAUUUAUAGGUGAAUUUAGGAGGCUUUCCUUAGGCUUCAUCCGAUGUAGGAUAAAAUUUUUCCACACACAAGUCAAAGAUUGCGGUUUGAAAAAUCAACAAAUCUCCACCUUGGCAUAAUUUUAGUUCCACCAUCGACAAUAGCACAACUGUUCCACCUUCUCCACAUAAGCCCUGAUGGGCCUAAAUCACUAACAAUGAACACCAACCAAGUCCAAGCACUGUUUGAACUUAUAAACUAGAAGAGGUUUCGUAAACAUGUCAGCAAGAUUCUCCUUGGUACUGAUUUUCUGAACAAGGACUUUCCCUUCAGCAAUGAUAUCCCGUAUAAAGUGAUAUUUCACAUCAAUAUGUUUCGUCCUCUCAUGAUACAUCUUAUCUUUAGUCAAGUGUAUGACACUUUGACUAUCACAAUGAAUAACAGUAACACCUUGACGUAGACUAAACUCGCUAAACAAACUCUUCAACUACGAGACUUCUUUGAUUGUCUCGGUCACAGCCAUAUAUUCUGCUUCUGUAGUAGACAAAGGUACGACAGGUUGUAGAGUAACUUUCCAACUGACAGCACAAUCGCUAAUGCAAAAUACAUAGUUUGAAAGUGAUCUUCUCAUGUCAAGAUUCCCAGUGUAGUCUGAGUCUACAAAACCAACCAAAGUGUUAUUAUUUUUUCCAAACCCCAAGCAUGCAUUUGAACUACCUCACAAGUAUCUAAAAAUCCAUUUCACUGCCUGCCAAUGUAUUUUUCCAGAACAAAAUAUAUAUCUGCUAACAACACUGACUGUUUGUGCAAUAUCUGGAUGAGUACAAACCAUUGCAUACAUAAUACUGCCGACUGCAUUGGAAUAACGAACCUGUACCAUAUAUUCUUCCUCUUCAUCUGAUUUUGGUGAUUGAGCAGCAGAUAGUCAAAAAUGGCUAGCAAGAGGAGUAGAUAUUGGUUUAGCAUCUUUCAUAUCAAAACGUUCCAAGACUUUCUCAAGGUAAUUUUUCUGAGUCAAGAACAACUUCCCUACUUCUUGAUCUCGGUUGAUAUCCAUGCCAAGAAUUUUCUUAGCUGCUCCCAAAUCUUUCAUUUCAAAUUCACUAUUUAACUGCAGUUUCAAAGUGUGAAUUUCUGACAAAUUCUUGACAACAAUGAGCAUGUCAUCAACAUAAAACAGCAAAUAAAUAAAAGAACCAUCAUUUAACUUCCGGAAGUAAACACAAUUAUCAUAAAUGCUCCUUGAAUAACCAUGACCCACACAUAAAGGAAUCAAACCUUCUAUACUAUUGUCUUGGAGAUUGUUUCAAUCCAUAUAAGGAUUUCUUUAAUAAACAAACAUGGUCUUCCUUACAUUCAAUUUUAAAACCCUGGGGUUGUUUCAUAUAAAUUUGUUCUUCAAGUUCGCCAUAUAAGAAAACUGUCUUAAUGUCGAUCUGUUCUAACUCCAAAUUAUACAUGACAACUAAAGCAAGCAAAACACGAAUAGAACAAUGUUUAACAAUAGGUGAAAAAAUUUCAUUAAAAUCAACGCCUUGUACCUGAUUAUAACCCUUUGCAACUAAUCGUGCUUUAUACCUCGCAUCUUCAACCUCUGGAAUACUUUCCUUCUUCUUGAAAAUUCAUUUGCAUCCAAUAAUUUUCUUAUCUGAAGGCGGCUUUACAUGAACCCAAAUUUCAUUCUGAUGAAGAGAUUCAAUUUCUUCAUUCAUUGCAAUCAACCACUUUGCAGAAUCACCACAAGAAAUUGCUUCUGAAUAGGUGGAAGGCUCACCAACUGCAUUAGUUUCUUCUGCAACAGACAAAGCAUAUACAACUAAAUUUGCAUAUAUUUGUGAUGGUCGAAUGUCUCUCUUUGGUCUAUCUCUGGCUAUGGAAUAUUUCUCUUCAUCUAAACUAUCUUCAACAGUAGAUUCAGGUGUAUCUACAGGCAUUUGUUGAAUAGAAGAUUUGGUCUGAGAAGGACUAGAACUGCCAAUAUCAAACUCCACCUGCUUCUGUGUACUAUCAGUAGUACAAGAACUAGAAGACUCCUUUUUAGAAGAUAACAUAGACAAUUCAUCAAAAGUAACAUAUCUACUGAUCACAAAUUUUAGAGAUUUGGGAUCAGGAUACCAUAAUCUAUAUCCUUUCACUCCAGAAGCAUACCCAAGAAAAAUGUACUUUUUAGCUUUAGACUCCAAUUUUCCAUCAUUCACAUGCAUGUAUGUUGGACACCCAAAAACUUUUAAAUUGAAGUAAUCAGCAGGAGUACCUGACCAAACUUCUUCAAAAUUUUUGAAUUCAAGAGAUGCAGAAGGAGAACGGUUGACAAUAUAACAGCCCAUAUUGAUCGUCUCUACUCAAAAGUCAUUUGUCAAUCCUGCAUUGGAGAUCAUACAUCUUGCUCUCUCCAAAAGCGUUCUGUUCAUACGUUCGACCACACCAUUUUGUUGAGGUGUCAUUCUGACAGUACGAUGCCGAACAAUUCCUUCAUUUUUGUAAAAUCUAUCAAAUUCACCUUCACAAAUUUUCAUGCCAUUAUCUGUUCUCAACCGCUUAACAUGUUUUCCUGUUUGUUUCUCAAUCAAAAUUUUUCAUUACUUGAAAGUUAGGAAAACAUCAUUUUUAUGUUUAAGAAAAUAUACUCAAACUUUUCUUGAAUAAUCAUCAAUGAAAGUUGUCGCGCCCCAUUUUUCGCGAUGGAAAAGAAAGUGUUUAUAAAGAAAGUGUUUAUAAAAAGAUGUGAUUUAUUAAUAAUAGAUAAAAAAAAAGGACCUAGAAUGGGACUUAAAAAGAAUGCGACAAUUUGGGUCCAAAAUUUAGUCUAAAAGGGUUUUUAAGAAAAAAUAGGAGUCGCCACUUGGUAUGGGGUUUUGGUGUACCAAGUCACCCAAAAAAUAUUUUUGACAAAAAUAAAAUAAAACCCUUUUCGACAACUCCAGGUCUUUGAAAACAGAGAAAAUGAGUUCGGGAGUCACGGUUGAAGAAAGGGAAGGCAAAGGUUCAAUUAAUUCAAACCUAAGGCACCCUUUCAACCUAGUCUAAGCUAGUUGCGAGGUUUAGCCAAAAUUUUCCUAAUCUAACCCUUGAUUUUAUCAUAUUUGGAUGUUUCUUACAUAGAUGCAAACCUAAAUUUAUAAAAUAUCGAAAAGAUCAAAAUGUUCAUUCAAGGGUUUAAUUGAACCAAUCACAUUAAUUGCGAAGGCCAAAAUAAUUCCUUGAAUGUGUCACGAGUAUGCAAAUGAUGAAAUUAAAAGAAAAGAAAAGAAAAUUAAAUUAUAUACAUAAGGUAUAAGUGAGCAAAGAAAAAUGAAUGCAAGCAUAACGGGUAUGGGGGACAAAAAUUCGUGACAUGAUUUUCUUAUGUAGGGAUUAAUGGAGUAUUUAAACUAAAAAAUUAUAAUCACCCCAUUUCCCAUAUUCAAAGAAUAAUUCUCCUAAUAUGAACAGGCAAAUGAACUAAUUUAAAUGAAAUGCAAUUCUAAAUGACAUGAUUAACACAUAUAGAGGAUAUGGGAUAAUAAAAUAGGGAAUAUCAUGCAAAUGAGAAAAGAUCCUAAAAAUGAAAAUAUGCAUGAAAAUGUGGUGAAUAGUAUACAAUGAUGAAUCUAGCGCAAAAUGACCUAAAGGGUCUAGCGUUGGACUAGCCCAUUUCUAAAAAUCCUUGCUAGCGUUGGACUAGCAAGUAAGCGGAGGGAGAAACCACAACUAGCGUUGGGCUAGUGUGGUGACGUCAUGCAUUAACAAUUCAUAGUGAAACAAAUAAAGCAUAAAUUAAAACAAAUAAACACAUAAGAGCACGUAGCACGUAACACGUAAGCAUAAUAUCUAGAUGCGAAAAUCCUAAGGAAAGCGGAUAAAACACAUAACACAUAAGCCACAUAAACACGCAACCUAUCUAUUACAUCGGGGAGCGCCUAACUACAAUCUAGAAGGGAAAAAUAUAAUAAAACAAAUCUAAUUAUCCUAUCUAUUACAUUUUUGAGGUAAUUAAAUGCCUCUUGAAUCAUUAUAAAAAAUUAACUAAACGAAUAUAAUAUAAGAAAAUUUAAAUGAACAUUUAAAUGCAAUAAAUAAAACAUAUAAAAAUAGAUAAACACAUAGGAGCACAUAGGAGCACAUAAGAGCACAUAAUUGACAUUGAAACAAUAAAAAUAGGGGUACCUCCCGUUUGAAGUGGUGACUAAAUGGAGUCAAAUUGUCCUAUUUAUACUCACAAUGAACAAAAGAAUCAUGGCACCACUUUAAUUGAAAAUAAUAAUAAUGUUAAAACACUAAAUUCACAUUAACACGUCAAACGCAAAGAAAUUUAAGAGCAUCUAAAAAUUGCAAGUUAAAUAUAUUCAAAAGUAACAUAAUUAGCUAUUAAAGAAAAGAAGCAAUCACAAUAAAAAAAAGAGUCAAAAUUCAUUAGGGACUGAAUUGCAAAAAUUGAAAAACUUUUGGGGACAAAAAUUAUAUUUUUCUAAAGUUCAGAGGUCAAAAUUAAAUAAAAGAUAAAAUUCAGGGACCAAAAUGCAAUUACUAUAAGGACCAAAGUGAAAGAAAUCAAAAUGUUCUGGGCCGAAGUGAAACUACUCCAAAGAUCAGGGGCUAAAGUGCAAAUUCGUUAUCAGAUCUUCUUAAGAAAACAGGCCACUGGGCCAUCAUUUUUAUUUCUUUGGGCCAAACAUUACCUAAGCCCAGCCGAAAGUCCAAGCCAAAACACAAGGCCAGCCCGUCUUCUAUCACUCAGACCCAACCAAAAUAAAGGCAUGGGCUCUGACCUUCUAGCCCAACCGAAAUUAAGAAACAAAACCAAAACCCAUUUACAAAACCCAACCAAAACUAACUCUUGGCCCAUCAGAAAAAUAAACAUCAGCCCAAAUCCUUUUUUUUUUUCUUUCUUUCUUUUCUUUCUUUUCUUUUCUUUCUUCUCUUCUUCCUCUUUUCUUUCUUCUUCUUCCACCGAGAAGCUGAAGCUUCUCCCUGCUGGCGGCCAUGGCGGCUGCCGGUGGCGCCGCCGCCGCCGACCGCCACCGCCGGUGACCUCUCCGGUCACCAAAAAUCCUCAAAAUACACCCCCUCACUCGAUUUUUCGCGUAGACUCCAUUUCCGGAGUUAGUUUUUACAAAAAAUGAGUCGAAAGCGGUCAAAAUGCCAAGAAAUCAGUUCAGUUUUUUAUUUUUUAAAACCUUCACAUCUUCACCAAAAAUCAUAAAAAUUAUGCCAAAACCCUCCUGAUAACUUCUACAUUACAACUAUAAUCUUAGUUUGACAAAUAAACAACAACAAAAUAAAGCAUUAAGUCAAAACAGCCCCAAAAAUGAAGAAAAUUAUUCUAAUGCUUUGAAGGCUCAAAAACUCCCAAAAUUUUGGAUAACCAAGCAUUUUCAGAUCUUUGCUAGCUAAUGGUCAUCCAUUUAAGCAAAACAUACACACCAAAUUCACUCCUUUGAUUCAUUUUUUCAUUCAAACAUUUUUUCAAACAUUUGGCAUGCAUUCACAGCACCGUUUCUUUUUUCCUAAUUUUGUUCAUGACCCAUCCCAAAAUUUCAUCCAUACAACACCAACAAAAACCAGCAAAAAUAAGCAAUAAAAAAAGUAACCACACAUACAUUCAAUCUAGUUAAUUAAAAAAAGAAAAGCUGGAAAAAAGGGAGAUAAAUACCUCAAUGAAGAGUUUGGUCCCUUUGCCAAGAUUUUUGAUGAAAUUGCCAAGCUCCAAUCCAACCGAUUGCUGCCUUGUUGUGUGCAAAUGUGUUUGGAUUUUGUGGAAGAAAAUGUGUAGAGGGAGCCCCCUUUUUUUUUUUUUGUUCCUCUUGUCUGAUGAGGGAGAGAGCCGAGAGAGCAAAUUGAGCCAAAAGGGUGGAGUCUUUUUUUUCUUGUCCUCUGUCCGUGAGAGCCGAGAGAGGAGAUUGAGGAAGUAGUUUUUUUUUUCUUUUGUUUGGUUUUUGUUCUCGUCUGUUAAGAGCUAGCCGAGAGAGGGAGGGAAAAUUUUUUCCUUUCUUCCUUCUUCUGUCCUGGAGAGAGCCGAGAGAUGUCUUGUAGCCAAAAUGGAGCUUGUGUGCUGAAUCUUCCAAAAUGAUGAUUUCUCAAUUAAUGAAAAGACAAGUCCAUGGCCAUUGAGUGUGAAAUGGGUUAAUAGUUAAUUUGGUGAAACAAAAUGAUCAAAAUGAUUUUUUGAUUUUUUUUUUGAUUUUUUUUGAUUUUUGUUGUUUUGUUGUUUUUUUUUUCUCUUUUUGUAAAGCAAACCUGCAAAAAUGAGAAAAUGUACAUUAAAAUACAAGAAAAUAAAUAACUUAUUAAAUAGAAAAAUCCUGGAAAAUAUUAAAAAUUGACAAAAAUUUGGUGUCUACAGCUUGCCCCUCUUUGUCUAGAGUUUCAAAGAAACUCAAGACAAAGACGUAGACACCAAAUUGCUUAUCUGUCUCUUGUAGCUGCACCUGAACUAAAAUAAACAAACCAACACUUGGCUGAAAUUAUUGGACAAAAUGAUGCAAUAACAUUGCAGAAAAUGUGACCGGACCCAUGUAGAGUUGCCUACGUAUCCCACCAUGGGAAUCAGGUCAAACGUAGUUCGAAUUACAAGUGAAUCACAAUGAAACAAGUGCAUUGACCAACUGUGGUCUUUGCAAAGUCGAAAAAGUCUGAGCUCUCAGAACUUCUAAACAUGAAACACCAAAUGAAUGAGAAAGCACAACAAUUAUUGGUCAAAACAGUCAAGAAAAGUAACUUGUCAUAAUUAGAAAAAGAUGCGCGGAGGGACGCGAUUACGCUCCAAGAAGGGGGAUAGAAGGGUACGCGGCGGACGCUGAGACUCACCAACAAAAAUUAAAUUGAUCUUUUUAGAAAAAGAUGCGCGGAGGGACGCGAUUACGCUCCAACAGGAAAUUAAAUUGUCAAGAAAGGGGAUAGAAGGGUGCGCGGUGGACGCUGAGACUCACCAACAGAAAUUUAAAUUGUCAAGAAGGGGAAGUAGAAGGGUGCGCGGUGGACGCUGAGACUCACCAACAGGAAAUUAAAUUGUCAAGAAGGGGAGGUAGAAAGGUGCGCGGUGGACGCUGAGACUCACCAACAGGAAAUUAAAUUGAUGCGCGGAGGGACGCGAUUACGCUCCAACAGAAAAUUAAAUUUGUCAAGAAGGGGGAUAGAAGGGUGCGCGGUGGACGCUGAGACUCACCAACAUGAAUUUAAAUUGUCAAGAAGGGGAGGUAGAAAGGUGCGCGGUGGACGCUGAGACUCACCAACAGGAAAUUAAAUUGAUGCGCGGAGGGACGCGAUUACGCUCCAACAGAAAAUUAAAUUUGUCAAGAAGGGGGAUAGAAGGGUGCGCGGUGGACGCUGAGACUCACCAACAUGAAUUUAAAUUGAUGCGCGGAGGGACGCGAUUACGCUCCAAUAGACAAUUAAAUUGAUGCGCGGAGGGACGCGAUUACGCUCCAACAGAAAAUUAAAUUUGUCAAGAAGGGGGAUAGAAGGGUGCGCGGUGGACGCUGAGACUCACCAACAGGACGUUGAGACUCACCAACGCGCGAAUUUAAAUUGAUGCGCGGAGGGACGCGAUUACGCUCCAACAGAAAAUUAAAUUGUCAAAAGGGGGAUAGAAGGGUGCGCGGUGGAACGCUGAGAACUCACCAACAGGAAAUUAAAUUGGCAUUCUUUUUCAACAAUUUGAACAAAGGCUCACAGGUAGAGGUUAACUGUGCAAUGAAUCGGCCAAUGAAAUUGAUCUUUCCAAGAAAACUUUCACAUCUUUUUGACUUUUUGGAAUGGGCAUAUCUCGAAUUGCUUUUAUUUUCGCAGGAUCUAUCUCUAUACCCUUUUUGCUGACAAUAAAACCCAAUAACUUACCAGCCGGAGCUCCAAAAGCACAUUUUGCAGGGUUCAACUUCAAAUUAUACUUCCUCAAUCUUUCAAACAGCUUCUUUAAAUCAACCAAAUGGUCCUCAACCUUCUUGGAUUUAAUUAUGAUAUCAUCCACAUAACCUCCAUCUCUUUGUGAAUCAUGUCAUGGAACAGGUAGUCAUGGUCCUCUGAUAAGUGGCUCCAGCAUUCUUCAACCCGAAAGGCAUCACUCUAUAACAAAAGUUCCCCAUGGGGUGAUAAAAGAGGUUUUCUCUCUGUCUUCUUCUGCCAUUAAAAUUUGAUGAUACCCAGCAAAACAAUCACCAAAAGAUUCAAUUUCGUGUCCAGCAGUAUUGUCCAAAAGAAUAUGAAUGUUUGGCAAAGGAAAAUCGUCUUUCGGACUGGCCUUAUUCAGAUCUCUGUAAUCAACACAUACUCGCACCUCCCCAGAUUUCUUAGGCACUGGCACAGGAUUCGAUAACCAGAUGGGAUAAUGAGACACCAUGAUUAUCUUAGCAUUGAGCUGCUUCACAAUUUGUUCCUUUAUUUGAGACUCAUUUCUGGUUUGAAUUUACGUGGCUUCUGCUUUACAGGUAAAAAAUUUGGAUCGUUGGCAACCUGUGAACCACUAUGUCUGUAGAGAUCCCUGGCAUAUCAUCGUAUGACCAUGCGAACACAUCUUGAAAAACAUUAAGAAUUCAAUCAUUUCCUCCUUUGUUUCCUAUUCAAAUGAAUGCUGACUUUAACUUCUUUAACCUCCGUCUUAGUGCCAAUAUUGAUGAUUUCUGUUUCUUCUAAGUUGGGUUUGGGUUUCUCUUCAUACUGUUUUAAAUCCCUUGAAAUAGACUCAAAUUCUUCCUCAGUAUCGCUCUCGCUUUGAAUUUCAGAUUGCAUGAUUUCAAGUUCAUGAGAGAUAUCGAGAUUGCAGCCAUCGAAUUCCAAAAUGGUGACAUCCAAAGGGUCAAAGGAUUUUAUUUGUGGCCAUCUGAAAAUAGAAUAGAACAUAAGUAAUAAACAAAUAGCAAAUACUGGAGAAGUUUUCAUUUCAUUAAAUUCAAAAUGCAUCGAGACUUCACAAAAAGAUAAAUAUACAGACAUGAUUGCUAUUUAAAGACAUAUUUAACCCAAACCUUUAUUUUCGUUUCAGCAAUUUUCUUGAACAAAGCAAGUUAUAUUAACUGAAACAAGAAUAAAGGUUUAAAAGAUGAAAGCAAUUUCUUUUAACAAAAGAUCCAGACUACUGUCCUAUCUGGAUGUGAUCUAGACAAAAGACAAUCCCCUUAAAUUUACCGAAAUUCCCUUCGAGAGGGAAGAUAAUCAGCAGUCCAAUUCUGAAUAGCUCCUUCGGUAAUUGGCAAAAAUUCUGCAUUCUCUGAUGGCUCCUCCUCACAAGUGCCCCGACAAAUAAUGAGACAGGUCCACUUCAAUCUCCUCCACAGGAUUCUUCGUUUCUGGCAUAAUCACCUCUGAUGGACGAGGAAAAGUGUGAUAUAGCGGGGGAUAUUUAAGGCAGUUUGCUUGCCCUUCUUUUCAGCUUGUUUCGAGCUUGCAUUUCCUUCUAUCCUUAGCAGUCGGAUGAAAUCCCAGUCCAAAUGUAUCCUUCUGCGUCGGGAUCUCUAUUGGCUCCAAAAUUCCUUGCAAUUCCCCCAAGACCUUUUCCUAUUUCAUAUCCGCCUCGGAUCAUCUCCCUAGCCAUCAUAAUACUGGCCUCUGGCAAAUCUGAUUGAGUCAACGACUUAUCCCUGAUGCCCAUCCUACAGAGACUAUGUCAGCAACAUGAUGAGAUGAAAUUGGAGUCCUUUUUGUUUCACCUUGAAUUUUGCAUCAACGAUCAUGGUACAGUCAUCCUCAGCAAACACAGUAAUGAGUGAUCAUUCAAUAAACUCAACAUUUGAUGCAGAGAAGAUGGCACUGAAUUGGAAGCAUGUAUCCAAGGUCUUCCAAGAAAAUGUUGUAAACACUGGAGAAGUCCAUGACUUGGCAAGUAACUUGGAAUUGAGCAGGGCCUAUCUCCAAUACCAGAUCUGCUUCACCCAUAGAUUCCCUCCUUGAACCAUCAAAUCCUCGAACCACAGUUGCAGAUGGACGGAGUUUAAUAUCAAGAAAUCCAAGCUUGGUGAGAGUGUUCCAUGGACAGAUAUUCAACGCUGACCCAUUAUCCACUAAAACCCUCGGCAACAGCUUUCCAUUGCAACGGACUAUAUAUACAAAGCUCUGUUAUGCCCGAUCCCUUCUGCAGUCAGAUCAUCAUCGGAGAAGGUAAUAUGAUUAGCAGCAAGUACAUUCCCCACAAUGUUAGAAAAUUUAUCCACCGGAAUAUCUUUAGGGACUUGAGCUUCGUUCAGAAUUUUGAGCAAUGCUUCUCUGUGCAGCUCGGAAGUCAAGAGAAGAUUCAGAAAAGAAAUCUGAGCAGGCAUCCUAUCCAACUGCUCCACUAUUUUGUACUCGCUUCUCUUUCAGCAUCUUUCAGAAAAUCUACAGCUUCAUUUUCAGACACACGAGGCUUGGGUGUCGGAGAUUUAACCUUGGCCUGGAUUGAACAUCAAUAUCAGUUUUUCACAAUUUCCCAGACUAGUAAUAGUAGAUAAUCUUCCUUUAAGCAUUUUAUCUCCAACAACAGAAUAGAUUCCUCGUAGUUCCAUGGUACCUCUUGCAAGUUAUUGACAGGCAUUUGUUCGGAAAUUCGAGAAUGACAGGCUCUGAUAUAUCCCAUUCAAAAGAUGGUAGAUCCAGAAUAAAAGGAGAUUGUCAACCUCAGAAACUCCCCUUUCAUAUAAAUGGCUCCUCUUUUUCAAAUACAAAAGAUUCAGUUUUCCUCAACAUUAUCGUUGGCAUGGACUUUUCAGACAGACAUUUUCUCAUUCUGCAUGGUCAGCUUCCAUUACGCCAAACGCCUCAGUUUCAUCUACAAUGUACUGAGUGGGAUCGAUAAAAUCUCAUCAGCGAUGAUAACUCCCACAGUACUCCCAUGCUCAGGUAAAGGAUUCUUACUACAUUCGGUCCUUGUUCUCCUUUCUUCUGAGAAGGAUGUCUCCAGAGUCAAUCAUGUCCUGAAUCUUAUGUUUUAGCCCAACAAUUGCCAGUGGUAUGACCUGGACUUCCAGAAUGAUAAGCACAAAUUGCUGCGUAUCAUAACCUGGAGGAAUGCCUUUGGGAUAAAGUUUGGGAGGAACGGUGCCAAUUUUUCCAGCUGCUUUUAACUGCUCAUAUAAUUGAUCAAUUGGUCGGCCCAAGUUGGUGAAAGUUCGAAAUUGUUUCUGGUUUGAAUCCAUUGGUUUGAAAGGAUUUUGAGAGGGUUAUUAUUUUGCAGGGUUGGUCUGGAAUGGUAAAUGGGACGAGUGUGAUUUUGAAAAACGGUUGUGGGUUGGAGGUAACGGUGAGGUAUUCAAGUGAUUUGGUCGGAAUGAUGGAAUUGGGUAGUGGUGUGGUAGACUGGUUGAGAUUGGUGUAAUACGGGUAAGGAAAAGAAUAGGUGGGAUGGUUUUGGGUCUGAAAGACGGGCCCUGAUCCCAUAUAAAAGCAGUUUCUCCUUCUUUCUUCUUGAAUGGGGGUUUUUUCCCAUUGUUGCUUUGAUUUUGUAGAGCAUCUAAUUGCAACUUUAAUGCAGACACAUUAACAAUCUUCCUGCUUUGACAAAUUCAUCGUAUCCUCCAAUUGUUAAUGAUAGCAGCAAAUGAACUUCCAGUCAUGCGAAAGAUCUCUUCAAAGUAGGGUGGAUCGUGAGCUUUGAUGAAAGUACGAACAAUCUCCUCCUCAGUCAUAGGAGGCUCCACUUUGGCAGCUAACUUUCUCCAUCGCUUUGCAUAGGUCUUGUGAUCUUCCGAUGGUUUUCUUUUGUACCCUCCAGUGUCGUUCGUGUUGGCGCCAAUUCACAAUUAAACUCAUAUUGCUUCACAAGGCUGUUGACAAAUCCAACCAGGUUUUGACCUCUUCAGACUUCAAAUUUGAAUACCAAUCUAGAGCAUCUCCCUCCAAACUUUCCGGAAAUAACGCAUAGGCAAACUCUCAUCAUCCACAGGUUUACCUAACUUGUUGGCAAACAUUUUGAGGUGCGUCUUAGAAUUUCCAGUUCCAUCAUAUUUGCUGAAUUUAGGGGUUUUGAAUCCCAACGGUACUGAAUAUUGGGGAAAAGACAUAAUUUAUCGUAGUCCAAACCACCAUGCCUGCUCAAAACCUUGAUUCUUUUUCAUAAAGUCGUCGAAUCGGUCCAACCUUCUUAACAGAUCUUUAUCAACGGGGUAGGUUGUUUCUUUCCAUCGCCGCCUUCCCUUGAGAUGCAGUAUCCAGUACAAAAGGCUCUGCAGUAUGUGGUGGGCCCCUGAGGUUGGGGGAAUGUUCAGAUUGGUUUGUGGAUGGGUUUGAGGAUUUGACUACUGGUUGGGUUUACCAAUACAUAAUUUGGAUGCAUAUAUGAAAAGUCUGAAUUUAAUCGGGCAAAGUAUUUUCAAGAGGGUUACGAAAGGAGGAAAGAAAGGUGCUUGGGUAUUGGAUGUGUGGGUGGUUGAUAGUCUUGGGCAGGUGGUGAUUAUCGAUAGGUUCUUGGUCGUUUGGGACCCCCACCAUUGUUGCUGGCGACCAGCUGAUCAAUUACACGCCUUUGUGCGGCCAUUUCAGCACUUAACUCACUGAACUUGCCAAGUACCUCACUUAACUGAGCUCCCAAUGCUGUGAAGUCCGGUGAUUAACCAUAGCANNNNNNNNNNNNNNNNNNNNNNNNNNNNNNNNNNNNNNNNNNNNNNNNNNNNNNNNNNNNNNNNNNNNNNNNNNNNNNNNNNNNNNNNNNNNNNNNNNNNNNNNNNNNNNNNNNNNNNNNNNNNNNNNNNNNNNNNNNNNNNNNNNNNNNNNNNNNNNNNNNNNNNNNNNNNNNNNNNNNNNNNNNNNNNNNNNNNNNNNNNNNNNNNNNNNNNNNNNNNNNNNNNNNNNNNNNNNNNNNNNNNNNNNNNNNNNNNNNNNNNNNNNNNNNNNNNNNNNNNNNNNNNNNNNNNNNNNNNNNNNNNNNNNNNNNNNNNNNNNNNNNNNNNNNNNNNNNNNNNNNNNNNNNNNNNNNNNNNNNNNNNNNNNNNNNNNNNNNNNNNNNNNNNNNNNNNNNNNNNNNNNNNNNNNNNNNNNNNNNNNNNNNNNNNNNNNNNNNNNNNNNNNNNNNNNNNNNNNNNNNNNNNNNNNNNNNNNNNNNNNNNNNNNNNNNNNNNNNNNNNNNNNNNNNNNNNNNNNNNNNNNNNNNNNNNNNNNNNNNNNNNNNNNNNNNNNNNNNNNNNNNNNNNNNNNNNNNNNNNNNNNNNNNNNNNNNNNNNNNNNNNNNNNNNNNNNNNNNNNNNNNNNNNNNNNNNNNNNNNNNNNNNNNNNNNNNNNNNNNNNNNNNNNNNNNNNNNNNNNNNNNNNNNNNNNNNNNNNNNNNNNNNNNNNNNNNNNNNNNNNNNNNNNNNNNNNNNNNNNNNNNNNNNNNNNNNNNNNNNNNNNNNNNNNNNNNNNNNNNNNNNNNNNNNNNNNNNNNNNNNNNNNNNNNNNNNNNNNNNNNNNNNNNNNNNNNNNNNNNNNNNNNNNNNNNNNNNNNNNNNNNNNNNNNNNNNNNNNNNNNNNNNNNNNNNNNNNNNNNNNNNNNNNNNNNNNNNNNNNNNNNNNNNNNNNNNNNNNNNNNNNNNNNNNNNNNNNNNNNNNNNNNNNNNNNNNNNNNNNNNNNNNNNNNNNNNNNNNNNCAAUCUUCCUUCUACUCGCUCAAAUCUGUCUGAAGUAACUUUUGCGAGCUUUUCCACUGCCAUCUCCCAACCAGGUUUAGUUUCAACUUGUUGUUGCCUUGAUUGAAAUCCCGGUGGAUUGGCUGGCCUUGGUUGAUUUCCUUGAUCCUUCCAUCCAAAGUUUGGAUGAUUUCUCCACCCCGGAUUGUAAGUAUUCGAGUAGGGGUUAUUUUGAGCAUUACGAUUGUAAUUAUUAACGAAUUGUACCUGCUCAGAAUCAACACACUCAUUAGUAUCAUGUUCACCUCCACAUAUAGAACAACAUGCUACAUGUGCAUUAGAUGAACUUGGACCAACUCCACUUUGUCUACUUAGCAACUUCAUCACAUUAUUCAUUUGAGUACUCAGCAUAUUGAGAGUGUCCAUUUCUAUCAUACCUGCGUGACGUCUUGUAUUACCUCUCUCAUUGGCCCAUUGGUAGUUGUUUGCAGCCAUUUCUUCUAUCAAAUUCUGAGCUUCUUGGGGUUAUUUACCCAUUAAAGCUCCACCUGCAGCUGCAUCGAUCAUAGUUUUAGUAGAAAAACUAAACCAUUAUAGAAGGUUUGUAUGAUUAACCACUCCGGCAGUCCAGAUGUGGACAUUUCCGAAGCAAAUCUCUAAACCUUUCCCAUGCCUCAUAUAAUGAUUCACUUUCUAAUUGGCAAAAACUAGUGAUAUCCAUUCUAAGUUAGCAGUCUUUACCUGGUGGAAAAUACUUAUUUAAGAAUACUCUUGAUAACUCAUCCCAUCCAGUGAAAGUAUUAGGAGCAUGAGAGUGUAACCAAAGUUUGGCCUUAUCUCUCAAUGAAAAUGGGAACAAUCUUAGCCUUAUAGCAUCAUCACUAACUCCAUUCAUUUUAAUUGUAUCACAAAUUUCCAAGAAUGUAGCUAAGUGUGUAUUAGGGUCUUCUACUGCAUUACCUCCAAAUUGAGAUUGUUGAACCAUUUGGAUAAGUGCUGGUUUAAUCUCAAAAUUGUUAGCAUUUACCGUAGGCCUUACUAUACUCGUUUGAGAUCCUUGUGUUCCCGGUAGAGCAAAAUCUCGUAGAACUCGCCUAUGUGCUUCGUUUUCUGCCAUGUCUUCUUCAAAUGGAAGCUCUAUUAAGAUAUCUUAUUGGCUGCCAAACCUCUUUUUCUCUUGAUGUGAUGUACUCCUCCUUUGUCUGUGUAAUGUUCUUUCAAUUUCAGGAUCGAAAUGUGCAACUUCUCGAUUUGAUCGGUGCAUACACUACAGACAAAAACAAGAGAAAUUUUGCAGUUUAAAUUCAACAACUUGAAAUAAAAAAAAAUGAAAAUAUCUAAAGUAAUAGAGAUGAUUAGGCCCUAAUAUUGCCGCUCCCGGCAACGGCGCCAAAAACUUGACGGGAUAUUUUGUAUCUAUACAAGUUUAAUUCCGAUUUUACACCCGUUGGACUGCAAGUAUACAGGUCGCAAUUGUAGUACAAGAUGUGUAUCGGGUCGAUCCCACGAGAAGCAAUUUAAACAAUUACUAAGCCCUUGUUCUCUCUAUUAUUUAGACUUACAAUUAAUUUGAGCAGAGAAAGUCUAAUGCUGUAAUCUACAAAUCUGAUAUACAAAUCUAGUUUAACAAAUACUGAGUACAAAUAGAGAAAUUUUACUUAAGGAAGAUUCUAGGGAUGUAGAUUCCACUUAUGGCAUAAACUACACAAAUGAAUGGAUUUACUCCUUGCUAUUAUUCUUGCUUAACCAGAGAUUUAUUUCCAAGAAUACCAAGUCUCAUUUUCAUGAUGAAAUGGCUUAGAGCAAUAUAGAUUUCCCUAUUUUCAUGGUGAAAUAUUCUACUACUCCGUUUUAUUUCAUGAAAUGCUCAAUAAUCCACCUAAGUGUAUCUCUAUUUUCAUGAACAUACAACUCAAGCUCUACUCAUGUAUUUCAAUUGUUAUUACCAAUUCUCAUUGAAUAAUAACACUAUAAAUAUGCUAUUGGUGAUCAAUCAACAACACGUAAUCACAGCUACACAAGUAGACAAGUUACUACAAGAUAUAACAAGUGUAAAUCACAUUCCAUUCAUAUUAUUUAACCAUAAGCUUCAUCUACUCCCUAGAUUAAGGGGUUUAGCUACUCAUGAAUGAUUUAAUAAUCAAACUCACAAGUUUAUUAAUGCCAAACAUCAUGAAGUACAAGUACAAGAAAGAUAAAAGAAAGCUUAGCCACUUGAAGGUGAAGCUCUCCAAUUCCUGCUAUGCUCUUGCACAAUAUGAUUACAAGUAAAAACUCCAAGUACUUCUCCAAGAACUCCUAUCUAGAGAGAAACUAGAUACCAGAAAGAAAACUAGUUACGUAUGGUAAUCCCUCUUCUCCCCAUCUUUCUGCAUAAAAAUGUGGUAGAAAUUCCAUUCCUCUCACUUCAUAAUUUCUUCCACUCAGAUUUUGUAAAAAGAGGUCAAAGAUAUGAUGUCUCCUUUUGUCCACAUUCAUUUGGUCUUCUCUUUUGUUGCAGAAGCAUGUGCCACCGAUUUCUGUCCCUCAAAAUAGCUGGAAAGUUAUGAAAAAGGUAAAGAAAAACGGCUAUGGCACUUGCUGAGGAGAGAGACAGAUCCGAGCCUCGGAUCCGAGGAGUGAAAAUUGGAUCCGAGCUCGGAUAUUAGGAUCUGAGGGCUUCCAUGAUGGAUCCGAGGUCGGAUCGUCCUGACCUCGGAUACACUCCGCCAGAAGUACAGACUAGGGGUCGGAUCCCUCUUGUACACACAGAUCCGUGCUCGGAUCUGUGUUGAACAAUUUUCCAGUUUUUCACUUCUUCCCUUUUUCUACAUUUUUGCUCCCAAUUUCUUGUGUACUUUGUCUUCUGAAUGACCCUGACAUUUCUUUCAACUUGUGCAUGAAUUUCAUACAUCAAUUACCUUCACAAUUUCACAAAAUUAACGCAUUAAUCCACUCAUUUAUUAAUUUCUGAACUCUUAAACAAUAUUUAAGCAAUUAUCACCAAAAGAGUUCAAAUAUGGCUUUAAUCUUCUCAAAACAUACCAAAAAUUCAUGCCAAAUUCGUACAAAAUGUACGUUAAAUAUUCACUUAUCAAGGAACCUCUUUAGGAAUUUGAUUGGUAUUAGGAAACCAAUCAAUUAAGCAAUUUGGCAGGGAGAAUUCAGCAUAUAGCUCUUGCUUAGGAACAAAGCAUAGUUAUUCUUGUUUUCUUGACCGAUUGACAAGAAGACAAUUGGAAAGCUUCGAACAGAUUUUUGCAUGGCUUGUUCUCCAUUAAUGGAGAACUAAUUUCAUAUUUCUAGUCAAGGGCGACAAUUGAAGAUUUGGUUCAACAAUAACUGUGAUCUAAAUUAUUUUAAUUGCUUCUUUCAUUCAUUGGUAUUUAUAUGUUUUUGCUUUAAUGGCUAUGACUACUGUGUAUGAUUGAAUAGUUGCGCAUAUUUAAUUAUUCACGUAGUCUAUUUGCUAAUUGGGGGUAGUUGAAUCCGUAAUUGUUUGAUUACUCCAUCCCGGUAGCAACUAGCAUGAUUGGUUUCAUGUUAGGAAAACGUAUGAUAUAACUUAAAUGAACCCUCGUAGUGUGUUUGUUGGUUAGAGUUGGGCUUUUCCAAUUCUUAUUGCAAUCGAAAAAUGAAAUCCUAUGAUCGUAUUUAGGGUUAUUUCUUGUUUGGUGAAAUAGUUAAUGAUCAUACCUUAACUAUCGAAAAAGUAAGGAAAGGCUGGUUGUUUAUCGCAUGCAUGACAACUAUAACCAAUCUAUUAAUGAGUAAUUGAAUUAUCUUUGCAUCGAUGAUCAGUUGAAUGAACCGUGUCUGAAAAGUGCACCUUUGAUUAGAAUCGUAUUGGUUAUUGAUUAAUUCAUGUUUAUUUCUGUUAGUUGUUUCAUUAGUUAGUUAAUUAGUUAUUUUAUAUUCUCCAAAAACCCCCCAUACUUCAGACCCUGGAAGAAACGAAUUAUCCCCAAUCCCUGUGGAUUCGACCCUACUUGCCCAAUAUACAAAUUAGAGAUUUUUCGUGAAUAAAUUCUGGUAUAUCGGAUUUAGCAAACUCUUCGGAACCAGGAUGAAUCUAGUAACCCAUUGCACAUCUAGAGUCCCUGCUCCAGUACCAGAAUUGACACGAAGUUGCUUCCGUUGGCAAUUAGGAUUAUUAAUAUUAUUAUUACACAGACUCGAUACCUGUCAAUACUCACCUAACAAACCUCCACCCGAGGAAAUUUUUUUUUAAAAAAAUCUACAUUAGGGUAUACAUUAGCAGAAAAUGAAAAAAAAAAAAAACUUUAGACUGCAAUCUAGUAACAUGUGUCCCAGGUGCACAAAGAAAUUGAAACAUAUAGAGCUUUGAUUGUCAAAAGUAGCACUAGUACUCCUCGGAGUUUAAUUCAAAUACAGAUGAUCAAAUAUGAGUGACGCCUUGCGCAUAGCGGCAAUAGAAAACUAUGAAAGGAUAUGCCACGGUGUGUCAGCCAACCGUCUUUAGAGUUGAAAUUCUUUCAGGAGCUUCUGUGAUUGUAUGGUUUUGUAAUCUAGCAGCAUCAGAUUUUGUGAGGCGAUGCGUUGAUGAAACUUGGGUAUUGGUAUUCAAUCCCAAGAUCUUUCAUGUAAAAUGACUCGGAUGCGGCAAAAGCCUUGGAUUCUCUGCUCCGGUCAACUUGAAAUUGGACUAGUCCCAGCACUUUAGGAAGUUGGUUAUUAGCACAUUUAAAUUUUUAUACUAAUUGUAGUAAGUAAUAUUUGGAGGGACCAUAAGUUCAGGUUGAAAAGAGGCAUGGUGAAAAUCUUUCCAAAUACAGACCCUACUACUUGUACAAAUAAAAGAGAGAACAAAAAUAUAUAACCCAUUAACACAUACUAAAAGUUUUUACAGCAAUUACAUGGUGAAUUCAUUAAAUUAGGCAUUUGGUUGACUUUGACAUGUGUGUCAAGUCAAAACAUUGUCAAAAAUUGCAACUUAUUGUAUACUGAUUUACUCGGCAAAAAUAAAUUUAGUUAAUUAUUUAUUGAUAGGAAAAAACUUUUAAAAUUUUGUUUUUCUUAAUAGAUACAUCGAAUGCCAUUGUUAAUCUCCACGUACUUUGAGGCACCAUUAUUGCCAACCUUGCGUCUAAGCAUUUAUCCAUACAAAAAUAGGUGAUUUUAAAAGCUAAAGACAUUUUUCAACCUUUAAAUGUAUUUUAAUAUGCAUAAACAACACGCUUAACCGCAUGUAUUUAUAAACUUUGCCACUGGAUAAUGCCUAAUUGGCCGUAACAAAUGAAGUUUCGGUACUUGAGGUGACGCACUAGUGAAACCAUGCAUUCCAGGGAUAAGAAUUAAACUUGGAAAUCUGAAAAAGAUAACUAAAGAAUAAAUAUUAGAAUCAAUAAUAUAAAAAAAAAAGUUUCCAAAUCAAAUCAAAAUUAUUGAAAAUUGACCAAAGCUCAAAUCCAAAUCAAAUAAAUCCUUACACGUUAAACCCACGAGAAACCUGUUAUCAAGAGGUGCAAUUACCACUUGAUAAAACUCCAAUGUAGCUAUCACCUCGUGGAUCACACAUAUGUUGGGUCCUCUUAAUUAUUUUCAGUUGGUACGAAAUCAUUCAGAUAUGAUUUCCGUGACAAAUUCUGAGUGUAACGCAAUAUUCACCUCAACCAGUUGAGACAUUGUCUGAUAACCAUGAAAUUUGACUCUCCAAUUCUUGGGUUUUGCCUCUCUCUUUAUAAGGUGUAGAAUGUGGGUUUUCUUUCGAAUGAACCUGGUUCUAAAGAAUGCUAACUGGCUGACAAUUGCGGAAGUUUUUGUGCAUAUCUCUACCAUGAAGCCAAUCAAAAUGUGAAUGGACUAGACAUAAAGGGCAGUAGUUUAAAAUUUGUAGUGAAAUUAACUUAAUUACCUCAAUGGGAUUGAACUAAAAAAUGCAAUCUUCUAUUCAGACAAAAUUCAUAAGUUCUAAGUUCAUUAAGAAAGAUCAAUGCCUGUCAUAUUAAUGCAAAAUUAUUGAUAACAACAAGAAGGAUACUUUUAGAGGUGAUAUAGUCUAGAGUCCAUGCAUCUAACCCACUCUCUUGACAUAGAUCGGAGUUCAGUGAGCGUUAAACUCAAGUCCAUUGGCCAAAAAAAAAGAAAAAAAAAAAAAGACUCAAGUCUAUUCAAAAAACCAAACAUUGGACUCCAAACCAGUGAUGUCGAAUUGAUUAUCCAUGGACGCUAAAACCGCCAGAAACAAGUCAUCAAGAGGUGAAACUACCACAUACGACAAUACCCAAUUAUUUAGCAAAUCAAGGAUAAGGAUUAGGACUGUCAAUGGGGCUGAGCCAGCCCGAGCUCGGCUCGUUCGGCCCGACAGAAAACCCGAUGAGCCCUAUCAUUUAGUGAGUCGGUCUGAGCUUGAGCCUAAAAAUUAGGCCCGAAUUAAAUGUGAGCCGAGCUUGGGCCUUAUUAGGCUCAAACCCGAUAUAGGCCCGACCCUUUAAUUACCUAUAUAUAUAAUAUUUAUAUUUUGAUAUUAUGUAUAAUUAUAUAUCCAAAUAUAUUUUUACUAAAUACUAAAUAUAUAUAUAAAUUACAAAACACAAAAAUACAUCUAAAGACUCUUUCAUGAGCUUUCUUGAGAGCCAAUAUUAGUAAUGCAUAACUAAAUCUCUAAUUUUUCUUAUUGGUUGAGUAAAUUUUUGUAUUGGCAUAUUAUUGGUUGAUUUUUUUUUGGUCUACAAACACAAAAAUCAUCAAGCAUGUUCGGAUUUAAAUCACAAGAUUAUAAAAAAAAAGUUUCAACUUUUAAAGAUGCAUUGGCUUAUGAUCGCAUGUUUUAUUACUAUUUUUCAUGCAUUUUAAACGGAUUAAAUAUAAAUAUUGUUGAAAAUUUUUUGGUUUAUAUACUUUUUAAGAACUAUUAUUUGUUCAUGUUUAGUUUUAAUAUUAUAGUCUUGUAUAUGUUAAAUUAGUUUUACAACUUAAUAGUUAUAGUAAUUAUAUUAAGAAAAUUAAGGAGUAAUAAGUGAGCAUGGGCUAAACCCGAUUAAGGCUCACAACCCAAAUAUUAUAUGAGCUAAGUAUGAGUUUCACAUUUACGAACCCGAAACUCAUAGCCCGAAGCCCAAAAAUGUUUCAAAUUAAAUGAGUUAACUUGAACUCAUCAAAGCCCGGCUCAUUAGGCCCGAUUGACAGGCCUAAUAAGGAUCAGACAAGUAUCAGGGUAUUAAUAGUCCUCUAUAUUAUUUAUUUGCAGCUGGUACGAAGUCAAUUAAUCAGAGAUACCCACCAAAUGACACAACUUAAGACUUGAAGGAAAAAUAUGAUUGCUGAAGAAUCGUUAUCAGAAUCAAAUCAUUGCACCUUAAAUACAACUUUUUGGAUUCGUUAGGUUUGCAUCGAGGUGGAGAAGAUCUCAAUUACAUACAAGCAAUUAACAGCAGAAGAAACAUAGCUUUAAUAUCUGAUUCUAGUAAUGGUUUCUGGCAAAGAAUACGUUGUCCUUCACGAGUAAUGUUUCUAGAAACAAUCUUUAUAUUUUUGUGUUUAAAAUAACUUGAAGAAUACGGCAAAAGUAAGCUUUGGUUUGUGGACUGAUGAGUAAACACUAUGAAAUGAUGAGUAAACAUCAACACUAUAUGUCUGGAAAGAGAGGAAUUACAUUAUUUUUAGCAACAAGGUUACUAAAAUUGGGGGUUAUUAUAACUUUAUCCCUUUAAACUAUAGUGCUAAUAUCAAUUUACCUUUUUAACAUUAUUUUGCAGGCAUUUGACCUCGCAGUUAUUCUCCUUUUUCAUUCUAAAGGACCAAGAAAAAUGUAAAAGGGUUCCCUUUUUUUUUCAUUCUCAACUAUUAAGAAAAAAAAAAAGAAAUUGAAUAGAGGUUGACAGAAAACUCAAUUUCAGAAAAAAGGAAAAUAAAGAAGAAUCCAAUAUUAUAAUUAAUUUAAAAUAAGUUAGAGUGGGCGGUAGGGGUGAAGAGUAAGUAGUAAUUUUAAAAUAAUAAGCACAUUGGAUUCUGUAUUAUUUUUAUUUUCUUUUUUAAAAUUGAGUUAUCUCUCUAUUUUCUUAUUUUAAGUAUUGAUAAGUACACGAGGAAAAAAAGAAGAAGACAUUUUUUUGACUUUUUUCCCCUUGUUAUUAAAGAGGGUGGAAAAAAGGGAGAAGACACUUUUUUAUUUUUUUUCUUGGUAUUAAAAGGGUGAAAAGGGGGAAAAAACCAUUCCAAUUUUUUUAAAAUUUUUAAUCAUACAGGAGAGGGAUGUAUUUCUUCUAAAAUAUUAGGUAAAUUAUAUAUAAUUUCCUGUGUUUUCAUCUAUUGCCACAUGAUUCCCAAAACAUUUUAGGGUUUUAUGCGGCUGAUGUAAGGGAAAAAAUUCAUAUUAAUACCUUAAAUUUCCCUUAAGGAGUUUUUAUAUUUAAAUCAAAUUAUUCAAUGAAUAUAUUUUUGUUUUUCUCCUAGUCUCAAAGAGUCUUGCCUCAGGCCUAAAUCAUUUCCGCUAUAUUCCUUUGGCCAAAUUUACAAUCGUAUAUUUGUGUUUGUAGCCGUUGAUUGAACUUUAGUCUUAGGAAAAAUGAUAACAAAUGGAAAGAGUGAGAUACAAGUCAAUUAAAAAACAUGAUUAACACUAGAAUUUGUGAGACAUGGAGACUUGGAUUAUAAAAAGGAUAAGAAAACUUGAAUAGGUGAAAAAAGGUGCAUUAAAACUAUACGAAAGAAGUAGCAUAACAGUGAUAUAGUAUUUGGUGAUGAGCAGAUUCUUGGUGAUAUGUUUUUUAAGUUUGAUAGGCAUUUUAUUACUUUUGGGAAGAUUAUUAUAAUCAUUUUGAGUCCUUAAGAAAAGCAUGGAAGUAUAAUAUUUGAAUAUAGAGGUGGGCAACGUGAGAUUAUCAGAAAUCUUAGAAGAAGUUUUUGAAAUUAUCCUUUGCUGUAAUACUAUUCUUUUUUUUUUCUACUUUGUGAUUAUUGAUUUCCACAUUCACACUCGAAAUGCUAAGGCAAAAAGCAAAAUUCAAAAGUAGUGGGUUGGUGGCUCAGCUCAUAUGAUUCUGAAAUACAACGAUUUAUUGGGCACAUUCUACCCAGUAUUGUCUGUUGGCAGAUUUGGAAAGCAAGGAAUAAAGCAAUGUUUGAGGAUAUUCAGAUGAGCCGCUUGCCAUUUGUCGUGCCAUUUUCUCGGAAAUCCAGACCAUUGUGGGAAUUUAUUUCAAACAAGUGUUCAGAGUACAGUCAUUUCAUCAUUUGUAUGAUUGGUCGUAUUCUUCUCAUACUGAGGUUACAUACAAACUUGUUCGUUGGGAAGCAAAGGAAUCCGAUCGGUUCAUAUUAAAUACGGAUGGCUGUUCUAAGGGCAAUCCAGGGAGUGAGUGGAGGCGGUGGGGUUCUUCGGGAUUCAAAUGGCAUACCUUUGAUUGGCUUUUCGGCAUAUCUUGGGGAAACUACAAGUCUAUGUGCAGAGGUUCGGGCACUCCUUAUUGGGCUUCAAACUUGUGUACAUAGGGGUUUUCAAAAUCUCUAUGUUCAAUCGGAUUCUUUAUUAUUAGUUGGAAUUCUUCAGAAUCGCAUUCAAUGCCCCUGGAAGAUUCGACGAGAGAUUAGGCAGAUUUGGCAGUUGGUGAAAGAUCCUGAUCGUUUUUCGCAUUGCUAUAGGGAAGCUAACAAAGUUGCUGAUGCGCUGUCCAAUGUGGGCGUAUUUCAUCCAGAGCAUCAAGUCAAGCUUUACGAGGCCUUUAAUUCGUUCCCAACUAUGGCUCGUGGGGCCAUUCGACUUGAUAGAUUAGGAAUGCCUUCAAUUCGGAAAAGUAAGCGUAUGAAGGGCUGAGAACAAAGGACAACUGGAGCUAAUAUGCGGUUGCGGUUGCGGUUGAAUGAGACAUGGAGGUUUUGUGUGCUUUAUUACCUUUUCAGUCGAUUGCUGUACUUCGAAUUGGUCUUUCUCAAUGUGUAAAAUUUGCUCCUAUCAAUAAAAUAAACUAAUAUUUAAUUAAAAAAAAAAGCAAAAUUCAAGGAUGAAAAUGAAAAAAAAAAAAAAGACAAGGUUAUAAACAUAGGGAAAGACUCUAUAUUUGAUUAAUGCUAAAAUAUUAUAAAAUGAUUAUAGAAUUUCUUUUUCAUUUUUUAUGAGUGACAUUUUUAUUAAGAAAAUUUAGUAGGGGAAUGAUGGGAUUUAAAAAGUGAAAAAAGAACAAAGAGAUCAAAAUUCAGGAUCUCUAAUUCUUGGGAGUAACAUGAUAAUAUUAUUUCUAAAAAUCCAAUAUCAAAUCCUAUUGGUGUAAUAUAAAGGAAUUUGGAUGAUUGAAGUGUUUAAAAUAUAAAAUACUUCUAAAUUAUAAUAUCUUAUUCAUUAGUCGAAUGUGGAAUCUUAUGUUUGUUGCCCCUUUCUUUUUUGCUUUGGAUUUGGGUUUUGAACUUUGAGUAUGAAUUGAGUAAGAUUAUAGCAUGAGAAGGUUCAUCAUGUUCAUUUAAUUAAGGUCUUCCUGCAUUUAAAAUGGGAGCUUACAUGACAAAAAAAAAAGAUUAAAAUGGUAAUAAUUUACAAAAGAGCAUCAUAGUGGGAACAUUUUUCCUAAAAAAGGUCAUUUCAGAACUAAAUUCCGUGAAUCCAUGGUUUCAUGUGGGGUUUCUUUUCAUGGACGUGAUUAACAUCAUGUCUCUUAUCAUUUCGAUGAGGAUUAUUAACAUCCAAGUCCUAGAGCCUGAUUGCAUUAGUACUAUCCUUGGCCUUGGGUAUAAUAUCACAAGUUCCUCCCUGUAAAGGUUGCAAUGCGUUUUAAGAGAGUGAGAAUUAAGUAUAUCACGGGAAAAAAAAAAUUAAUGGCAAAGUAACUUACCAGAACAACCAACAGAUGGAGGAGGAUAAUCCAACAAGCAAGUCCUUUGGAAUCCAUCAAUUGGUAGGUUUUAUAUCCCUUGCAACUCCUCCUUUGAAGGAUUAGGCAACAGCAGAAGCAAAUGCCAAAUAUUACAUAUCGAUGAAAAGUGUGCUUGAUUAGAAGGUUCUUUUUCAAAUAGUCGAUUAAAAUAUGACCCCUUGACAGAUAGUGUUUCUUAUUGAGGUUGAAAAAUGAACCAAAUUAUUUGAUACUCAAAUCAAAUUUGGCUAAAGAAAAGUUUGUUUGAACUUAGUUUGCCAACUAAUCAAUUUAAAAUUUAAGAAGUAUUAUUAUGUGUUAGAUUAACUAUCAAAUUUGGCAUUAACUUGGCUUGAUUAACAUAAAAUUAGAAUUUACAAGUAAAAAAUUCAAGUUACUCAAGUUCGACUCAUGCUCGAUUCUAUAAAAAAACUCAUUUGAGUUUGGCUUAAUUAAUAAACAAGUCAAAUUUGAAGACCUUCCUCUUAAAAAAAUUUUUAAAAAAUCAAGUUUGAGUACAGUUUUAAGUUUAUUAAAUAAUCUAACAAGUUUGAAUACUAGAACAUUGAAUCUAGUAGACCUACACAAAAUCACUAAAUUUAUUUUAGACCAUAACUGUAGAUUGUUUAGAAAAAAAAGGACCAAAAUGUAGACCUACCCACGUGACAAAACCAGCCACGUGAUCCAUGCUGUAACCUUGCUAGCUUCACUUAGCUAUCGCCUUGUAUAAAUAGCCGUAUACCCCAAGAGUCUUUUCACCACCAAAGUUACAUUUUGAGGCUUGUCAUAGGCAAGGCAUGGCUUCAUCUAUCACUCUGAUCGCAGUCUUUUCAAUUGCCCUGGUAAGUUCUCAACCAUCAAUACUGUACUUGAAGUAGUAGUUCAUACGAGAUAAUUGCUAGACUGUAUAGGAAUACUGAUGAAACCCGUGAAUUAAAGCUACCUGAGAAAACACAUUCUUCUUCCUUUUUGCACAUUCAUCUGCAGCUCUAACCAUCGCCACUGAAGGAAUGGAAGCUCUUCAGAUGCUCUGUAGUUCUAUUCUGAUAAAAUCUUGACUUCCAAACAUUACCAAUGCUGGUACCAUACUUAAACGUCAAUGUAACUUGAGUAAUGGCAUAUGACACUAUUUACCAUUUUUUAGUUGGAGGAUUCAUCCGGGAAAGCUUGAAGGUCAAAUCAAUACCUUAAAAUCAACAAAUGAAUAUUCCUGUUGCCAGUUGAGCUCGUAUUUGGACAUAACUAUCCUUCCCUACAAGGGGUCAUCUUUUACAGUGCUACCAUCAACGUACCUAUAUGGCUAUAUUGACGUUAGUUUCUUUUAUGGUGAUAUUUGCACUAAUGUGCAGUUUGGAUGCAUCACGGAAGCAAGGAAGAAUCCUACGGACUUUUUGCAAUCUGCUGUCAUUAAUGAGCAUACUGAGGACAAUCACCAUGCAGAGCCGUCCCCUUCCAAUCAGAAGAAGACAACUAAUGGUAACACAUUGAAAGACUUUGAGUCGAAGCGUGGCUCCCAUCUCUUCUAUCAUGGCGACGACGCUUCUCCUCUGGUGAAAGACUUUGAGUCGAAGCUUGGCUCCCUUCUCUUAUAUCAUUAUGGCGCCGAGGAGAAACCUCUGAGGAAAGACUCAUUAUUUGGCGCUCCUCUGAGGAAAGACUUUGAGUCGAAGCUUGGCUCCCUUCUCUUAUAUCAUUAUGGCGCCGAGGAGAAACCUCUGAGGAAAGACUUUGAGUCGAAGCUUGGCUCCCUUCUCUUAUAUCAUUAUGGCGCCGAGGAGAAAACGCUGAUGAAAGACUUUGAGUCGAAACGUGGCUCCCAUCUCUUCUAUCAUGGCGACGACGCUAAGCCAAUGAAAGAUAAUUAAUGUCCAGGGAAGCCGCAACUUUACCUCUGUACGGACUACGGACCUGUGUCUCUUCUAGCUGGUCCGUUUUUAUCCAUUGUCUUCUUUCAACCAAGCGUUCCGUAAUAAAUGUCAGUACAGUUGAGUGCAUUUUCUGUUUCUUUGUUUGUUGUUCUUUUUGCCAUUUACCAUAUACAGGAAGUGCACAAAAAAUGAGCACUAUUCAAGCAUUAUAAGAAUCGUAGAGUGAGCGAACCGCUUUACCUUGAUAAUCUAAAAAGAGUUCUGCAAACUCGUACUCUUGUACGAAACCAGGACCAAAUAUAUAUAUAUAUAUAUCGAUUCAAUUUUCUAACUAUGUGUGUGGUACGAAUGCACAUUAGAAGUACAGAAAAUUCUCGAGUAAACUUUCACAAAAGAAGGGAAAGAAUGGAGAACUCUUGAAGCGUGAUUGAUCGCUACUCUUAGGAAUUUAAUUAUCCAUACUACACUAAGUAUUUGCUGUAGAGAUAUGGUAAUUUAACUUUAAGAUACAACAAGAGAAGAAGCAGUUGAUAGCAAAUAUCAAGUUUCUCAAACUAAGAAAUGAUCAAAUAAUUCUAGCUAGUUUUGACAUUAAAAGGCUUGUUUAUUUACAGGUAACCUUGUUUUCUUUUUGUCCCAAUUAUUUGACUUUAAACUUGGUUCUGUGACAUGGAUUCUACGUGUUAGUAUACACAACACUAAUCCUAAACAUUAAGUGAAAAUCAUAUUAUGGGUAACUGAGUACCGCAUAACUUGCAAUUAUCCACUUACGCACUCAAUAUUAUUGGAAAUUACAUGGAUUUUUGUUUCGGUAACUCUAAUUAUAGUCUCAAGAUCCAUCUUAAUUGAAGGGGCCAUUAUGAAUUAGAUGAACAUGAAAUUGUAUUUCGAUUCUCAAGCUAAUCCCUUCCUCUUUCUCCAUUGUAAGGAUUAGUCUCUCUUUUUUUUUUUUAAGUGCUCUAAUUAUACAGGAUUAAAGCAAGUAGCAAUGGUCUAUAAAAGGAUAAAAAGUAAGCAGGGGCAUAUUUAUUAAAACAUGAAAAUAAUAUGAAAUUUUAUAAUACGCAUGAUAUGAAUAAUGAAUUGUACGUCAAUAAUGCCAAUAUAUUUGAAAAGUACAAAGCUGAAAAUACAGCUUCACUUACUAUGUGCAUAAUAAAUAUUUUAGCGAAGAUUUUUUAUUUUUAGUGUAAGUGAGAAAUUUGAACUCCAAACCUUUCACUUACACUCUUUUUUCAUACCAUCCAAUCCAUCCCUACAUUUUUAUGAAGAUGAGCACAUAAUGUGAGUUUUUAUUUUUUGAGGUGAAUAACUUGUUCACAAAAAAGUUUACUCGAUUUAUGUAAAGUUUAAACUUUGGGCUGUCUAAACAACGCAAGUAGAUGGCACUAGGACACAAUUCAUUAUGAUGACUUCAUCCAAGGUAACGAAAAAAAAGUUGUACAAUUGCACUUAAAAUUUGUGAAAUUUAUAGUACUAUUUCAUGGUUUAUCCUCUCAAAGUUAACAACAAAUAAUGCUUUAAACUCCGUUUAAACAACUUAUGAGUGUAAUUCAAAUUUAUUGCUCCAUUAUGUAUGUACAAUGUAUCAAAACAGAAGAGUAGCAAAUUGUGUUUUAUUGCACUUUCUGUUUAGCUAGCUUCAUGCAAAUUAACCUUCGUAGAUUAUAGGUAAAGAAUUGGUUUGCCAUUCAAUGUAUCCAAGAAAUAUGUGUUAGUACAUAAUGUUUAUUUCAAUGGAUGCACAGGUGUAAAACAAAAUUACAAAUUAUUAAGUUUUAAACUUUACAAGUACUUAAAGCACAAUAAUUUUUAUUAAAUUAAAAUUUUCCCUCCUGUGAUUUGGUAGUUUAUCAUAUAACCCCUCUAUAGUUUAAAAAUCUAACACAACGUCCUCAUAAUCUAGGUUAACAUAUCAUCAUUAAUUUUUCUAUUAAAACUAACAAUCAAUAGUUCAAAGUUUAAGUCAAAUUAAUAUAUUGAAAAAUUUACCCUUUCACUAAUCUAAUUCUUUGAGGUAGUUACAAAACUAUUACAAUUAUUAUACACCUUAAACUAUGUAUUUGUUUUCAAGUAAACACAAAAGAUGCAGCAGACCAUUUUUAGCCAAGUUAAUAAAAUUGCAAAUGUAACAAUAUAAAGCACCCUAUCAAAAGUUACUCUAUAUGAUUAAGAAAAUAAUUUAUAUUUAUUCGAAUGGAAAAAAGUUGCCAGAAGAGGGAGACACCAUAGGAAAAAUAGUUUAGAGUGAACUGCAUCAAUCAUGCCUUCCAUCGGGGGGAAAAAAUGAUAGAUGUGCGUGUAUAUAGAUACAUACACGCGCAUUUAUGUAUGUGCAUGUACACGGACGUGAGGUUGUUCCUUUGAAAAGUAGCUUCUCCUGCAAUAAUCCAAAUUCUAGGACAGUGGCAGAAAUGGAAAAGUAGUAUAGGCUGCACCGAAAUCUACUAAAAUACAAGCUUGAAAUUCAGAUAGAAAUCGAAAUACAUAAAAAGAUCAGAGCUUUUUUUUUUUUUUUUUUUUGAGGAGAUAAAACGUUCAAAGCUGAAAGCAGAACCAGUCUUUGAGUCGUAGUGUUAUUUAGAUUCAAGUGAAAGACGGGGCACACGACCAAUACAGCAGCCAAAUAGAGAUGGAAACUUGAGCUCUUGGACUCUAUGGCCGAAUGAUAGAGCCCUAGAUUGGAACCAGUGCAAAGCUUUCUGCCGCACUAACAUGGCAAAUAGGGGAGGUCCCGGAAGGCAAUGUGACCAUGGCUCCAGCGAGGGGUAUCCAUGUGACAAACAACUUCGAUCUUUUCACCAUCCUCUCCGCUUAGCAAAAUCCUAUACACGCCCGAUCGUGGCCUCUUGAGCAUGGUGUUAGGAAAUUAGUUUAAUUUCUUUUAGAUAGAUUUCUUGUUUUGUGUGGAAGUAACUAGUUUUUUAAUUGAUUUUGGUUACUUAAAAUAGUAGUCAAGAAAUUUCCUAUUUUAUUUAGGAUUAGAAAUUAUUUCCUAUUCUGGACAAGUCUAGGAAUUAGAAUUGGUUUCCUGUUGUUAUUUGGGUUUUUGAUCAGAUAAUAUUUUCCAUAAAUAUGUGGAUUAGCAUACUAUACAAGAGACACACAAGGGGCACACAAGAGGCGACAUGUAGCCCAAUACAUGGGUGGAGAGAGAGAGUUCUUGAAAGAUGAGAGAUGGUAUAUAAAGAUUAGAUUUUGGUUUAAGUUGUAUUCUUGUAUAGGAUUUUUUUCUCUCAUAAUAAAGAAUGAGUUUCUCUCCGUGGACGUAGGCUCAAUAGUGGAACCAAACCACAUUAAAUAAAUAUUGUGUCGUUUAUCUUUCAUACUUGUGACUUAUUUAUUAUUAAUUAUUGUAUACUUGAUAUCUUAAUAGUUAUUUGUUCUGCGCUUGAAUCCUAACAAAUAGUAAUAAAAGAUUUAAGGAUAAGCUAUGGUACGACAUGUCAUCUUUGGAGUUAAAAUCAUUUCAGGAACUUACAAGAUUGUGUUGUUUUGCAAUCUAUCUGGAGUUGAUCUCGUGGGCUGUUAUGUCAAAAAGACUCCAAUAUUGCUCUCCGACCCUUGAUUUUUCUGGCAAAUUCACCCAAUGACUCAUAGGAUGUGACACAAGUACUCGUCUCUCUCCGUUGAUUGGCAUCCUCUCACACUCUCAAAGUGUAUUUUCCAUCAUCUGGGCUUUUCGAGAUCCUUGAGGAAUCGAAAAGUGUUCAAGAAUGUAAGGGAGUUGCUCUAGCUGUAGCAACUGACAAAAUUAUCCUUGAUUGCUUAUUCUGUCUACAGGGCUGAAUGCACAUGCAUGUGGCAACAGUAUAGCGCCUGUUAAUGGAGUCUUGGUGCUAUAUAUGGCCCAUUCUUAAGCCAUGUUUUGUUUGAUUGGUUUCUAAAAGCCAGUGAUCAUACUGAGACCGGAUUGCCCCUGACGAAUUUGAAUUAUGGAGGCGAGUCCAUUAUUUGAUCAAGAACCACCCAGAUUUACUAGAUGGCAAGCCAAGAUUUCAAUCUCAUCGAGCUCUUUUGCAUUCAUUGUAUUGCAUGUACAAGACCAUUAGUUUCGUUAUGUUAACAAUAGUUAUAGAUGCACAUGCAUUAACAAAAAAAGUAAUUUUAGUUUAUGUACAUGACUCAGGAAAAAAUAUACCAAUAUAUAGUAAUUCUUGAUAUAUAUAUAUAUAUAUAUAUAUAUUGAUUGCUAGUUCUUGUACGUAACUCAGGGGAAAAAAUUUUAGUUCAUGUACAUAAAUCUUGACGUAUGUGUAUACCAAUUUUUUUGAAAGUUAACUCAACCAAGCACAACUGGACCUGCGCCAAUCCCUAAUCAAAAUUUGAUGCACAUGCCAUAAAUUAAAAUAUAAAAAACUUAACAUUGGAGAACUAAAUGCGGCAAAAGAAUAAAUAAUAUAAGACUAUUGUACAACAUCAACAUAUGACACAAGUCUAUUGUACAACAUCGUCAAAUUAAGAAAAAAACACACUCAGAAUACAUAGAUGUUCUGUACAGUCCCUAAAACUUUUUUUUUCUUUUUACUAAUUUGAUCCGGCCCACAGAACUCUCGUCUUUACCGUUACUAUUUCAACUUCUAAUUAUCUUUAGGGAAUUAAGAAGGCCUUACUGUAUAAUAGGUCUGAAGAAAAGUUAAUACACUGUUAAAAUAAGUGUAGAAGAGUUCAGCCAGCCAUGUCUUUGCCUUGUUGUUAUAGUGUGCUUGAAUUUUCUCCUUCACAUUAUGAAAAUGGUGACAUUGUGCACCCCGCAAGUGUUUAUGUCUUUAUAAACCUUCAACAAUUCGUCAUCACUGCCCAAAGUUGUGAGCAAUAUCCUUUUUUUCCCUUAGUUCUUUCACAUCCUUGGGUUGUCGAUCAGCGAUUUCAUGAACUCAAUAUAUGCUGUCACUGCUCGGUCAGUGCUGGUACUUGGGCACAUUUCAUAGGCAAUCAUAUUUAAAAAGAAAACUUUGGUGUCAAUCGAAACAAACCAAAUUGGAACUUCAAGUGUUGCAUAGAAAUAACCUGAUUUGAACUUGAUGCCCUUCGAAGAAUCAGCACUGCUGGUCCUAAAGUGAAUUCCCUUGGCCUUCAACUCCGUGGCUGAACGAAAGCAAUGAACGUAUUUUUUCGUGCUAGAAUCAUUGUCAAUAUUUGAUCUUCUCCACCGCAGAAAACAUGGCAAAUUAUGAAUAUACUCGUGAAGAUUGCUGCAUCUGCGAAAAUUUUUGAAGUGAUUGAGACAGACAGCGUCAUUGCUGGCCCUAGAUUUUGGAGAAAUUGGUUUGUCUUUACAGGAUUCAGAGACAAGAACUGGCCAGAAAGCGUCCAGAAGAUGAUGGGGUAGGUCCUUAUCUCUGCUAGCUAUUCCACUCCCCUUGUAAUUCCCGAACACAGUCCUGUUCAAGAACUCGUUGAGCACCUCUUCACCUUCUUGUUUCCCAUAUCUCAAACACAUCAGAAACUUAAGAAGCUAGAAAGGAAUUUGAUUUUCAAGUAAAACAUGUCACGAAGUACAAUCGCCGAUACCAAAUCACCAAGAAAUAGCGUGUGAUGUAAAAGUUUGCGGCACUUUUGCAUCUAGAAAUUAUGUCGUUGAUAAUGAAAUAGGCAUCAGGAAGCAUCAUUUGUCACUACAAGAAAAUUGAUUUUCAAUGACAAGCCAUUUCUGUCACAAAAAAAUGAAAAGUCGUCACUGAUAACUUUUAUUGACAACUUUCUAGUUGUCACAGAGUCGUCACUGAAGGCCCGUCGGUAAAAGUACAUAGUGACGACCUUAAAAGUCGUCAGUGAAUGGGACUGUUUUGCGACAACUGAUGUCGUCAAUAAUUGUUGUACUUUUUAGUGAUGACAUAGUAUCUUGUCAAUGAUAUACAAAGUAUUGUUGUCACUAAAACUAAUUCAUAGUUGUCAUUGGUAUAGACUAAUUACUGACAACAGGUUGUUAUCAAUGGAGAAUUCUAUGACAACAGGUUGUUAUCAAUGGAGAAUUCUAAUUCAGUGACAACACUUUAUCACCAUGAAAUUUGAAGAUUUUCCUACUACAAUUAUAUCUAAAAAUGAAAAAUAAUAUAUCUUACAUGCCAUUAAAAAACAAAUAAAAGUUGUAACUGCAUUAGAAGCUGCAUGCCAAUAUACCACAAAUUAUCUCCAAAUGUCAUAUAAGUUCUAGAUCGUAAAAUAAAUGUUUCAAUAAGGGGUCUAGGAGUCCCAAAUUUUACAUCAAAUUAAGGUCGUUUUACAAAAGACUACUGAAAUAAAGAAAUAGAAAACUCGUGAGUGAGCUGCAUGAACAAAAGACAUAUUCAACUCCAAUGUCGGUCAAUCAAACGCAUGGACUCUAGUGUUGGAAAUUUUAGUAAUAUUCAUUGAUCUUCCAAAAAGGUUGAAUGAACUGCCAUUUUCUACAUUAAGGAAGGAAAAUAAGUAGUGAAUACAAAGACGAGCAAAACAUCAAAGUAAAAGCAACUUUGGUUAGCUUAUCCACCCAAAAAUGCAGUUGAUUCACAUGAACAUAACAAAUUAAGUAUGCAGAGGCCCCGUCCUGGGCCGGGACACGUGGUAGCCCAGGUGCGGUCAAACUGGGCCUGAGCCCCAGGCCCUGGCAGCCGUCCGGGCUGCGUUGCUAGGGCUCCUGGAGGGGCUGAGAAUCCAUCCCGAAGAGGUCGGAGACAAUCCCCCAAGUGCGGGAUAAGGGCUAUUCUGGGCAGGUCCCGAAACGUACGGAGGUCGGACUUCCGCACAGGUAUAAAUGGUAGAACACAUCAACUGUACAAGGUACGCUCACUAUUGGCAAAUUGCUCCCGGCUGUUUAUACUUCCCGUGAAUUCUUCUCAUCGGAAAACUAACUUGGUCGUCGGAGCGCCCUCGAGGACCGACCUCGGGCCCCCCGUUGUUAGCUCAUUCUUAUCUGUUUUGCAGGCUUGGAGCCAGCUCUUCCAUCAGCAUCCGAGCUCAUCAGUUCAGCUCGGUCCGGGGAAGCUCAGCGCUUCUUCAGUUGGCGCCGUCUGUGGGAACCGGAAGAGGUAAGUGCAGUUGUGCUGAUGGCGAGGACGCGAUCCAAGCGAGCGGUAGAGAGCACCGGCCCUGGAGGCGGUGAGGGGUCCCAACGAAGAGAGGCUGAGGCAUCCCGGGGCGCCGGGGGCUCAGCCCUUUUAGGAGAAAGGAUGCAGCAGAUCCUCCAGUUCGUGACGGAGAACCUCCCCAUGCUGGAAGACAUCAUCCGGCAGGCGAAGGAGGGGGAGGAGGCUGGAGGCGCGCAGACCUCCAAGGCGAAGGGGAAGGAGAAGGAGCCGCUCCCCGAACCCUCGAAGGAUGAGUCGCACGACCAACCCCCCAGGAGGAAACGGCCACGGACGCCGCCUCGCCCGCGAGCCUCGAAGUCGGAGACAGCGAAAGGUACUCCCGCUACAGGUCCACUGGGGGCAGGCCGAGGGGCCCCUCGCCGAGGAGGCCUGCGAGGAAUGGUCUUGCCCGCUCCCCAGCCCGCUCUGCCAAGAGCCGACCGCGCAAUCCCCUUCACUUGAAGCCUGUCCAAGACGAGCUCGAGCAGAUCUUGCGGCCGCAGCUGUACGCGGACAACUACUCCACCUCGCCUUUCCCCGGGAGAUAGAGGAUUAUCCCCUGCCCCGGAGGUUCAAGAUCCCAAUCAUCGAGAUGUAUGAUGCUUCCACUGACCCGGAAGACCACCUCUCGGUUUUUCUGACGCACAUGCGUCUGCAAACCGCAGCGGAUGAGAUCCGUUGAAAGACCUUCCCUAUGUUCCUGAAGGGGAAAGCUCGGCUCUGGUUCCAGGGCUUGGCACCAGGAUCUAUUCGGAGUUUCCCCGAGCUGGCUAGACAGUUCGUCGCCCAGUUCGUCUCCUCGAAGACCUACGCGAAGAACGCCACCACCUGAUGUCUAUCAGGCAGAAGCCCGAUGAAUCGCUGAGGAACUUCAUGACCCGCUUCAACGCGGAGAGCUUGCAGGUCAGGGACAAAGAUGAAAAAGUGGUAAUGGCCGCCUUCACGAACGGGCUCAGGGUAGAGGAGCUCUUCUACGAGUUGGCCAAAAAGCCUCCCAUAAACCUGGAGGAGCUCCUAACCGGGCGCACGCGGCCGCCAACGCAGAGGAGGCAGGUCGCCUGAAGAAGGAGUCAGAUCGGAGCUCGGAGAUCGGAAGGGUCGGGCGAACCCCAAGAGGGCAAGGACAUCCCGGCCAAGAAGAAUGUGUUUGAUCGGCUCUCGAAGGAGAAGGCGCCUGCUCCGCCGCCACUCCCAGAGAAGAGCUACACCCCUCUGACACGGCCUAGAGCUCAGAUCUUGGCUGUUAUGGAGGCGGAAGGGCUGGGAGAUCGGCCGCCUAAGAUGGGGACACCUCGGAACAAGAGGAACCAGGACCGGUACUGUGCCUUUCACCGUGACGUGGGACAUGACACGGAGGGAUGCUGGGCCCUACGGAAGGAGAUCGAGGAUCUGAUCCAGCGUGGUUUUCUGGGACGGUUCGUACGCCAUGGCAGGUCGGGCCAGGAGUCCGGGCGCCAUUAUUAUGGAGACCGGCGUGAGGGACAGCGCCGCGACCGCCCUGAGCGGCGUGACGCUCCUCGGGGCCACUCUCCGACCAGGACAUCCAGAACUUGGCGGGGGUGAUCAACACCAUCGCCGGAGGCCCCACGGGGGGACAGCCAUACAUCUCGGAAGAGCAAGCGACCGCCCCCGAAGGGGACGACUCCUUGAAACGCUUGCGCAUGGACGAGGAGAUUACCUUCGGACCAAGGGAUGCGGUCCCCCUGAUUUCCGAGAACCACGAGGCCAUUGUGAUAGACAUCGUCACCAACAACUACCGGGUGAAGAAGGUGUAUGUCGACCAAGGUAGCGCGGUUGACAUUAUGUUCUAUUGGGUGUUCAAGGAGUUCGGACUGAAGGAUGACCAGCUGACCCCGGUUCGGACACCUCUGGUGGGCUUCACUGGACCACCCAUCAGCUCGGAGGGGAUGAUCACCCUGAUGGUCACGGUAGGACAGGCUCCCAAAUGCCGGACCGUUCCCGUUAACUUUGUGGUGGUCAAGCAGUCGUCCCCGUACAAUAUGUUCCUUGGGAGACCUUCUUUGAACGCCCUCCGAGCUAUUUCCUCCACUUUCCAUCUCAGCGUCAAGUUCCCCACCCCUGGAGGGAUAGCCGAGGUGCACGGCGAUCCAGAAGUAGCCAGAGCUUGCUACCUGGCCACGCUCCGCGGGCAGGAAAGAUGGUCGCCCAGACAACCUGUUUGGAGCCCUACAUCCCGGGGGAUGAGGCCCAUCGGCUGGGCACCCAGGAUGAGGUUGAGGAGUUCCCCUAAGGGAGGAUCGGCCCGACCAGGUUCUCCGCAUUGGAACCUUGUUGCCCGCCAAAGAGAAGGAGGGCUUGAAGGCCCUGUUAAGGGAAUACUCCCAAGUCUUCGCUUGAUCGGUGGAUGACAUGCCCGGGAUUCCGACAGAUCUGGCAGUCCACCAUCUCAAUGUGGAUCAUCACUUCAAACCAGUGAAGCAGAAGAAGAGGAGAUUCGCCCCCGAAAGGAAUGAGGUGAUCAGGGCGGAGGUCGGCAAAUUGCUGGAGUCCAAGAUCAUUAUGGAGGUCUACUACCCGACCUGGCUGGCCAAUCCGUCCUGGUGAAAAAGGAGGACCAGACCUGGAGGAUGUGCGUUGACUUCACGAACCUCAACAAGGUCUGCCCGAAGGACUGCUUCCCCCUGCCAAGGAUCGACAGGUUAGUGGACUCUACUGUGGAUUUUGAUGUCUUGUGUUUUCUCGAUACUUUUAAGGGGUACCACCAGAUCGAGAUGGCGGAGGAGGAUAGGGAGAAGACCUCCUUCAUCAUAGAGGAAGGAACUUAUUGCUACCGGACCAUGCCAUUCGGGCUGAAGAACGCUGGAGCUACCUACCAGCGCCUGGUAAACAAGCUAUUCCAAAAUCAGAUCGGGCGGAGUAUGGAGGUGUACGUGGAUGACAUGAUCGUUAAAAGCCGAACUGAUCAGCAGCUCGUCCCCAACCUGAGGGAAAUCCUGGAUAUCCUUCGAGAGAGCAGGAUGCGGUUGAACCCGAAGAAGUGCACCUUCGGGUCAGGUCCGGAAGGUUUUUGAGGUUCUUGGUGUCCCGAGAAGGGAUCCGGGCAAACCCGAACAAGCUCCAAGCUAUAAUGGACAUGGCCCCUCCGAGGAAUGUGAAGGAGGUUCAGCGGCUCACCGGGAGGAUGGCCGCAUUGAGCAGGUUCCUCUCGCGUUCCGCGGUUCGGGGCUACCCUUCUUCCGCGUCUUGAAAGCGCCGAAAGAUUUUCACUGGACUGAGGAAUGCCAGAAAGCUUUCGCCGACCUGAAGGCUUAUUUGGCUGAGCUGCCCACUCUGACCGUCCCAGAGCUGGGGGAGACCCUAUUCCUGUACCUGUCCGCCUGCAACGAGACCGUCAGUGCGGUCUUGGUACGGGAAGACGGGCUCAAAGACCGGUGUACUACGUCAACCGAGCUUUACAAGGGCCAGAGACGCGAUACACGCUGGCCGAGAAGUUGGUUCUUGCCUUGGUGCAUGCUGCUCGCAAUCUCCGCCCUUACUUCCAGACUCACAGCAUUGUAGUCCUGACUGACCAGCCCUUGCGUCAGAUACUCACCAAGUCCGAGGUCUCGGCAGAAUGACCAAGUGGGCCAUCGAGCUGGCUGAGCACGACCUUAGUUAUCAGUCUCGUACAGCGAUCAAGGCUCAAGCCUUGGCGGACUUCCUUGCCGAGGGGGCUAGCUUGACCCUGACCGACCUAAUCCCCACACCCACGGACACCCCGACGGAGGAGCCGUGGGUGCUGUUCGUGGACGGCGCCUCGAGCAAGGAGAGGAGCGGAGCUGGCCUGUUCCUCACCUCGUCCACCGGGGAAGAGCUGACCUACGCCCUUAGGUUCGACUUCCCGACAUCCAACAACGAAGCGGAAUAUGAGGCCCUGUUGACAGGGUUGCGGAUAGCCCACCAAAUGGGCAUCACCGCGAUCCGGAUUCGGAGCGACUCUCAGCUCGUCGUCCUCCGGAUCCGUGGGGAGUAUGAGGCCAAGGACGAUGUAAUGAAAAAGUACCUGGUUAAGGUACGGGAGGCAGUAGCCCUGUUCGGGACUUUUGAAAUCGAGCGGGUGCCAAGGUCCCAGAACAAGCGCGCGGAUGCCCUGUCAAAGCUGGCAUCCUCCUCGUUUGCCCACCUGAGCAAGGAGGUCUUGGUAGACGUGGUGAAGCAGAAAAGUAUCGACCAGGUCCAGGUCCUGGCGAUAGACGGCUCGGCCACCUGGAUGGCUCCCCUCAUUGACUUCCUCAGCUCGGGUGCCCUCCCUGAGAACAAAACCGAGACUCGCCGAAUCCAGUUCCGAGCUGCCAAAUACGCCUACGCCGGGGGAACCCUCUACAAGAGGUCGUACUUGUCCCCCUGGCUAAAGUGCGUGACUCCCGAGGAAGGUGACUACGUUCUGCGCGAAAUUCAUGAAGGUAUAUGUGCGGCACAUGUGGGGUCCCGGGUGUUGGCCAAAAAGUGCCUCAUCUUGGGCUACUACUGGCCCUCCGUCUUCCGAGAUGCCGCAAACUUGGUACAGAAAUGCCGAGCUUGCCAGGUGCACGCCUCGCUGCGCCAUCAGCCAACUCGGGAGAUGAUCCCCAUCCAUAGUCCUUGGCCCUUCGCUCAAUGGGGGAUAGAUCUCCUGGGUCCCUUCCCCCGAGCCCCGGGGAGGUAUGAGCACCUCGUGGUGGCCAUAGACUACUUCACAAAGUGGGUGGAAGCGGAGCCCCUGGUCUCUAUCUCCGGGAGGGCAAUUCAGAAGUUCUUCUGGAGGAACAUAGUUUGUCGCUUUGGGAUUCCGCACGUCCUGAUAUCUGACAACGGGCGCCAAUUCGCAGAGAACCCAUUCAAGAGCUGGUGCGCUGAGAUCGGGAUCGACCAGCACUUUACGUCAGUCGGCCAUCCCCAGGCCAACGGCCAGGUGCAGAAUGCCAACCGAACCAUCCUCCAAGGACUGAAAACCAGGCUGGAGCUGGCCCAAUCCAACUGGCUGGAAGAGCUCCCUAGUGUCCUCUGGGCUUACCGCACCACGCCCAGGACGGCCACCCACGAGACCCCGUUCUCCCUCACUUACGGGGUAGAAGCAGUGGUCCCCGCAGAGAUCGGCCUCCCCUCGCUCAGAACACAGAACUUCGUGGCGACAUCCAAUGACGAAGAGCUGCGGUGCAACUUAGACAUGCUCGAGGUUAAGCGUGAAGAAGCGGCAGUUCGAAUGGCUAGGUACAAAAGCCAGCUCGUCCGCUAUCAUAACGCCAAAGUGAGGACUAUACGGUACCAACCGGGUGACCUCGUUCUAAGGAAGAACUCGAUUAGCCGAGCUCACGGAUCCAACAAGCUCGACCCAAACUGGGAGGGCCCAUACCAGGUCCUUGAGGUGAGCCGAGCUGGCUACUGCAAGCUCGCUGACAUGAAUGGAUCUGAGGUACCCCGUACUUGGCACUUCUCCAAUCUACGACUGUUUGUAGCGUAGGGUAGACCAGGGUGUUCAAGUGUCUGUUCUCUGGAAUCUGAAUUUUUAUUUUUGUCAUUCAAUAAAAGUUCGACUUUAAAAUUUACAUUUCCCUUGUUUCUGUCUACUUUCAAAGUUUUUCAAGUUUGCACCUUGCACUAGCACACUUAGCGUUCCUCGCUAAGUGUCCUAGUGGGGGGCUAAGGGUAGUGAAGGGGAUCAAGGUGAAAAGAGAUCAAGGUGAAAUGUUUGGCCCAGGAGGUCGGCACAGAGGUGAAAAGUUCGGCCCAGGAGGUGCACGGCCUGAAAAAACUUAACUGGGAAGGGUUCUGAAAACUCCGUGCUCGGCCCAGGAGGUCGGCGGGAAGGAAUUCGAAACCUGAUACUCGACCCGAGAGGUCGGCAUGGGUUAAAGUCUCCAAAGCUUCCAAGUUAGUGCUCGACCCUGGAGGUCGGCACGAUCGGGAGCUUGGAUGGAAAGUGAUGCUCGACCCGAGAUGUCGGCAUGGGUUGAAGUCUCCAAACCUUCCUGUGCUCGAUCCAGGAGGUCGGCUCGAUCGAGAGCUCGGAUGACAGGUGAUGCUCGACCCCGAGAGGUCGGCACGACAGAGUUGGAGCAAGCAAGAAAUGCGAAAUAAGUCUUCUCGAGUUUUAUAUGCAUUCAAAACCUAUCUAUUACAAAGCUUACAAAAUCUCUGAGCGGCCUAUCUAUUACAAAGCUUCCGAGUUACCUAUCUGCUACAAAAUGUGCUGAGCCAUGAGGAGAAUACAGCUCGAACCCCCUUCUUCUUGCUGGUAGUUCGUCUGGAGCAGGAGCUGAAGGUACACCUUAAACAUGCUGAGAGGCGUAUGGUGAAGGCUUUCCAGACGGGGGAACUUUCCGUCUCAGAUGGACCUCCAAAAGCAUUUUCAACUGGAGCAUGGUCACAUCCUUAUAAGAAAACGGAAAGGGUUUCUGGGUGGCCGCCGCCCUAAACCACCGGAUCCUUCCCGGCAGCCUGCGGGAGACUUGCUCUCCUCCAAGGGGACCUCCGCCAGCUCGGCCCAACGUUGGUUCGGCCUACCAACUCCUUCAGGGCAUGCCCCUUGCGGUACCCAUCGAAGAGCCAGUCCAGCCUCUCCUCGGCCGCGGGAUUGUAGUCCUUGCAGUCCGCCAAGUUGAAGCCAGGAGGGUUGAGGCUCUUCACCUUGUCCAGGGCCCGCGUAGCGCCGACCUGGAGGAUGGGCAGGUUAAGGAGGGCGAUGUCCUCCUCAAACUGCUCAGAAGAAAGGAACUCCCGAACAGCCUUCUUCCGCUCCCGGCUGACGGUGCCGGAGAGCUCGAUGGCGUGCUCCUCCUUCAGCUUGGCCACGCCGGUCUUCUCCUGGUCGAUCUCCGACCUGGUGGAGGCGAGCUGGACCUGAGCGGUGUCCAGCUCCUUCUCGGCCUUGUCCAGUUUUGCCUUGAGGGAGCUUGCCUCCUUAAGGGCCUGGGAGAGUUUCUUCUCCGUCUCCAGAUUCUUCUUCCGCAAUUUCUCCAGGUCGGGAGACAGUUCGGAGAAGCGGGUCGCCAGGGCGGCACCAGCGGCGUUGGCCUGAAGGGGAAAGAGGACAGGUCAGCACGUCACACUACUUAACCGAGACACGGAGGCAAAACUAUCCCACGGGCUAGACUUACUUGAGUUUGGGCGGUGUAAUACGCGCCCAAGAGCUCGGAAGGGUCGGCCGGCUCCAUCCACCUCCUGUCGUGGGGGAGGACCGAGCCCACCAUCAGCUCGCGAGCCACCUAUGGAAACUGGGCUCGGUCGUUGAUGGAGAGCUCUCAGGACGGGCAGAAGUGGCGGGGGUCAUGCAUCGUGGGGGCUUGGCCCGGUUUCAAGGGAGCAACGUGGCGGAAGUGCCACAAGUUCGGAGGAGUUGACUCCUGGGCAUGCUCCUCGGCGGAGCCCACGCCCAGGUGGACUGGCCCCCCGAGGCCAGCGGGCGGAGGGGCCUGAGCUGGAACCAGCGUGAGUUUCUUCCCGGGCUGGGAGGGCUCGUCCCUUCUACCCCUCUUCUGCCGACCGCCUUCUUCUUGCUGGUGGCCUGCUUGGAGGGGGACGGCUGCGGCGCCUCUUUCUGGGGGCUGAGCCGCCCCCCGGGGUGGGAGCCCCCCUUGGGCCCCCUGGGUAGUCCCGGGCUGGGGGCGGAGGUGACCUCCUCAAUAGGUGCGCCCAGCAACUUGGAGAGGUUCCUCACUGCAACGAACACAACCAGAUAAGCAAAAGGCAGGGCAGUUUAGAAAACCACAAUAUACUAUAAACGCAACAGGGGCAAAGCCAGCGUUACAGGUGUCGAGUUUGGGCUCGGGGUUACCACUUCCCCAGAGGAUCCGGACAACGUCCCUAUCAGCCCGGCUGCGGAGAUCUGCUUAGUGGAGAACCUGGUGGCAUCGAGCUUCACCUUGGAGCCCAACAGCUGGCUGAGGGUAUCGUAGUCCAGGUCCUCCGGGUAGGAAUCGGCCUUGACCCCCCAACCUUCCACACAUUGGGGGAAAAUGUGUGGAUUUGACGAAGAAGAAAUCCUCCUUUCAAUCCUUCACGGAGGAGGGGAGUCCGUGGAACAACUCCUGGGCACCUUUCCCUCCCUUGGUUUGGGAACCCCGGCGGGAGAAGUAGUACCAUCCAGGGAGGGCGGUCUUAAGGAUGAAGGCGGCUCGGAAGAGGGAGAGAGAGUAAGGGAUAUCGCAGAAAAGGCAGUAGAUCAGGAAUCCAGUGAUGAUCCUGAUAGAGGUGGGGUGAAGUUGGGUGAUUAUGAGUCUCCAGUAGUUCAAAAUCUCGGUAAGAGCUGAAGGAAUGGGGAGACGGAGCCCUGCGAAGAGCUGCUCCCUAUAGAUGGCUACGAAACCGGGGGGAGGUCUGCAGGCUCGGUCGUCGGGCCCGGCCGCCCUUGGCUCGUAUGCCGGAGGAAUGGAGUAAGACUUGGCCAGCUCGGCCACGGCCUUGGGGGAUAGGGUAGCCUCUUGCAGGUCUGCAUACCCAUAGGAGAACUCGGGAUCAUCCCCUGCUCAGAAGCAGGGGUCCCCUCAGAGGGAUCCCUAUCCUCCCCAGCUCCACCCUGGGCUCCGCCGGGGGAGUCAUGUGGAGACCUGGGGGGAGAGGCGGAGGUAGCCUGCCGUUCGAUGAGGGCAUCAAGCUCGGCUGCCUCCUCAACGGCUCGGGCUGAAGGAGAGUGGGUAGAAGGAGAACUCAUAAUGACUAUGGGGUCAAGCAGGUCAGGGUUAGAAGCGGAGGAAGAGGAAGGAGGAGGAGGGGAAGGCGACGGCGAGGAUGAGGACGAAGAUGAGGAAGAAAUGAAGAUUCUAGUGGCUCUGCGACGGGCCGGAGACGGGGUUGCGGUGGAAGUAACGUCGGAGUGACCCGACAUAAAAGUCAGGAGAUGGCAGAAGGAAGAAGGAACACUGAAGGAAAGGAAAAGGAAAAAGGAAUCACAAAGGGACUUACUGAUGACGGUCAAGGCAGAGAGAGGAUGGAGGACUCGCCGGAGUCUGGGCGCGGGACACCGGAGGUUGCUGAAAAAUGGAAAUACGAAUGCGCAAGGAGAGUGGUAAUGCAAAAUGCGCAAGGGGAGGAGAAAAUGGCAAAUGGAGUCGGUUGAAAUCCGAUUACCCCUAUUUAUAAGGGGAGAAAUGGGGGGAAGACGGUUGCGUGGAUUUGAACCGACUCCCAUGUGAACGCCUUUAAUGCGGGUACGAAAACCGAAGAGGCGUGACAACUGAAAGGACGCGGGCGCAGCGUCCCUAUGACAGCACUGUACCAGAGGUGACCUUGGCAGGGUAGUGCGCGGCCUUGGCCUCCCACGUGGAAGAGGUAGAUUAGGUCUGCCUGACAGCCUUACCUAAUCUAGGGGGCUAGUGCAGAGGCCCCGUCCUGGGCCGGGACACGUGGUAGCCCAGGUGCUGUCGAACUGGGCCUGAGCCCCAGGCCCUGGCAGCCGUCCAGGGCUGCAUUGCUAGGGCUCCUGGAGGGGCUGAGAAUCCAUCCCGAAGAGGUCAGAGACAAUCCCCCCAAGUGCGGGAUAGGGGCUAUUCUGGGCAGGUCCCGAAACGUACGGAGGUCGGACUUCCGCACAGGUAUAAAUGGUAGAACACAUCAACUGUACAAGGUACGCUCACUAUUGGCAAAUUGCUCCCGGCUGUUUGUACUUCCCGUGAAUUCUUCUCACCGGAAAACUAACUUGGUCGUCGGAGCGCCCUCGGGGACCAACCUUGGGCCCCCCGUUGUUAGCUCAUUCUUAUCUGUUUUGCAGGCUUGGAGCCAGCUCUUCCAUCAGCAUCCCGAGCUCAUCAGUUCAGCUCGGUCCGGGGAAGCUCAGCGCUUCUUCAAAGUACAUAAUAAAUCAUUGUUAAUCAAUUGGCCGUGUACAUAACUUCAAUUCAAGUAAAGUUCAUUGCAAAAGGCAAUUGAAACAAUAUAGUUUUGGCAAAAGCCAUCUUUUACUAUCUCCCUAUAAGAGGCUUCCAGGCAAGUUGCUUGCAACAUAGUACAAGUGAUUAGCCGCAUAUUAAGUAGAUAUAAGCAAUGAGAGAAACCGUCAAUUUUCCCAUCCACUUUCCCACAAAUAAGCACAUAAAUAUUUGUCUUAUAUCUGACUGCUGUUUCUAAGUGAAGAGUACACAAUUAGCAAUCAAGGUUUACAAUAGGUAAUCAAUACUCUUGACCAAUAUUAGUCUAGCAUCACUUACAGCAAAAGGUUAGUGUAUACGGGCCACAUAGAACAGUACAUUUUCAUCUAGAACAACACAUUUUCAGAAUUGAUUUGGAAGAGCAAAUUAUAAUUGGCCACGACAAAAAACCAAAGGAAGAAAAGAAUCAAAAUUAAAGAAGAAAGACAUUUUCAUGUAUGAAAACAGAGCCAAUAGAUGACAUCAGCUUUCAUCUAUUUAUCUACAGAAUUUGAUCAACAUAGUAAACCACCAGGAUGCUUUACAUCGAAGUAGACAGUGUUGGAAAAUUUUCACAUCAAGUUUAACAAAGGAAAUUUGAAUCAAGAACAAUCUGGACAUAUAGUCUGGUCAUAUGUUUAUGGACAUCCAUCACAUUUCAAGGCCUUCAUUCAUCAGACAUAUCCCAAAUGGUAUUUUUCUUACUGAGUUUUGAGCUGAUGUGUCAUCAACCAUUGCAGUCUUCUUCCUACUAAAAUGAGUCAUGUCAUUUAGCUCGAUCGGUCCAAUUAACCUUCCCUCUUUUGCUUCCAAUAGCACAGCAAUAGUUAAUGAACCAAACUUGCAAUAUAAAAGACCAGCUAGUAUAUUUAAUUUCCCGUUCAGCUUUAUGCCGUAGAAAAGAUUUUGUUCCAGCUGUUUGAGCAGUUUUUUGUUUUGAUCUAUUUAUCUUAUUUUGCUCACUUAUCACCUACACUUGUGAUUUCAAACCUUCAUCAAAAUAACAAAGACAUAUCGAGAUUGAAGUAUGUUAAAUGAUCGAAUAUGUGCCAGUACCUUAAAUUUUGGACUACAAAAGUAGUCGCACAAGUACAGCCAAUCAGAUUCUUCAACAUAUUCAGGACAAUUAGGAUAUGGAAGCUUACAAAUAGGAUCCUUAUCUUAAAAAGCAAACCUAAUAAAUUCAUUGACUCCAUCUAAAUAUUUAGGAUCUAGGUAAUUCUUAAUUGACAUCCAGCUCCUAUCCAUAUUUAUGCAGCCCUUUAUCCUAACAUCAAGAAUAAGAACAUAUAAUAUUUUAUUGAAGACAGAGCACUAUGUAUGGAAACUUAAAUUUGCCAAAUACCAACAAUGAAAACCCAAUCAAAUAAAACAAAUUUUCACUAAAGUCCAUGUCAGGUACAAAUAACAACAAUUCAUUAAAAACAAGAUAGAUUAUGUACCAUUACAAAAGAUGCAAAAGAAAGCUCCAAUUAAUUUAAGCCAUUCCUAAAAUUAUACAUCUCAAACUAUACAACAUCAACUCCUAAGUCUGAAAAAAAUAACCGAAGCAGAUUUCUAGUCAUGAACACCUCUCCAUAUGACACAUACCCAGCCUACUCAAUCAUAUUUAAUUUGAGGAGGAAAAAAACUGGGUCAAAUCAAGCACAUAACAUCCCAUCUGUUCCUGUUCUGCGUACCCAUACAAAAGCCCCAAUUAGCUUGUUAGAUAAACUAAACCUACCCCAAAAACUAGUGGCAAAACACAUCUAAUUUAAUGUGUUCUAAGUCUGUUGGAUAGGUUUGUCUAAUGAGGGAAAGAAGCAGAAAGUGUGAUCAACAUUUUACACUACCAACGACAACAACCAGAAAUUUCGAACCGCUAGUGAAUUUUUGUUCAAUUCUCCCCCUACCAAGUCCAGCCGUAGCUGGGUUUUGUACAAAAAAUAGUUGGCAAAUAGCAAGUCCUUCCCAAGUGGGCCAAGAAGUAGAGGAUACAAUUAAUUUAGGGGAUUCAUGAUAACUAGGCAAAAAUUUUUCCCUAAGUUAAAAUUUAGGGCAAUAAAAUUUCAGGGGAUGAAAAGAUUAAUCAUGUAAAUAACCAUAAAAUUACACCCUCAAUGCAGAUUCAACAAGAAUGUGAGUAGAAAUUUUCAGAAAAUAAAAAAAAACAAGUGUAGGGCCAAAAUAUUUGCAAAUUAUCUUCGAGACAAGGAAGAGAGGGAACACGCUGAAAACUCACAGAGAUCUAAUCGGCAUCAACCAAACCGAAUACCUGAAUGGCACUAGAGUGGGUGGUGCUAGGCUACGUUGCUGGAGCUGAAGCAAUCAUGCUUCAGCACAAUGGCAUCAAAAAGGCAGUUAUUAAUCUACGAAACAAUUAUUAAAUUGUAAAAAUUGAAAGGCACAAGAAAGACAUAAUCUGAAAUAAUCAAAACUAUUGGAAAAAUAUUGGAGUCCAAAUCGAAGAGAUCGACAGCUAGAAUCAUGUGAUCAAGAGGAGCCACUACCACUUAAGAGCACUGAAUUCUUUAUCAAUCUAAGAAUCAAAAUCCAAUCUAAGAAACAAUGGUGUAAUAUAAUAUGAAAUUACUAAACACCUGAAAUCGAGCAGAAAUACAAUUUGUCAGGCCUAGAAUCCAUAUAUAUCAGGGGCCUCUCCAGAACUAAACAAGUAAAUCCAAUCUAAGAAACAAUUAUUAAAUUUCAAAGAUUGAACUGUACAAUAAAGACAUAAUCUAAAAGAAUCAAAAUCCAAUCUAAGAAACAAUGGUGUAAUAAAAUAUGAAAUUACAAAACACACGAAAUCGAGUAGAAAUACAACUUGUUAGGCCUCGAAUCCAGAUCAGGGGCUCUCCAGAGCUAAACAUGUAAAUCCAAUCUAAGAAACAAUUAUUAAAUUGCCAAGACUGAAAUGCACAAGAAAGACAUAAUCUGAAAGAAUAAAAAAAUUAUAUUUGAAUAAGAUUGGAAUCCGAAUCAAAGAGAUCGAUAACCAGAAUUGUGUGAUGAUGAGGUGCGGCCACAACACAAGAAAAACUCUAUUGUUCAUCAAUUAGGAAACACUCAAUUCUUUUAUUCACUCAUUAACCACCACACGAUUAUAUUUUCUAUAAAACUUUCCAAAAAUUACAAUCUAAACCGGCUCAUAGUCUCACAAAAUAUGUAGUUCAAAACUCAAUUUUCUUUAUUCAAACCCAAUUUCUGAGCAGGUCUAGUCAAUGUCUGUUCAACUCAAUUGAUUAACUCGGACGGAUUGCCCACCGGAUCCUCGGUUCAAUGUUUGGAAUCUGUUGGUCCCGUAUGGUUUAAAAACGGUGUUAUAUGUUGAUAGAUAAUUGGGAGACAAGGUGGAUAAGGAAAACUCUCGUGAAACCAAUGCGUUCUGAUUUUCAACUACAUAUCUUUAUGGGAUAAGACUCAGAGAGCUGGUUUUUUUUUUUUUUUUUUUUUUUGUCGAUACGAUAGCUUUUUACACUAUUGGGGAGGGGGAGGAUCUGAAAAGGUCCAAGGAUAAUUUGAAGAGGAUUGAAUCACCACCAGACCAAACGAAUGCACUAUAUACCUACCUGGAUUUUUUUUUAAAAUAAUGCCACAUUUAAUUGAGGCACCCCAUCAAGUUUUAAUACUUUGAUGGUGGUCACCAAUGCAAAGGCUGGUGGUUGACUCAGAGAGCUGGCGUCUGCACAUUUCUGGACCAAUCUUUCAUGGGAACAGUAAGGACGGUCCCAGAUGUAGAAUAAAGGGGUAAUUUCAGAAACCUCUGCUAAGGUUUCUGAUAGUCUCGCUAUCCUUCCCUAAGAUUUUCAAAAUAUCAAAAACCUCCCCUAAAACUAAUUAGCUAGUAACAAAUCAGCCCAAUUCAAAUACAAAAACAAUCUAAAAUUAGUGUUAGGAGAGAGAAAACAAUUUAAUUCCAUAACUACCCUCAAGUUUUGCAUUAGAGAGUUAAUUUACUAAGAACAAUAUACAUUUCUUUUAACUUUAUCAAUUGCUGAUCCAUGAAUUUUAAUGUUGAGAUUUUGCUUAAUAGUCGAACCAUUUGCUUAUGGAUGCUGGUUGAAUAUUUUAUAUUCUUAGAUUAGUUAGUCAUAAAUUGAAAAAGUUCUUGAUCUUGAAAGCUUACUGGAGAGAUAUUUCUUGAAAAUUGCCACUAAUACUUAACAUAUGUUUUUAUUUGUAUCUUGGCAAUAGAUGAUUCGAAUAGUAGCCAUUGUUUGAAUUUGAUUGCUUGAUUUGUGUUCUCAUGCUUGAGAACAAGCAUUGUUUAGGUGUAGAGGAAAUUGAUAGGUCAUAAUUUGUUACUAAAUUUAUAAUUAUUUUUCCCUUGAUUUUACCAAAUAUUAUUUUAAUUGAUAGAUUCUACUUAUAUUUGGUUAACGGUGCCAAUUGUAGGAAAAUGAGCAAAAUAUGAUAAAAGGGGUAAUUUUCCAAGAAUUACUGUCAAGUCUAGAGAAGUUCGGGAUUCAAAGUCGGAAAGUCGGGAUUGAUAUUGGGCAGUUUCCCAAUCCAAGUCAAAUUCCAAAACUUGACAGCUACUGAAGUUUCCUAUUUCUUUGCAUUCCACGUCAAUCUCGAGCAAUUGGGAGAGUUUUUAGGAAAUUGAAUUGUAAUAGGAAACUCUUUAGGAAUUUGAUUGGUAUUAGGAAACCAAUCAAUUAAGCAAUUCGCCAGGGAGAAUUCAGCAUAUAGCUCUUGCUUAGGAACAAAGCAUAGUUAUUCUUGUUUUCUUGACCGAUUGACAAGAAGACAAUUGGAAAGCUUCUAACAGAUUUUUGCAUGGCUUGUUCUCCAUUAAUGGAGAACUAAUUUUAUAUUUCUAGUCAAGGGGACAACUAAAGAUUUGGUUCAACAAUAACUGUGAGAUCUAAAUUAUUUUAAUUGCUUCUUUCAUUCAUUGAUAUUUAUAUGUUUCUUGCUUUUAGUGGCUAUGACUAUUGUGUAUGGUUGAAUAGUUGUGCAAUAUUUAAUUAUUCACGUAGUCUAUUUGCUAAUUGGGAGUAGUUGAAUCCGUAAUUGUUUAAUUACUCCAUCCCGAUAGCAACUAGCAUGAUUGGUUUCAUGUUAGGGAAACGUAUGAUAUAACUUAAACGAACUCUCGUAACGUGUUUGUUGGUUAGAGUUGGGCUUUUCCGAUUCUUAUUGCAAUCGAGAAAUUAAAUCAUAUAGUCGUACUUAGGGUUAUUUCUUGGUUAGGAAAAUAGUUAAUGGUUAUACCUUGACUAUCGAAAAAGUAAGGAAAGGCUGGUUGUUAUCGCAUGCAUGAUAACUAUAACCAAUCUAUUAAUGAGUAAUUGAAUUAUCUUUGUAUCGAUGAUCAGUUGAAUGAAUCGUGUCUGAAAAGUUAUACCUUUGAUUAGAGUCGUAUUGGUUAUUGAUUAAUUCAUGUUUAUUUCUAUUAGUUGUUUCAUUAGUUAGUUAAUUAGUUAUAUUAUAUCCUCCAAAACCCCCCAUACUUCGGACCCUGGAAGAAACGAAUUAUCCCCAAUCCCUGUAGGUUCGACCCUACUUGCCCAAUAUACAAAUUAGAGAUUUUUCGUGAAUAAAUUCUGGUAUAUCGAAUUUAGCAAAUUCUUUGGAACCAGGGUGAAUCUAGUAACCAUUGCAUAUCUAGAGUCCCUGCUCCAGUACCAGAAUUGACACGAAGUUGCUUCUGUUGGCGAGUAGGAUUAUUAAUAUUAUUAUUGCACAGGCUCGAUACCUGUCAAUACUCACCUAACAAACCUCCACCCGGGGAAAUUUUUUCAAAAAAAAAUCUACAUUAGGGUAUACAUUAGCAGAAAAUGAAAAAAAAAAAAACUUUAGACUGCAAUCUAGUAACAUGUGUCCCAGGUGCACAAAGAAAUUGAAACAUAUAGAGCUUUGAUUGUCAAAAGUAGCACUAGUACUCCUCGGAGUUUAAUUCAAAUACAGAUGAUCAAAUGUGAGUGACGCCUUGCGCAUAGCGGCAAUAGAAAACUAUGAAAGGAUAUGCCACGGUGUGUCAGCCAACCGUCUUUAGAGUUGAAAUUCUUGCAGGAGCUUCUGUGAUUGUAUGGUUUUGUAAUCUAGCAGCAUCAGAUUUUGUGAGGCGAUGCGUUGAUGAAACUUGGGUAUUGGUAUUCAAUCCCAAGAUCUUUCAUGUAAAAUGACUCGGAUGCGGCAAAAGCCUUGGAUUCUCUGCUCCGGUCAACUUGAAAUUGGACUUAGUCCCAGCACUUUAGGAAGUUGGUUAUUAGCACAUUAAAAUUUUUAUACUAAUUGUAGUAAGUAAUAUUUGGAGGGACCAUAAGUUCAAGUUGAAAAGAGGCAUGGUGAAAAUCUUUCCAAAUACAUACCCUACUACUUAUACAAAUAAAAGAGAGAACAAAAAUAUAUAAGCCAUUAAUACAUACUAAAAGUUUUUACAGCAAUUACAUGGUGAAUUCAUUAAAUUAGGCAUUUGGUUGACUUUGACAUGUGUGUCAAGUCAAAACAUUGUCAAAAAUUGCAACUUAUUGUAUACUGAUUUACUCAGCAAAAAUAAAUUUAGUUAUUUAUUGAAAGGAAAAAACUUUUAAAAUUUUGUUUUUCUUAAUAGAUACAUCGAAUGCCAUUGUUAAUCUCCACGUACUUUGAGGCACCAUUAUUGCCAACCUUGCGUCUAAGCAUUUAUCCAUACAAAAAUAGGUGAUUUUAAAAGCUAAAGACAUUUUUCAACCUUUAAAUGUAUUUUAAUAUGCAUAAACAACACGCUUAACCGCUUAAGUAUUACGGUAUUCUCUUGUGUUAUCCUGAAAUUUUAGAUUUGUACAUGUAUUUAUAAUUUUCAAAGUCACAUUGUCUAUGAUGCUACCACGAUUCUCUUCCCUAUUUAAUUUACUAUCCUUUUGCAACAAGAUUGAUACUUGAGACCCUAGUUAAGAAGUACAUGGGGCAUUUCAUCAGGCAAACUCCUUAUCAACUACUUACUCACUCUGACAUAGUUUUAUCUUCAAAAAAGAAAUUUUGGUUGAAUACUAAUACAGAAGAUUAGUGCCAAUUAACAAAUAUUAACUUAUGAAUGGUAAAUAAAUAAGAAGAGUUGUCACUCUACUUUGCACUCCAAAAUUUGUAUCACUUUUCCGCUUUGUAUGCUAAAUUUUAAUUUUGAAUACUUUACAUCCUAAAUUCUUAAUUUUGGACACUCGUAGCUUAAUCUCUCAAGUUUAUUCCAUUUAAAUACAAUCAAUGAUAACUUUAGUAAAAUUAACGGUAUCAACAGCUCAAUAAAUCAAUGACAAUAUACUGAAAGUGGUCAAAAGAUGCUAAAAUAUAGUAGCAAAAGUAAAAUAAUACACUAUUAUUAAUUUGCAUCAACUUUUAUCUUGUCAAUUUUACUAACAAUAUUAGUAAUUAUACCAUAUAAAUCAAUAACAAUCUAUCGAAAGUUGUCAUAUUAAACAAUUCUCAACUCAUAUAUCCUUUUUUAUUUUGUUUUUCUUUCCCUUUGUAGAACUGGAAGCCAUUGGGAAUUUUGAAAAUGACGCAAUUAAAAGCAUUCCCUUGUGUCCAAUGAUGGAGCCAAGGGGGACAGAGGGGGGCCCAUGGCCCCCCUAAGUUUUGAAAAUUUUAAUUCAUAAUAUGUAAAUAUAUGUGUAAAAUAAAAUUGACCCCUCCUAAAUUUUUUCAAUUUUAGUUUAUAUUAUGAGAGUUGAGAUAUAUAUAUAUAUAUAUAUAUAUAUAUAUAUAUAUAUAUAUAUGAAUUAGUCAUCUUUGAAUUAAUUUUUUUCUUCAGAAAAAGUUAUUUAAUUUUUAUUGUACUAAUUAUUUAACUUUCAAAAAUUAAACAUAUAAUUUGAUGUUCCAUAGUAAAUUGACCCAAUGUAAUGUAUUAGAAUAAAAAGACCCAAUUCAUAAUUUUUAAUGGCCUAAAAAGACCCAAUUCAUAAUUGUUAAAAGCAAGAACUAGUACGUCUAAGAAUAGAACUUCAAUAUUUUGAGUUCGACAUUCCAAAUCAUCAUGAAUUGCAAGAAUUAUCUAGUAUUCAUGAGUUAUGUCAAGACUUGGUGAAGACAAGAAAAUCAGUGAUAUAUCUUCUUAUUGACAGAUUUAUUAGAUUUGUUAUUACUCUUCCUAUAUCAACUACAACUACAGAGCGGACAUUUUCAAUUAUGAAAAUAAUCAAGACAAAGCUCCGAAACAUGAUGCAAGAUAAUUUCUUGAAUGAUUGUCUAACAGGAAGUUGCUGAAAAAUUUAGCAAUGAUUCAAUCAUAGAUGAAUUUAGUUCUAUGAAAGAGCAUAGAGCUCAAUUUACUUCUAAAAAAAGAUAUUGAAAUUUCAAAUUAUGUUAACAUAACUUUUAUCUUUUUUCAAUUGAAAAUAGUUACAUUUAUAUUACAUGGUUAUAUAUAUAUAUAUAUAUAUAUAUUAUAUAUAUAUAUAUAUAUAUAUAUAUAUAUAUAUAUAUAUAUAUAUUGCAUAGAUGACAUAUUGGAGAGCAUCUUCUCAUAAUGUGCAAAUUGGAUGGUUUGUGAUGUUAUAAGAUAUUUAAUCAAAAGUUAUCUUUUUUGUUAUGACUAUACCGCAUAUUUAUGAAUAGACAUACCUUUAUAAUUAAAUUUAAUAUUUGAUAUUUUUAGAUGUCAAAUAUUUGAAUAGAAGAAAAUUAUUUUGAACAUAAUAUAUUAAAAUAAUUUUAUUAGGAAAAAAUUUUGGCCCUCAAAAAAAAAAAAUCCUGGCUCUGUCACUGCUUGUGUCCCGGCAUACAUCUAACAGUAGCUAAAUCAGAACGGCCCGUAGAAAAAGCUGUCCAAGACAUAUUCUCACCGUGGCUAGCUAUUUCAGAACUCGAAGAAGAAGGUGCCGAAAAAUAUGUCACAAUUGUAAAUCAAAACACGAAGAAAAAGGUGUCCAAGACGUUCCAAAAGGCUGCCUCUCCUAAUCUUCUGGUGGGUAUAAUGCUGACCGUGGUUGCCAGUUUGUCUUCAAAAUGGUACAUUUUUGGUACUCUAGACAAUAAAUAAAUAAAUAAAUAAAAACUUUACCUGCAUUUGGUAUUAAGUAAUUUUUCACUUUAAUUUUCCUUAAUUGUUGUUAGCUGUCAUACAUUGGUAAUUCAAUUUUAAAGUCAAAAAAUUUAAUUGAUUUGCAAUGAUAAUAUGGAACCAAAUUGGACAAAACUCCAAAUAUAAGGGACAACGAUAGUUUUCUUGAUGUGCACAUGCAAUUCAUGUGAUCAGUCAUCGGUUAGCUCUCACGAAUUACCGUUUUUAAGUUAACAUUUAUCAUUUUUCAUGAAGAUAAGGAGAAAAUUAGUUGAUUGUAUAGAUUAGGUUCUACAUUGGUGAUGAUAAACUUUGCCACUGGAUAAUGCCUAAUUGGCCGUAACAAAUGAAGUUUCGGUACUUGAGGUGACGCACUAGUGAAACCAUGCAUUCCAGGGAUAAGAAUUAAACUUGGAAAUCUGAAAGAUAACUAAAGAAUAAAUAUUAGAAUCAAUAAUAUAAAAAAAAAAGUUUCCAAAUCAAAUCAAAAUUAUUGAAAAUUGACCAAAGCUCAAAUCCAAAUCAAAUAAAUCCUUACACGUUAAACCCACGAGAAACCUGUUAUCAAGAGGUGCAAUUACCACUUGAUAAAACUCCAAUGUAGCUAUCACCUCGUGGAUCACACAUAUAUUGGGUCCUCUUAAUUAUUUUCAGUUGGUACGAAAUCAUUCAGAUAUGAUUUCCGUGACAAAUUCUGAGUGUAACGCAAUAUUCACCUCAACCAGUUGAGACAUUGUCUGAUAACCAUGAAAUUUGACUCUCCAAUUCUUGGGUUUUGCCUCUCUCUUUAUAAGGUGUAGAAUGUGGGUUUUCUUUCGAAUGAACCUGGUUCUAAAGAAUGCUAACUGGCUGACAAUUGCGGAAGUUUUUGUGCAUAUCUCUACCAUGAAGCCAAUCAAAAUGUGAAUGGACUAGACAUAAAGGGCAGUAGUUUAAAAUUUGUAGUGAAAUUAACUUAAUUACCUCAAUGGGAUUGAACUAAAAAAUGCAAUCUUCUAUUCAGACAAAAUUCAUAAGUUCUAAGUUCAUUAAGAAAGAUCAAUGCCUGUCAUAUUAAUGCAAAAUUAUUGAUAACAACAAGAAGGAUACUUUUAGAGGUGAUAUAGUCUAGAGUCCAUGCAUCUAACCCACUCUCUUGACAUAGAUUGGAGUUCAGUGAGCGUUAAACUCAAGUCCAUUGGCCAAAAAAAAAAAAAAAAAAAAAAGACUCAAGUCUAUUCAAAAAACCAAACAUUGGACUCCAAACCAGUGAUGUCGAAUUGAUUAUCCAUGGACGCUAAAACCGCCAGAAACAAGUCAUCAAGAGGUGAAACUACCACAUACGACAAUACCCAAUUAUUUAGCAAAUCAAGGAUAAGGAUUAGGACUGUCAAUGGGGCUGAGCCAGCCCGAGCUCGGCUCGUUCGGCCCGACAGAAAGCCCGAUGAGCCCUAUCAUUUAGUGAGUCGGUCUGAGUUUGAGCCUAAAAAUUAGGCCCGAAUUAAAUGUGAGCCGAGUUUGGGCCUUAUUAGGCUCAAACCCGAUAUAGGCCCGACCCUUUAAUUACCUAUAUAUAUAAUAUUUAUAUUUUGAUAUUAUGUAUAAUUAUAUAUCCAAAUAUAUUUUUACUAAAUACUAAAUAUAUAUAUAAAUUACAAAACACAAAAAUACAUCUAAAGACUCUUUCGUGAGCUUUCUUGAGAGCCAAUAUUAGUAAUGCAUAACUAAAUCUCUAAUUUUUCUUAUUGGUUGAGUAAAUUUUUGUAUUGGCAUAUUAUUGGUUGAUUUUUUUUUGGUCUACAAACACAAAAAUCAUCAAGCAUGUUCGGAUUUAAAUCACAAGAUUAUAAAAAAAAAGUUUCAACUUUUAAAGAUGCAUUGGCUUAUGAUCGCAUGUUUUAUUACUAUUUUUCAUGCAUUUUAAACGGAUUAAAUAUAAAUAUUGUUGAAAAAUUUUUUGGUUUAUAUACUUUUUAAGAACUAUUAUUUGUUCAUGUUUAGUUUUAAUAUUAUAGUCUUGUAUAUGUUAAAUUAGUUUUACAACUUAAUAGUUAUAGUAAUUAUAUUAAGAAAAUUAAGGAGUAAUAAGUGAGCAUGGGCUAAACCCGAUUAAGGCUCACAACCCAAAUAUUAUAUGAGCUAAGUAUGAGUUUCACAUUUACGAACCCGAAACUCAUAACCCGAAUCCCAAAAAUGUUUCAAAUUAAAUGAGUUGAACUUGAACUCAUCAAAGCCCGGCUCAUUAGGCCCGAUUGACAGGCCUAAUAAGGAUCAGACAAGUAUCAGGGUAUUAAUAGUCCUCUAUAUUAUUUAUUUGCAGCUGGUACGAAGUCAAUUAAUCAGAGAUACCCACCAAAUGACACAACUUAAGACUUGAAGGAAAAAUAUGAUUGCUGAAGAAUCGUUAUCAGAAUCAAAUCAUUGCACCUUAAAUACAACGUUUUUGGAUUCGUUAGGUUUGCAUCGAGGUGGAGAAGAUCUCAAUUACAUACAAGCAAUUAACAGCAGAAGAAACAUAGCUUUAAUAUCUGAUUCUAGUAAUGGUUUCUGGCAAAGAAUACGUUGUCCUUCACGAGUAAUGUUUCUAGAAACAAUCUUUAUAUAUUUUGUGUUUAAAAUAACUUGAAGAAUACGGCAAAAGUAAGCUUUGGUUUGUGGACUGAUGAGUAAACACUAUGAAAUGAUGAGUAAACAUCAACACUAUAUGUCUGGAAAGAGAGGAAUUACAUUAUUUUUAGCAACAAGGUUACUAAAAUUGGGGGUUAUUAUAACUUUAUCCCUUUAAACUAUAGUGCUAAUAUCAAUUUACCUUUUUAACAUUAUUUUGCAGGCAUUUGACCUCGCAGUUAUUCUCCUUUUUCAUUCUAAAAGGACCAAGAAAAAUGUAAAAGGGUUCCCUUUUUUUUUCAUUCUCAACUAUUAAGAAAAAAAAAAAGAAAUUGAAUAGAGGUUGACAGAAAACUCAAUUUCAGAAAAAAGGAAAAUAAAGAAGAAUCCAAUAUUAUAAUUAAUUUAAAAUAAGUUAGAGUGGGCAGUAGGGGUGAAGAGUAAGUAGUAAUUUUAAAAUAAUAAGCACAUUGGAUUCUUUAUUAUUUUUAUUUUCUUUUUUAAAAUUGAGUUAUCUCUCUAUUUUCAUAUUUUAAGUAUUGAUAAGUACACAAGGAAAAAAAGAAGAAGACAUUUUUUUUUUACUUUUUUCCCCUUGUUAUUAAAGAGGGUGGAAAAAAGGGAGAAGACACUUUUUUAUUUUUUUUCUUGGUAUUAAAGGGGAAAAGGGGGAAAAAACCAUUCCAAUUUUUUUUUAUUUUUAAUCAUACAGGAGAGAGAUGUAUUUCUUCUAAAAUAUUAGGUAAAUUAUAUAUAAUUUCCUGUGUUUUCAUCUAUUGCCACAUGAUCCCCAAAACAUUUUAGGGUUUUAUGUGGCUGAUGUAAGGGAAAAAAUUCAUAUUAAUACCUUAAAUUUCCCUUAAGGAGUUUUUAUAUUUAAAUCAAUUAUUCAAUGAAUAUAUUUUUGUUUUUCUUCUAGUCUUAAAGAGUCUUGCCUCAGGCCUAAAUCAUUUCCACUAUAUUCCUUUGGCCAAAUUUACAAUCGUAUAUUUGUGUUUGUAGUCGUUGAUUGAACUUUGGUCUUAGGAAAAAUGAUAACAAAUGGAAAGAGUGAGAUACAAGUCAAUUAAAAAACAUCAUUAACACUAGAAUUUGUGAGACAUGGAGACUUGGAUUAUAAAAAGGAUAAGAAAACUUGAAUAGGUGAAAAAAGGUGGAUUAAAACUAUAUGAAAGAAGUAGCAUAACAGUGAUAUAGUAUUUGGUGAUGGGAAGAUUCUUGGAGAUGUGUUUUUUAAGUUUGAUAGGCAUUUUAUUACUUUUGGGAAGAUUAUUAUAAUCAUUUUGAGUCCUUAAAAAAAGCAUGGACGUAUAAUAUUUGAAUAUAGAGGUGGGCAACAUGAGAUUAUCAGAAAUCUUAGAAGAAGUUUUUGAAAUUAUCCUUUGCUGUAAUACUAUUCUUUUUUUUUCCUACCUUGUGAUUAUUGAUUUCCACAUUCACACUCGAAAUGCUAAGGCAAAAAGCAAAAUUCAAGGAUGAAAAAUGAAAGAAAAAGAGACAAGGUUAUAAACAUGGGGAAAGACUCUAGAUUUGAUUAAUGCUAACAUAUUAUAAAAUGAUUAUAGCAUUUCUUUUUCAUUUUUUAUGAGUGACACUUUUUUAAAAAAAUUAGUAGGGGAAUGAUGGGAUUUAAAAAGCGAAAAAAGAACAGGGAGAUCAAAAUUCAGGAUCUCUAAUUCCUGGGAGUAACAUGAUAAUAUUAUUUCUAAAAACCCAAUAUCAAUCCUAUUGGUGUAAUAUAAAGGAAUUUGGAUGAUUGAAGUGUUUAAAAUAUAAAAUACUUCUUAAUUAUAAUAUCUUAUUCAUUAGUCGAAUGUGGAAUCUUAUGUUUGUUGCCCCUUUCUUUUUUGUUUUGGAUUUGGGUUUUUGGCGUUGAACUUUGAGUAUGAAUUGAGUAAGAUUAUAGCAUGAGAAGGUUCAUCAUGUUCAUUUAAUUAAGGUCUUCCUGCAUUUAAAAUGGGAGCUUACAUGACAAAAAAAAGAUUGAAAUGGUAAUAAUUUACAAAAGAGCAUCAUAGUGGGAACAUUUUUCCUAAAAAAGGUCAUUUCAAAACUAAAUUCCGAGAAUCCAUGGUUUCAUGUGGGUUUUCUUUUCAUGGACGUGAUUAACAUCAUGUCUCUUAUCAUAUCCAUGAGGAUUAUUAACAUCCAAGUCCUAGAGCCUGAUUGCAUUAGUACUAUCCUUGGCCUUGGGUAUAAUAUCACAAGUUCCUCCCUGUAAAGGUUGCAAUGCGUUUUAAGAGAGUGAGAAUUAAGUAUAUCACGGGAAAAAAAAAAAUGAAUGGCAAAGUAACUUACCAGAACAACAAACAGAUGGAGGAGGAUAAUCCAACAAGCAAGUCCUUUGGAAUCCAUCAAUUGGUAGGUUUUAUAUCCCUUGCAACUCCUCCUUUGAAGGAUUAGAAAACAGCAGAAGCAAAUGCCAAAUAUUACAUAUCGAUGAAAAGUGUGCUUGAUUAGAAGGUUCUUUUUCAAAUAGUCGAUUAAAAUAUGACCCCUUGAAAGAUAGUGUUUCUUAUUGAGGUUGAAAAAUGAACCAAAUUACUUGAUACUCAAAUCAAAUUUUGCUAAAUAAAAGUUUGUUUGAACUUAGUUUGCCAACUAAUCAAAUCAAAAUUUAAGAAGUAUUAUUAUGUGUUAGAUUAACUAUCAAAUUUGGCAUUAACUUGGCUUGAUUAACAUAAAAUUAGAAUUUACAAGUAAAAAAUUCAAGUUACUCAAGUUCGAUUCAUGCUCAAUUCUAUAAAAAAAGCUCAUUUGAGUUUGGCUUAAUUAAUAAACAAGUCAAGUUUGAAGACCUUCCUCUUAAAAAAAUUUUAAAAAAAUCAAGUUUGAGUACUGUUUCAAGUUUAUUAAAUAAUCUAACAAGUUUGAAUACUAGAACAUUGAAUCUAGGAGAUCUAGACAAAAUCACUAAAUUUAUUUUAGACCAUAACUGUAGAUUAUUUAGAAAAAAAGGACCAAAAUGUAGACCUACCCACGUGAUGCAAACCAACCAGCCACGUGAUCCAUGCUGUAACCUUGCUAGCUUCACUUACCUAUCGCCUUGUAUAAAUAGCCGUAUAGCCCCCAAGAGUCUUUUCACCACCAAAGUUACAUUUUGAGUCUGUUCAUAGGCAAGGCAUGGCUUCAUCUAUCACUCUGAUCGCAGUCUUUUCAAUUGCCCUGGUAAGGUUUCUCAACCAUCAAUACUGUACUUGAAGUAGUAGUUCAUAUGAGAUAAUUGCUAGACUGUAUAGGAAUACUGAUGAAACCCGUGAAUUAAAGCUACCUGAGAAAACACAUUCUUCUUCCUUUUUGCACAUUUAUCUGCAGCUCUAACCAUCGCCACUGAAGGAAUGGAAGCUCUUCAGAUGGCUCUGUAGUUCUAUUCUCAUAAAAGCUUGACUUCCAAACAUUACCAAUGCUGGUACCAUACUUAAACGUCAAUGUAACUUGAGUAACGGCAUAUGACACUAUUUACCCUUUUUUAGUUAGAGGAUUCAUCCGGGAAAGAUUGAAAGUCAAAUCAAGAACCUUAAAAUCAACAUAAGGAAUAUUCCUGUUGCCAGUUGAGCUCGUCUUUGGAAAUUAACUAUCCUUCCCUACAAGGGGUCAUCUUUUACGGUGCUACCAUCAACAUACCUAUAUUGACGUUAGUUUCUUUUAUGUUAAUAUUUGCACAAAUGUGCAAUUUGCAUGCAUCACGGAAGCAAGGAAGAAUCCUACGGACUUUUUGCAAUCUGCUGUCAUUAAUGAGCAUACUGAGGACAAUCACCAUGCAGAGUCGUCCCUUUCCAAUCAGAAGAAGACAAGUAAUGGUAACACAUUGAAGGAUUUUGAGUCGAAGCCCGGCUCCUUUCUCUGGGGGGUAUCAAGGCAACGAGGCUGAGUCUAAGUCUAAGGAGGAGAAGCCUUUUAUGAAAGGCUUUGAGUCGAAGCCCGGCUCCUUUCUCUGGGGGUAUCAAGGCAACGACGCUGAGUCUAAGUCUGAGGAGGAGAAGCCUUUUAUGAAAGGCUUUGAGUCAAAGCCCGGCUCCUUUCUCUGGGGGUAUCAAGGCAACAAUGCUGAGUCUAAGUCUAAGGAGGAGAACCCUCUUAUGAAAGACUUUGAGUCGAAGCCCGGCUCCUUUCUCUGGGGUAUCAAGGCAACGACGCUGAGUCUAAGUCUGAGGAGAAGAAGCCUCUUAUGAAAGACUUUGAGUUGAAACCCGGCUCCUUUCUCUGGGGGUAUCAAGGCAACGACGCUGAGUCUAAGUCUAAGGAGGAGAAGCCUCUUAUAAAAGACUUUGAAUCGAAGCCCGGCUCCUUUCUCUGGGGUAUCAAGGCAACGACGCUGAGUCUAAGUCUGAGGAGAAGAAGCCUCUUAUGAAAGACUUUGAGUUGAAACCCGGCUCCUUUCUCUGGGGGUAUCAAGGCAACGACGCUGAGUCUAAGUCUAAGGAGGAGAAGCCUCUUAUAAAAGACUUUGAAUCGAAGCCCGGCUCCUUUCUCUGGGGGUAUCAAGGCCCUCUUAUGAAAGACUUUGAGUCAAAGCCGGCUCCUUUCUCUGGGGUAUCAAGGCAACGAUGUUGAGUCAAAGUCUAAGGAGAAGAAGCCUCUUAUGAAAGACUUUGAGUCGAAGCCAGGCUCCUUUCUCUGGGGAUAUCAAGGCCCUCUUAUGAAAGACUUUGAGUCAAAGCCCGGCUCCUUUCUCUGGGGUAUCAAGGCAACGACGCUGAGUUUAAGUCUAAGGAGGAGAAGCCUCUUAUGAAAGACUUUGAGUCGAAGCCCGGCUCCUUUCUCUGGGGGUAUCAAGGCAACCACGCUGAGUACAAGGAGGAGAAACCACUCGUGAAAGAUAAUUAAUGUCCAGGGAAGCCGCAACUUUACCUCUGAAUGGACCACGGACAUAUAUGUCUUCUAGCUGGUCUGAUUUUCUGCAUUUUCUUUAUUGGCAUGAACAUGUGUGAUAUGUAAUAAAUGCAGUUCUUCUUUCAACCAAGCGUUCUGUAUAAUUAAUUAAAUGAAAGUCAGUAGCGUUGAGUGCAUUUUCUGUUUCUUUGUUUGUUGUUUCUUUUUGCCAUUUACCAUAGACAGGAAGCGCACAAAAAAGAGCACUAUUCAAGCAUGACAAGAAUCAUAGAGUGAGCGAACCAACUAUACCUUGAUAAUCUAAAAAGAGUUCUGCAAACUCGUACUCUUGUACGAAACCAGGACCAUAUAUAUAUAUAUAGAUAUAUCGAUUCAAUUUUCUAAUGAUGUGUGUGGUACGAACGCACAUUAGAAGUACAGAAAAUUCUAGUGUAAAUUUUCACAAAAGAAGAGAAAGAAUGGAGAACUCUUGAAGCGUGAUUGAUCGCUAUUCUUAAGAAUUUAAUUAUCCAUACUACACUAAGUAUUUGCUGUAGAGAUAAAGGUAAUUUAACUUUAAGAUACAACAAGAGAAGAAGAAGUUGAUAGCAAUAUCAAGUUUCUCAAACUAAGAAAUGAUCAAAUAAUUCUAGCUAGUUUUGACAAUAAAAGGCUUGUUUUUUUACAAGUAACCUGUUUUCCACUCGUCUUUAAGUAUCCUUCGAUACGUGGCACUUAAUCCCAAUUAUUUGACUUUAAACUUCGUUCUGUCAUGUGGAUUCUAUGUGUUAGUAUAUACAAGACUAAUCUUAAACAUUACUUGAAAAUCAUAUUAUAUGUAACUGAGUACCGCAUAACUUGCAAUUAUCCACUUACGCUCUCAAUAUUAUUGGGAAAUUACAUGGAUUUUCGUUUCGGUAACUCUAAUUAUAUAGUCUCACGAUCCAUCUUAACUGAAGGGGCCAUUAUGAAUUAGAUGAACAUGAAGUUGUAUUUCGAUUCUCAAGCUAUUCCGUUCCUCUUUCUUCAUUGUAAGGAUUAGAGUCUCUUUUGGAGGGAAAAAAAAACACUCUAAUUAUACAGGAUUAAAGCAAAUAGCAAUGGUCUAUAAAAGGAUAAAAAGUAAGCAGGCUGGGGCAUAUUUAUUAAAACAUGAAAAUAAUAUGAAAUUUUAUAAUACACAUGAUACGAAAAAUAAACUGUACGUAAAUAAUGCAAAUAUAUUCGAAAGUACAAAGCUGAAAAUACAGCUUCAUUUACCAUGUGCAUAAUAGCUGUGUGCACAUUCCAGUGAAGAUUUUUUUAUUUUUAGUAUAAGUGAGAAAUUUCGAGUUCUAAAUCUUUCACUUACACUCUCUUGUCCUAUAUCAUCCAAUCCAUCCCUUCCCAUAUUUUUAUGAAGAUGAGUACAUAAUGUGAGUUUUUAUUUUUGAGGUGAAUAACUUGUUCACAAAAAAGUUUUCUCGAUUUAGGUAAAGUUUAAACUUUACGUUGUCUAAACAACGCAAGUAGAUGCCACUAGGACAGAAGUCAUUAUGAUGACUUCAUCCAAGGUAACAAAAAAAAGGCGUACAAUUGCACUUAAAAUUUGUGAAUUUAUAGUACUAUUUCAUGGUUUAUCGCCUCAAAGUUAACAAUAAAUAAUGUUUUGAACCCCAUUUAAACAACUUAUGAGUGUAAUUCAAAUUUAUUGCUCUAUUAUGUGUGUACAAUGUAUCAAAACAAAGAGUAGCAAAUUGUGUUUUAUUGCACUUUUUGUUUAGCUAGCUUCAUGCAAAUUAACCUUCGUAGAUUAUAGGUAAAGAAUUGGUUUGCCAUUCAAUGUAUCCAAGAAAUAUGUGUUAGUACAUAAUGUUUAUUUUAAUGGAUGUACUGGUGUAAAACAAAAUUACAAAUUAUUAAGUUUUAAACUUUACAAGUACUUAAAGGACAAUAAUUUUUUAUUAAAUUAAAAUUUUCCGUUCUGUGAUUUGGUAGUUUAUCUUAUAACCCCUCUAUAGUUUAAAAAUCUGUAAUCAACCUCCUCAUAAUCUGGUUAACAUAUCAUCAUUAAUUUUCUAAAGUUUAAGCAAAUUAAUAUAUUGAAAAAUUUAUCCUUUCACUAAUUCUUUGAGGUAGUUACAAAAGUAUUACAAUUAUUAUACACCUUAAACUAUGUAUUUGUUUUCAAGUAAACACAAAAGAUGCAGCAAACCAUUUUUAGCCAAGUUAAUAAAAUUGCAAAUGUAACAAUAUAAAGCACCUUAUGAAAAAUUACUCUAUAUGAUUAAGAAAAUAAUUUAUAUUUAUUAGAAUGGAAAAAGUUGCCAGAAGAGGGAGAGACCAUAAGAAAAAUAGUUUAGAGUGAACUGCAUCAAUCAUGCCUUCCAUCAGGGAAAAAAGGGUUAAAUACCAAAAACCCCCUGGAGUUUGCCUAAUGUUUACUUUACCUGCCUAUGGUUUGGCAACCUACAAUUUGACUUCCUGUAGUUUCAACUAAAGUAAAAGUCUGACAGAAAACAUCUAAACUAACGUCUGAAAGGAAAAUGUCAAAAUUGCCCCUCUAUAAGGGUUUUGGGUUAAGCACCAAAAAUCCCCCUGUGGUUUGUCAAAUGUACACUUUACCUCCCUAUGAUUUUAAAACAUACAAUUUAACUCCCUGUCGUAUCACCUAAAGUGAAAAUCUAACAAAAAUUCCGUUAAAUACACUUUAGUUGAAACGACAGGGAGUCAAAUUGUAGGUUUCCAAAUUAUAGGGAGGUAAAGUAUACAUUAGGCAAACCACAGAGGGGUUUUUGGUAUUUAACCCAAAAAAAAUGAUAGAUGUGCGUGUAUAUAGGUGACGGGACUUUUAUAUCAAUGCAAGUUUAAAUCCGAUUUUAUACUCGUUGACUACAAAUAUACAGGCCGAAAUCGUAAUGUAAGGUGUGUAUCGGGUCAAUCCCACGAGGAGCAAAUUAAAUAAGUACUAGACCCUUAUUUUUCUCUAUUAUUUAGACUUACAAUAAAUUUGAGUAAAAAAUUUAUAAUGCUAUUGUCUACAACUCUGGUUUAAUCAAUGUUAAAUGCAAAUGGAGAAAUUUCACUAAAGAUUGAAUCUUGGGAUGUAGAUUCCACUUAUAGCAUAAACAACACAAAUGAAUAGAUUUACCUUUUGUUAUUUUUCUUGUUUAACCAGGGAUUCAUUUCCAAUAUUACCAAAUCUCAUUCUCAUGAUGAAAUGACCUAGAGCAAUAUAGUUUUCCCUAUUUUCAUGGUGAAAUACUAGUUCUACUCUGUUUUCCUUCAUGAAAUGCUAGAAAAUGCACUUAAGAGUACAUCUAUUUUCAUGAACAUACAACUCAAGCUCUACUCAUGUUUUUCCAUUGUUACUAUCAAUUUUCAUUGACUAAUAACAACUAUGAACAUGCUAUUGGUGAUCAAACAACAACAAGUAAUUACAACUGCACAAAUAGACAAGUUAAUACAAGAUAUAACAAGUAUAAAUCACAUUCAAUUCAUAUUAUUUAGCCAUAAGUUUUAUCUACUCCCUAGAUAAAGAAAAUUAACUACUCAUGAAUGAGAUAAAAAUCAAACUCACAAGUUUAUUAAUGCAAAACAUCACAAAGUACAAUUACAAGAAAGAUAAAAGAAAGCUUAGCCAAUUAAUGGUGAAGCCCUCAAAUUUCUGCUAUGUUCUUGUACAAGAUGAUUACAAGAUGAGUCUCCAAUUGCUUCCUCAAGAACUCUUCACUAAAGAGAAACUUGUUGCAAGAAGAAAAACUAGUUACGUAUGGUCAUCUCUAGCUUCUCCAUUCUAUCUCUGCAUAAAAGGUGGUAGAAAGACAUUUUUUUUUCUCCUUCAUGACUUCAACCACUUAGAUUUUGUAAAGGAAGUCAAAAGAUAUGUUGUUUUGACUAGUCAAUAACUCAUUUGGUCUUCUCUUUUGUUGCAGAAGCAUGUGCCACCGAAUUUUCUUUCCCAAGAUAGCUGGAACGUUGUGUGAAAAGUGAGAAAAAACAGCUGCGCCACUUGCUGAAGAGAAAGGCGGAUCCGAGCCUCGGAUCAGAAGGGUGAAGAUCGAUCCGAGACUUUCUCUGAUGGAUCCGAGCUCAGAUUGUAUGACCUCGGAUACACUGCUCCAGAAGUACAGACGAGAGCUCGGAUCGCCCUUUACUCACACGGAUCGCGAGGUCGGAUCCGUGCUGAUGAAUUUCCAGUUUUUUACUUCUUCUCUUUUCUCUUCAUGUUUGUUCCUAAUUUCUCUUGUACUUUAUCCUCGGACAAUUCUUACAAUUCCUUCAUCUCGUGCAUGAAUUCUAUAUAUCAAUGUCCUUCAUAAUUUCACAAAAAUUAACACAUUAAUCCACUUACUAAUCAAAUUUUAAACACUUAAACAAUAUUUAAUCAAUCAUCACCAAAAGAGUUCAAAUAUGGCUUUAAUCUUCUCAAAAGUUAUAUGCACUUGUACAAAAUAUACGUUAAAUAUUCACUUAUUAAAUUCCCCCACACUUGAAUCAUUGCUUGUUCUCAAGCAAUUUCACACAUAACUUACCAAAUGAUUCAAGAGAUAAAACAAUAUACGUACUCUUGUCAAAUUUAAUUUCUCAAAACCUAGAAAUCAAUCAUUAUGCCAUUUCUCAGAUUAUACUAAAUACUCAUAAUAUCAAGUUAAAGAAAGAUAAUUAUGCAUUAAUUUUAACAACUUCAAAUCAAUCUCUCAUUCUAUCCUAAUUCCACAAAUAAGUAAAUUGCAUAGGCAAUUCUAUGGCCUUCCUGAUCCCAUGACCAUCAAAACUUAACAAUUGAGAGGGAUUUAUUCACACUUCAUUAUUUUUAAAUAGUGAAAUCACCUUUUUAUGCGAAAAUCGACACUUUUAGGUGAAGAUUCCCGGUUACUCAACAUUUCACUUAUUCAAAUUGCUAAGCAUACUCUUAAUUCCAAUACCUUUUUACGCGAAUGUUAAUAUUUGUAAAUGCCAACCCCCGAUUACUUAGUAUGUGAAUCAUUAGAGUAGAAAAAUAAUAUCAAUAUAUAUAUAUUUUUAAAUAUUUUUCUUUUCCCUCUAAGCAUAAUUAAAAGAAGAAUCUAGCCUUGUCUUGACUAUAUCAAUCACUGAUAGGGUGUUAAUUGUUAGCAAUUUUAUUGUUAAUUUUCCCUUUUAUCCUUGCCAAAUAAUGUUUUAAUUAUUAAUAUUUACUUAUAUUUGGUUUGUGGACUUAAUUUCAGGAAUGGAACAGAAAACUACCAAAUAUGAGGGUCUUUCUGGAGAUAAUUGAGAUUUCAAGCAAGCCGCAGUGCCGAAAAGAACUGGACUCCCGUUCCUUUACUUUUGUUGACUAAGAAGACUACAACCAGAGACUGCGGCAGAGAGAACUUCAAGGCUUGGGCCUUUGACUUCAGCAGGGACCACGGAGGAAAGGACAAGGGCUUUAGUCAUUUGGCUCUUAAGAGCAACGUAGAGAGCCAGGAAACUAAGAAGUAAUUGGGAGGCUUGUGGCUAAGUGGUGGGGACCGCACAGGGGCUCAAAACAAGGAGGUGAAUUCGGCAGGCUUGUGCUAAUUCGUUGGGACCACGAAACAAGAAGUAGUUUUUGUUUUAGAAUAGGAGAGCUUCGUUUUGUUUUUGCUUCUAGCUAGUUCCUUCGUAUUCAUUACUUUAUAUAUAGCUUUGCCGUUUUCUUCUAGGGAGGAUGGAGACAUAGUUUGUUUUCAAUAAUUACUUCUGCACUUUUGCAUGGGAUUUCCUCCAUGAAGAUGAAUUAAAUCCCUUCGUCUAGUCAAGGAACAACGGAGGAUUUGGUUCUACUAAAUUUGUGAGAUCGAAUUAGUUUAUAUUUAUUUCCAUUAUUCACUGGUAUUUGUCUAUCUUCUGCUUUAUGUUCAUAUGGUUGUUUUACUAUUCGAUUAUCCAGGGCCCGGAUUCUAGAUUAAUUAAAUAACCUGAAACCAAUUAGGGUAGUUAAAUCCGUAAUUGUUUAAUUAUUCUAAACUGGUGGCAACUGGCAUGAUUGGGUUUGUGUCAGGGAGAUAGGCAGGCUAACUUAAAGAGACCCUCGUAGCGUGUUGAUUGGUUAGAAUUAGGCUCUUCUAAUUAUUCAUGCAAUUAGGGAAUUGAACUUCUAUGGUCGUACCUAGGGUUAUUUCCUGAUUAGAGAAAUAGUCAACGGUCGUACCUUGGCUAUCGACAAAUUGAGGAAGAGUUGGUUGUUUAUCGCGUGUAUGACAACUAUAACUAAUUUAUCAGAUAGUAACUAGAAUAAUCCUUGCAUCUGUGAUCGAAUUAAGUGAACCAUCUCCGAAGUUGUCUCUUGGCUAGAGUUCGUCCAUUAUUAUUUUUAUUGUGAUAAUUAGUUAUUUGAGUUGUAGCUAUUUUAUUUUAUUUUAAUUUAUUCCAAGUAAUUUAGUUACUCUCAUUUUCAAAAACCCCCUCAUACUUCGGACUCUAAAAGAAAUAAAUUAUCCCCAAUCCCUGUGGAUUCGACCCUGCUUAUCACUAUCUACAGAAAUUAUAUUUUAUUUAAGCAGGUAUUUAUUAUUGCACAGGUUUGACACCCUGUCAAUUUUUGGCGCCGUUGCCGGAGACUGGUGCCAGAUUAAUUUGUUUCUUUUUGAGUUCAUCUUGUUUUUAUUUAUUUUUCUCCUAUUUUUUUUAUAUAGUUUAUGGCUUCUAACACUCCGUAUUUUGGUGAUAGACUGGAUUUUGUUUCCAGGAAAGGCAAUGAGGCUUCUUUUUUUGCUAAGUUUGCAUAUUCAGAGGCACUAAACUCUAUUAGAGAAAGGAUGGCUGCUGCAACCUGUAAAAUUUGUUAUGCCAGGGAUCAUUCAACCGGUAUGUGCCCCGAAUAUCAAGAUAAUCUGAGUGUCUCACUCAAUAAUUAUGGAGAUUUUUCAUCCUGGUCUCAAACGUGGUAUAACCCUAAUCCAAACGGGUAUGAUCAAGGAUGGUGGGAUAACUCCAGUUAUAAUUAUACAACAGGGCCAAUGAAUUUUCAGCAGUAUGAGUCUCAAGAAUCGUCAUCUAUGUCAGGUAUGUCUCUUGAAGAAAUAGUUGAAUCAAUAGCUACUAAUACAUACCAAUUCCAACAGGAGACACAAAUGAGGAAUGAGAUGAUGACGGAUGCAAUGAGUAAUCUGGCAGAUCAACUAUGUCUAUUGACAUCCAGAAUAAAUCGAUUGGCUUCUCAAAUGGAAGAAUUGCCCUCGAAAACCAUUGUUGAUUUUGAAGAAAAUGAGAGUGCAAUUUGCUUGACUAGUGAUGAGGAGAUGCAAGAGUGUCAAAAUGAGAGAUCUACAGAUGCAGUUGAAAAAGGAGCCGAAAAUGAAGAAAUGGAACCCCAACCGCAACCCAUUCAAGUGAAAGAAUCCAGUGAAGAAUCAUCAAAUGUGAUGACACCACCUCCAUUCCCUAACCCACAUUUUCUUAACUCUUACUCUAUGAUUUCUGUUAAUGAGAUUGAUUUUGUUAUACCGGAAGUUCUUGAGUCUCAUGGCAGGAAUGAGUUAAGAGUAGCUAUGGUCAAAUAUCUUGAACCGUUGAAUGCUCUUGAUGGAGGAGUGGAUGAAGAAUUGCGAUCAAUGCUUGAUUAUUUGGCGCCAUCAACUAGUCCAUGGAAAAUCGUAACUCGUGUACUCAAAGAUUACUCCAUCUAUGAGGGUUACCAUGAUCACAUUGAAGAUGAAGUAUUGAACCGAGCCACAAGAUUUUAUCCUCCGUGAACAAGCAUAGCAUGUCUAGCCAAAGACAUUAAAGAAAGGCGCUUUUUGGGAGGCAACCCAAUUGUUGAUUUUGUUAUUUUUGUGUUCAAUUUCUUAAAUAUGUCGUUUCUCACUUGGGUACUAAUCACCUUGAUGUUUCCUCACUAUGACCAGAAUAGGUAAUUUUGGCGUGCCCACGCAAGGAGGGCACGCGUUAAGCGUCUAAAUUCAAGUCUCAUGGUCAGUGGACGUUAUACAAUCUUGGCGUGCCCACGCGGUGUUUGACGACCCAAAAACAAAGGAAAUAAUUUUUCACUUUAAAAAAAAUAAAAAAUAAAAAUAAUUUUUUUAAAAAAUAAAAGUAAUUUCCUUUUUCAUUUUCAGUUUUGGUAUUCAAAAAUCGAAUUUUCCAAUCUCAAUUCAAUUUAAAAAUAUAUAUAUUUCUUUUUCUUUCUUUCUUCUUCUUUUUUUCUUUCUUUCUUCCUUCUUCCCGCUACUUUCCCUUUCCCCCUGUCCUUUUCUACUUCAGCCGCCGCCUCCAUGCUCCACCACCGCCCUCACGCCAUCAGAUCGCGGCCUCACCUCACGGUCCACCGCCAGCUCGUGGCCAAGCCGCGCCUCUCCUCCACUUUCACCUUCCAGGAGCGCCGCCAGGAGCUGCCACGAGUUUGCUCGUCCGCCACCAGCUCGCGGCCGAGGCUUGCCGCGCCUCUCCCCGCCACAACUCUUCUCCAGCUUUGACCACCACGCACACGCAGCUCCUCCUCUUCACGGCCAUCGCGCACUACUGUGCGUCGCCCAAGCCCCAUGCUACUGCGCCCUCGCGCGCAGCCUCCUCGCGCGCCGCGCACAGCAGCUCCACCUGGCGCGAUCUUCUCUCCCUCCCAUCCUCAGCUCACGCCGCCGCCAGAUUUCCUCUCUCCACCACCACACGAGAGCUCUUCCUGCUUCACUCCUGAACAAUCGCGCCGCCACAGCCCUCGGCAAGACCCUCCAGCGCGCGAACUAACCAGCUAGCAACUCCCUGCUCUUCUUCCAGCGCCGCCACAGCUGCCGACAGAGACCAAGGGUGCCGCCCAUCCAGCGCUCGACUGUCUACCCUUCCCCCGUGGCCUCGCCGCUGCUGCCUGAAGCUCCAACAGCCUCCACCAGCUCAUAAGCUCACAAGCUCCAGUGCCGCGAGCUCCGCUCUAGAGCACGCCGCGCACCCCCAAGCUCCACUCACGCACGCCAACAGCUCCGCCCCACGCGAGCUUUUCUGUCCAGCCACGCCAUCACCACCUGUCAAAAUUGACAGGUGGAGGUAUUGUAAUUUCUUCCCCGAUUAACAUAGAUUUCUGGAAUUUGUGUUUGGAUUUUUGGUUGGAUAGAAGAAGGUAUUAAUUUGGGCAAUUGCUAGGGUCAAUUUUGGACAGAAUUGGGUUGAAUUGCUGCCAUAGUGGGGAAAUUUUUUGCUAUUCAUUGCAUUGUUGGCUGGUUGAUUAAUUUUUCCCUGGGACUCACCAGUGGUACUGGUUGAGAUCUUUUGCCUAUCGUUGUUGCGGCUAUUUGAAGCUACUUGCUUAUUUUAAAGUUUAAGUUCUCGUGGUUGAGUUGCUGUCGUUGAUUUAAUACUUUCCUGUCUGAGCACCAGUGGUACUGGUUGCAGUGUUGCUUAAAAUUAUUAAUUCUCAAUUUCUAUUUGGUUACUGCUGGAAUUGCUAGUUCCGUGGCUCAAGUGCUACUUUUGAGCGUUUGACGUGGGUAAUUGACUGUCCAAUUGGUGACAUUUGUUGAGUUUCACUUGCUCGAAUUGGUUGAAUUCACUGCUUUGUUGGGGUCAUUUUUGGUAUCACUUAAGUCCUAUUUUGCUAAUUUCUGUAUUGAGUCCAUUGACGUGAUAUGUUGGAAUAUUUUGGCUGUGACGAAGUUACUUUGCUUGGAAUUUCUGUGUGCCGUUAGUAGGAUAACUGUUGGGUUUGUCUAUUGACUCUCGCGGCACCUGUGUCCCUUGUUUGGUUAUUGCCAUUGGUUGAUUUUCAUUUACUUGUUGGGAACAAUUUGCUAUUGUUGGGAGAAAUUGACCGGUGGGACAUUUGUCGAGUACUUGGGUAGACGCAUUUGCAUUUAAUUAUCCGGUUGCGGGAUAAUAUUUUACUCACUUGAUUGUUGCCUUACCCUUAGGUGUGACUUCUGCUUUACUGGUUUAAUACAUUUGCUGGGACACCGUUUCUAUUGUUGGUCAGAUUGUUAAGUGAGACACAUUUUGUGGAUAUUGACUUGCUUAUUGUCCUUAUUGGGGCUGUAGUUGUUAUUGAAUUGUCUAGGACCCUCGACCCACAUCAUUGUUGGAGUGUUUAUGUACCAUACGGGUCUUGCACCUCAAUUUCCACCUCAAUCGCUGCUGUGACCCCGUCCCUAUUUUGAUGAUUUCAGGAAGUACCGUUGCCCCUCUCCUUCCUUCUGCUUUUACAUUAUCACAUUGAGGGCAAUGUGUGAAUUAGGUGUGGGGGGAUCGUUGUGGUGCUAGUAUUUUUUGUUGUUAGUUCUAGGGGCUUUUCCUUUAUUUUUAGUUAGUUUUUGCCUAUUUUCAUUUAUUUCUUUUCUUUUUCUUUCUAGUGAUCAGUUUCAUAUGAAUACCAAGUUUUUGAUGCUGGAUUGUUCUCUAAUUCUGUUAUUGCCAAGUUUAUUAAUAAAAAGAUAUCAAGUUUGAUGUGGUUGAGUUCAAGAACAUCUCUCUGGUGGAAUAUCAGUAAUGACUUGACUUUUCUAAUUUUUUAGUUAACUUUUCUAGGCAUAGGGAAUGCUUGUUGGCAUUUUCAUGUGAAUUGGUCCAGUUAUUAAUUUUAACUCUCCAUGUUUGGAAAUUUGAGGCUGGCUGCUGUUAUUUUUUAUUAUUUUUUAGUUAUUGUGCUAUAUGAUUGCGGAAUAAGAUGACUGUACUCGCUAUGGUUACUACUGAGUAACCGGGGAUCUUCACCUAAAGUGUCGAUUCUCGCGUCAAAUGUAGUAGUUGCUAUGAGUGCGUGGUCCUGUAGCGAUUGGAGCUGAGUAACGAUCCUCCAUCUGUCAAAUGUUGGAGUUCGCGUCAAAAGGUUCUAAGGGCUAUAGACUAAGUCUUUGUUACUCAAAAAAAAAAAAAAAGGAAAAAAACAAAAACAAAAACAAAAGAAAAAAAAUAAAAUAAAGAUUGUUUAGUAUGUGAAUAAGUCAGCUUGCCGGUUUGUGAUCUUAAUGUCGAGAUUUUGGUUAAUAGUUGGACCAUUUGCUGAUAAAUGUGAGCAACCAUCCUUUUUCUUAAAUUAGUUUGCUUUAAAUUGGAGGAGUUGCUUUAAAUAUGGAUUUAAUCUUCUCAAAACAUACCAAAAGUUUAUGCCAAACUUGUACAAAAUAUACGUUAAAUAUUCACUUAUUAAAUUCCCCCACACUUGAAUCAUUGCUUGUUCUCAAGCAAUUUCACACAUAACUUACCAUAAUGAUUCAAGAGAUAAAACAAUAUACGUACUCUUGUCAAAUUUAAUUUCUCAAAAACCUAGAAAUCAAUCAUUAUGCCAUUUCUCAGAUUAUACUAAAUACUCAUAAUAUCAAGUUAAAGAAAGUAAUUAUGCAUUAAUUUUAACAACUUCAAAUCAAUCUCUCAUUCUAUCCUAAUUCCACAAAUAAGUAAAUUGCAUAGGCAAUUCUAUGGCCUUCCUGAUCCCAUGACCAUCAAAACUUAACAAUUGAGAGGGAUUUUUCACACUUCAUUAUUUUUAAAUAGUGAAAUCACCUUUUUAUGCGAAAAUCGACACUUUUAGGUGAAGAUUCCCGGUUACUCAACAUUUCACUUAUUCAAAUUGCUAAGCAUACUCUUAAUUCCAAUACCUUUUUACGCGAAUGUUAAUAUUUGUAAAUGCCAACCCCGAUUACUUAGUAUGUGAAUCAUUAGAGUAGAAAAAUAAUAUCAAUAUAUAUAUAUUUUUAAAUAUUUUUCUUUUCCCUCUAAGCAUAAUUAAAAGAAGAAUCUAGCCUUGUCUUGACUAUAUCAAUCACUGAUAGGGUGUUAAUUGUUAGCUUUUUAUUGUUAAUUUUCCCUUUUAUCCUUGCCAAAUAAUGUUUUAAUUAUUAAUAUUUACUUAUAUUUGGUUUGUGGACUUAAUUUCAGAAUGGAACAGAAAACUACCAAAUAUGAGGGUCUUUCUGGAGAUAAUUGAGAUUUCAAGCAAGCCGCAGUGCCGAAAAGAACUGGACUCCCGUUCCUUUACUUUUGUUGACUAAGAAGACUACAACCAGAGACUGCGGCAGAGAGAACUUCAAGGCUUGGGCCUUUGACUUCAGCAGGGACCACGGAGGAAAGGACAAGGGCUUUAGUCAUUUGGCCCUUAAGAGCAACGUAGAGAGCCAGGAAACUAAGAAGUAAUUGGGAGGCUUAUGGCUAAGUGGUGGGGACCGCACAAGGGCUCAAAACAAGGAGGUGAAUUCGGCAGGCUUGUGCUAAUUCGUAGGGACCACGAAACAAGAAGUAGUUUUUGUUUUAGAAUAGGAGAGCUUCGUUUUGUUUUUGCUUCUAGCUAGUUCCUUCGUAUUCAUUACUUUAUAUAUAGCUUUGCCGUUUUCUUCUAGGGAGGAUGGAGACAUAGUUUGUUUUCAAUAAUUACUUCUGCACUUUUGCAUGGGAUUUCCUCCAUGAAGAUGAAUUAAAUCCCUUCGUCUAGUCAAGGAACAACGGAGGACUUGGUUCUACUAAAUUUGUGAGAUUGAAUUAGUUUUUAUUUGUUUCCAUUAUUCACUGGUAUUUGUCUAUCUUCUGCUUUAUGUUCAUAUGGUUGUUUUAUUAUUCGAUUAUCCAGGGCCCGAAUUCUAGAUUAAUUCAAUAACCUGAAACCAAUUAGGGUAGUUAAAUCCGUAAUUGUUUAAUUAUUCUAAACUGGUGGCAACUGGCAUGAUUGGGUUUGUGUCAGGGAGAUAGGCAGGCUAACUUAAAGAGACCCUCGUAGCGUGUUGAUUGGUUAGAAUUAGGCUCUUCUAAUUAUUCAUGCAAUUAGGGAAUUGAACUUCUAUGGUCGUACCUAAGGUUAUUUCCUGAUUAGAGAAAUAGUCAACGGUCGUACCUUGGCUAUCGACAAAUUGAGGAAGAGUUGGUUGUUUAUCGCGUGUAUGACAACUAUAACUAAUUUAUCAGAUAGUAACUGAAAUAAUCCUUGCAUCUGUGAUCGAAUUAAGUGAACCAUCUCCGAAGUUGUCUCUUGGCUAGAGUUCGUCCAUUAUUAUUUUUAUUGUAAUAAUUAGUUAUUUGAGUUGUAGCUAUUUUAUUUUAUUUUAAUUUAUUCCAAGUAAUUUAGUUACUCUCAUUUUCAAAAACCCCCAUACUUCGGACUCUAAAAGAAAUAAAUUAUCUCCAGUCCCUAUGGAUUCGACCAUGCUUAUCACUAUCUACAGAAAUUAUAUUUUAUUUAAGCAGGUAUUUAUUAUUGCACAGGUUUGACACCUGUCAAUUUUAGGCCCAAUGAAUGAUGGCCCAAUUGCGGUCUAACUGAGCUGUUGAAUCCAACGGCUAUUGGAUCCAUUGGGCCGCGUAAUUUCUAGUGGGCCUCUCCUCAGGCCCAGGUCAAUUUAAUCGAACAUGUUCUCAAUUUCUUGAUCCAGUGGGCCGUUUAAAGUGUAAUUGGCCUGUGCAAUAAUAAUAAUAAUAAUAACCUAAAUACCACUAAAAAGCUGUCAAUAAUUAAUCCUAGUUACUGGAGCAGGGACUCUAGGUGUGCAAUGGGUUACUUGAUUCACCCUGUUUUCGAAGAGUUUGCUGAAUCGAUAUACCAGAAUUAAUUAGUUGGCAAAAAUUACUGAAUAGUAGACAGUGGCAAGUAGGGUCGUUCCUCAGGGAUUGGGGAUAUUUAUCUCUCUUAAAUUCCAAUUAGUAUGGGGGAUUUCACCAGAAUGAAACUAACAAUAAUUAGACAAUUCAAAAUAAAAAUGAAUACUUAACUAGCACAAAUUGAGCAGGAAUUAAAUUAAGAAUAAAUAAAUUCUAGCCACGGAUGCAACUACUCAGGCACAGUCCAUUUUCCGAUCAUUGAUACAAGAGAGGUUCACUCAAUUUAUUAAUAGGCUAGUUAUAGCCAUCGAUGAACUCUAAUGAUCAAUUUUUCCUUAAUUUAUAGAUGACCAAGGUACGACCAUUAAUCACCCCUAACCAGAAAAGUACUCCUAGGUACGACCGUAGGAAUUAAUUUUUCAAUUGCAUUAAUAACCAAAAAAACCUAACCCUAAUCAAUAACACGCUACGAGGGUUAUUUAAAUUAGAUUGCACGUUCCCCUAAUGUGUAAACACACCAGUUGUCAUUAAUAUUAAUCAAUCAAACAAUUACGGAUUAAUCGACUAAAUUGGCACGAGAUUAGUAAAUCACAUUGAACAUCGGGCCCUUGACAUCCAAUUAAUAAAAUAAUCCCAUGAAAAUUCAAGCAGACAAUGUGCAAAUAUUAGUAAAUAAAGGAACACGUGAAAACUAAUUAGAUCUCACAGAUUUUCGGGACUGCGCCGUCGAGUUGACCUUUGACUAGAUGGAAGACUUAGCCACGCCGUAUAAUUAAAUCACCACACGAAUUAAUAAAUUGCAAAGGCAUUGCGUUUUCUAUUAGGAAGCAAGGAAUAAAAGGUGUUUUUCCCGUUGGGGAAUAUUGUCGAACACUUGGCGUGUGUCAGAGGCCAGUCAGGAGAAAGAAAGAAAAACUAAAGACUAGGCUAAAAACUAAAACUAAAAGGUGGUGUCUUCCUUCCCUAUGUUAUCCCUAUUUAAGAAACAAAAGAAAGAUAGACUAAAGCUAUCUAGGUGGUCCCCACACAUGUGGACAAAUCCUCCAAAGUACUUCUUCUUCCAAGUCUCUCUACUUUGCUUUCUUUGAAGAGUCCAAAUGACUAAAUGCCUUCCACUAACUUGUGGUCCCCACCAAUUCAAGGGCCCAAGAACUGAAGCCCUUAGAAGUCUCCAAUUUUUCAUAAAGUCCCUCCUUUUUGAUAGUUUUCUGCUUCAUUCCUGAAAUUAAGUCCAGAUACCAAAUAUGAGUAAAUAUUAGCAAUUAACACAAUAUUUAUCAGGGAUAAAACGGGAAAUUAAUAAUAAAAUUACUAACAAAUUAUACCCUAUCAAUUCCCCCACACUUGAAUCAUGCUUGCCCUCAAGCAUAGGGACAACUCAACUCAAAAUUGGCUAACUUUCACAUUAUCGUCACCAGCUGUGCUUAUACCCAAAAUCAAGAUUUAGUGGCUAAGUGUCAAGACAUCUCUCCCGGUUAGCUCCUAAGUUCAUAGACCUGUCCAGUUCAUGGCUAACUUGCCUAUGAAAUCCAAAUAUUAACUAGCAACAGUCAGUAAUUAAGUCAACUGGCAACCAAAAUCUCAACAGUGCGAACCAAGGAUCGGCAGGCCAACAUGAUCAUAAACUCAAAUUUUUCACAUCUGAUUUUUCUUCUUCUUCUUUUUUUCUUUUCUUCGUUUUUCUGAUUGAUUUUUUUUUCCUUGAUUUUUUCCCCUUUUUUUUUUAAAAUUGCAUGAAUAAUGCUGAGUCCCAAGCUAUUCAAGUCUUUUGACGUGAACUCUGACAUUUUUAGAUGAAAGAGCCCAGUUACUCAACUUUUCACACGCCAGGACUACUUACUCAUAGAUAUCGCCACUUUUUGACGCGAGAGCCGACACUUGUGGUGAAAGCUCCCGGUUACUAGGUGGCGACACUAGCGGAGUAUAGCCAUAUGUUAUUCACCAAUAAGCACCAAAAUACCAAGUAAUUACAGAUCAUAGCCUGCGUCAUGUCCUACAUAUGGAGAACUAAGGUAAACAGGAGACCAAUCUACCCAACAAUGCCAGCAAAAUAUUCACAUCGCCUAGACAAGUCAGCCAUAAAUUGCACCAAGUCUUAAACUCAAAAUAUUCACCAAGACAGCAUGCUCUUACUUGCCACCGAAACUCAAGUCAUAGUAUAAACCACAACUAACAAGAAGAAAGUGAGCUGCCAACAUAUUCACCAAGAUAAAGCAAGGGAAAACACCCAAAAGGGAUAAAGGAGCAACACCUAAACAGAAAAUACUUAAACUAAAAACAUAGGAAAAACACCCCAGAAACGGAAAUGAGAAAUAUCUAGCACUCAAACAAAGACCCCCCCACACCUAAAUGACACAUUGCCCUCAAUGUGAUAAACCAGCAACAAAAGUAAAGAGAAGGGCAACGGUACUUCCCAGAGUCGUCAGAACAUGGGAGGGUUAGGCGGAAAUUGAGGAGGGAACCCGGCUUGCUGCAUAAAUGCCGCUAGAUUCUGCGCCAUAUUGUGAAUGUUAACGUCCAUGUGUUCGCUUCUCAAGCCGUUCGACUGUGUUUCGGAGAUGGUGCCAUUCCUCGGCCGUAGGGGCGGAAGAAGAAUUACUGAAUCCGAUAUACCAGAAUUAAUUAGUUGGCAAAAAUUACUGAAUAGUAGACAGUGGCAAGUAGGGUCGUCUCCUCAGGGACUGGGGAUAUUUAUCUCUUUUAGAGUCCGAAGUAUUGGGGGUUUUUGAAAAUGAGAGUAACUAAAUUAUGUGGAAUAAAUUAAAAUAAAAUAAAAUAGUUACAACUCAAAUAACUAAUUAUCACAAUAAAAAUAAUAAUGGACGAACUCUAGCCAAGAGACUUGGAGAUGGUUCACUUAAUUCGAUCACAGAUGCAAGGAUUAUUCCAGUUACUAUCUGAUAAAUUAGUUAUAGUUGUCAUACACGCGAUAAACAACCAACUCUUCCUCAAUUUGUCGAUAGCCAAGGUACGGCCGUUGACUAUUUCUCUAAUCAGGAAAUAACCCUAGGUACGACCAUAGAAGUUCAAUUCCCUAAUUGUAUGAAUAAUUAGAAGAGCCUAAUUCUAACCAAUCAACACGCUACGAGGGUCUCUUUAAGUUAGCCUGCCUAUCUCCCUAACACAAACCCAAUCAUGCCAGUUGCCACCAGUUUAGAAUAAUUAAACAAUUACGGAUUUAACUACCCUAAUUGGCACGAGAUUAAUAAAUCACAUUGAACAUCGGGCCCUUGACAUCCAAUUAAUAAAAUAAUCCAUGAAAAUUCAAGCAGACAACGUGCAAAUAUUAAUAAAUAAAGGAACACGCGAAAACUAAUUAGAUCUCACAGAUUUUCGGGACUGCGCCGUCGAGUUGACCCUUGACUAGAUGGAAGACUUAGCCACGCCGCAUAAUUAAAUCACCACACGAAUUAAUAAAUUGCAAAGACAUUGCGUUUUCUAUUAGGAAGCAAGGAAUAAAAUGUGUUUUUCCCGUUGGGGAAUAUUGUCGAACACCUGGCGUGUGUCAGAGGCCAGUCAGGAGAAAGAAAGAAAAACUAAAGACUAGGCUAAAAACUAAAACUAAAAGGUGGUGUUGUCGCGCCCCGUUUUUCGCGACGGAAAAGAAAAAUAAAGUGUGAGAUUUAUAAAAGAUAUGAUUUUAUUUUUAAACAAGUUAAAAGGGACCUAGAAUGGGACUUAAAAAGAAUGCGACAAUUUGGGUCCAAAAUUUAGUCUAAAAGGGUUUUUAAGAAAAAAACAGGAGUCGCCACUUGGUAUGGAGUUUUGGUGUACCAAGUCACCCAAAAAAAUAAAGUAAAACAAAAUAAAACCCUUUUUGACAACUCCAGGUCUUUGAAAACAAGAGAAAAUGGAUUCGGGAGUCACGGUUGAAGAAAGGGAAGGCAAAGAUUCGAUUAACUCAAAUCUAAGGCACCCUUUCAACCUAGUCUAAGCUAGUUGCGAGGUUUAGUCAAAAUUUUCCUAAUCUAACCCUUAAUUUAUCACAUUUGGAUGUUUUCUAUAUAAAUGCAAAUCUAAAAAAUAUCGCAAGGGACAACAUGUUCAUUCAAGGGUUUAAUUGAACCAAUCGCAUUAAUUGCGAAGGUCAAAAUAAAUCCUCGAAGGUGUCACAAGGAUGCAAAUGAUGAAAAAGAAAAGAAAAUAAAAGAAAAGAAAUUAAAUUAUAUACACAUAUAUAAGUGAUCAAAGAAAAAGGGAAUGCAACAUAAAGGGUACGGGAGGCAAAAAAAAAUUCGUGACAUAAUUUUCUUAUACAUGGAUUAAUAGGGUAUUUAAACUAGAAAGUUAUAAUCACCCAUUUCCCAUGUUUGAAAAAUAAUUAUCCUAACAUGAACAAGCAAAUGAACUAGCUUAAAUGGGAUGCAAUUCUAAAUGACAUGAUUAGCACCUAUAGCGGGUAGGGGAUAAUAAAAUAGGGAAUAUCAUGCAAAUGAGAAAAGAUCCUAAAAAUGAAAAUAUGCAUGAAAAUGUGGUGAAUAGCAUACAAUGAUGAAUCUAGCGCAAGAUGACCUAAAGGGUCUAGCGUUGGACUAGCCCAUUUCUAAAAAUCCUUGCUAGCGUUGGACUAGCAAGUAAGCGGAGGGAGAAACCACAACUAGCGUUGGACUAGUGUGGUGACGUCAUGCAUUAACAAUUCAUAGCGAAACAAAUAAAACAUAAAUUAAAACAAAUAAACACAUAAGAGCACGUAGCACAUAACACGUAAACAUAAUAUCUAGAUGCCAAAAUCCUAAGAAAAGCGGACAAAACACAUAACACAUAAGCCACAUAAACACGCAACCUAUCUAUUACAUCGGGGGCGCCUAACUACAAUCUAGAAGGGAAAAAUAUAAUAAAACAAAUCUAAUUAUCCUAUCUAUUACAUUUUUGAGGUAUUUAAAUGCCUCUUGAAUCAUUAUAAAAAUUAACUAAAACAUAUAUAAGAAAAUUUGAAUGAAUAUCUAAAUCAAGUAAAUAAAGCAUAUAAAAAUAUAUAAACACAUAGGAACAAAUAGGAGCACAUAAGAGCACGUAAUUGACAUUGAAAUAAUAAAAUAGGGGUACCUCCCGUUUGAAGUGGUGACUAAAUGGAGUCAAAUUGUCCUAUUUAUACUCACAAUGAACAAAAGAAUCAUGGCACCACUUUAAUUGAAAAUAAUAAUAAUGUUAAAAUACUAAAUUCACAUUAACAUGUCAAACGCAAAGAAAUUUAAGAACAUCUAAAAAUUGCAAGUUGAAUAUGUUCAAAAAUAACAUAAUUAGUUAUUAAAGAAAAGAAACAAUCAUAAUAAAGAGAGUCAAAAUUCAUCAGGGACUGAAUUGCAAAAAUUGAAAAAAAAACUUUUGGGGACAAAAAUUAUAUUUUUCAAAGUUUAGGGGGUCAAAAUUAAAUGAAAGAUAAAAUUCAGGGACCAAAGUGAAAUUAAUUUAAGGACCAAAGUGAAAGAAUUUUAAAAUGUUCUGGGCCACAAUAAAACUACUCCAAAGAUCAAGGGCCAAAGUGCAAAUCGUAACCAGAUCUGGGCAAGAUAAAGGGCAUCGGGCCACUCUUUUUAUUUUAUUUGGGCCAAACCUACCUAAGCCCAACUGAAAACCCAAGCUAAAACACACAGGCCAGCCCGUCUUUUUAUCCCUCAAGCCCAGCCAAAAAUUCAUGGGCUCCAACCUCCGAGCCCAACUGAAACCCAAAAGAAAAAUAAACCAAAGCCCAUCCUCAAAACCUAACAAAAAUAACCAUAAGCCCACCUAAAAAAAUAAAACACUAGCCCAAACCCCUUUUUUCUUUCUCUUUUCUUUCUUUCCUUUCUUUUCUUUCUUCCCCGAUCGUUUCUUUCUCUGCUUCUUCGGCCAGCUGAAGCUUCUUCAGCUGGCGGCCAUGGCGGUCGCCAGUGGCGCCGCCGCCACCGGACCGCCGUCGCCGGUGGUCGCCGGCGACCUCUCCGGUCACCGAAUUUCCCCAAAAUACACUCCCUCACUCGAUUUUUCGCGUAGAUUCCAUUUUCGGAGUUAGUUUUUACAAAAGAUGAUCUGAAAGUGUCCAAAAUGUAAAAUAAACAGCCCAGUUUUUAUAUUUUUAAAACCUCAAAUCUUCACCAAAAAUCACAAAAAUCAUGCCAAAACACUCCUUAUAGCUUCUGUAUGAUAACUAAAAUCUUAGUUAACAAGAACACAACAACAAAAAACUACAUUUAAGGCAAAACAGUCCCUAAAAUUCUUUUUUUUUUUUUACUUUGGCAUUUUAUCAAACAUUAAUAAUGCAUACACCAACCGUACUUCCUUUCUCCCUAAUCUGGUUAUACCAUUUCCCUAACAACAUAAUGAUAGCAAAUCCAACAAGAGAGAGAAACAAACUAAUGUCUAGACAUGCUUAUGGUACGGGACAUAAAGAAUUUGGGUAACCAAAGAAAAUUUCAGCACCAACUUUGAAUUUAAACAAGGAAUAGCAAGGAAAAGAAAAAGAAAAAGCGAGAGCCUUACCUUGCCUGGCAGUGGAGGAAUUACACAGCGGUAGUGGCAAUGGCGAUUUUUGAUGAUCGUAUGGUCUUCCACUUGUUCCCUUAACUCCUCCUUUCUAUUUUCUUUUUCUUUUCUCCUUGUAUCCGAGAGAGAGCAAUGGGAAUUGUUGUUGGUGUGGGGAGUGUAUGUGAAAUUUUUGGAAGGGGAGAGUCGAGAGUGGGUUGGGGAGUAGUUUUUUUUUGUUUGUGGCUUCUCUUCUGUGAUAGGGAGAGCCGAGUGAAGAGUUUUUUUUUUUCUUCUUGUUCUACCUCUGAGAGAGGCCAGAGAGUCGAUAUUUGGAGAGAAAAAGAUGAGCUUGUGUGUGUGUUUGGUCAAAAUGAUUAUAUUUUACCAAAUGACAAGAAAGUUGAGUGUAGGAAUGGGUUAAGUGUAUUUUGUGGGGAAAAUGAUGAAAAUGUGUAAGUUUAGUAAUAAUUUGAUUUUGACUUCAUUUUUUUAUUUUUUUUAUUUUUAUUUUAUUUUUAUUUUUUUUAUUUAUUUAUUUUUUUUAGUUUUAUUUUUGUUGUUGUUUUGUCUUCUUUUUUUUUAAACAAACCUGCAAAAUUGAGAAAAAUGCACAUUAAAAUGCUAAAAAAUAAAUAAUUCAUUAAAUAGAAAAUUUUGAGAAAAUAUUAAAAAUCGACAGAAAUUUGGUGUCUACACUUAGCCACUUGAAGGUGAAGCUCUCCAAUUCCUGCUAUGCUCUUGCACAAUAUGAUUACAAGUAAAAACUCCAAAUACUUCUCCAAGAACUCCUAUCUAGAGAGAAACUAGAUACCAGAAAGAAAACUAGCUACGUAUGGUAAUCCCUCUUCUCCCCAGUCUUUCUGCAUAAAAAUGUGGUAGAAAUUUCAUUCCUCUCACUUCAUAAUUUCUUCCACUCAGAUUUUGUAAAAAGAGGUCAAAGAUAUGAUGUCUCCUUUUGUCCACAUUCAUUUGGUCUUCUCUUUUGUUGCAGAAGCAUGUGCCACCGAUUUCUGUCCCUCAAAAUAGCUGGAAAGUUGUGAAAAAGGUAAAGAAAAACGGCUAUGGCACUUGCUGAGGAGAGAGACAGAUCCGAGCCUCGGAUCCGAGGAGUGAAAAUUGGAUCCGAGCUCGGAUAUUAGGAUCCGAGGGCUUCCAUGAUGGAUCCGAGGUCGGAUCAUCCUGACCUCGGAUACACUCCGCCAGAAGUACAGACUAGGGGUCGGAUCCCUCUUGUACACACAGAUCCGUGCUCGGAUCUGUGUUGAACAAUUUUCCAGUUUUUCACUUCUUCCCUUUUUCUACAUUUUUGCUCCCAAUUUCUUGUGUACUUUGUCUUCUGAAUGACCCUGACAUUUCUUUCAACUUGUGCAUGAAUUUCAUACAUCAAUUACCUUCACAAUUUCACAAAAUUAACGCAUUAAUCCACUAAUUUAUCAAUUUCUGAACUCUUAAACAAUAUUUAAGCAAUUAUCACCAAAAGAGUUCAAAUAUGGCUUUAAUCUUCUCAAAACAUACCAAAAAUUCAUGCCAAAUUCGUACAAAAUGUACGUUAAAUAUUCACUUAUCAAAUUCCCCCACACUUGAAUCAUUGCUUGUCCUCAAGCAAUUUUACACAAAACUUAUUUCAAAUAUUCAAUAGAGAUAGAGAAAACAAUAUGCGUACUAUUGUCAAAUUUAAUUCCUCAAAAACCUAGAAAUCAAUCAUUAUGCCAUUUCUCAGAUUACACUAAAUACUCAUAAUAUUCAAUUAAAUAAAAAUAACUAUGCCUUAAUUUCAAUAAAUUCAAAUCAAUUCUCUCAUUCUAUCCUAAUUUCACAAAUAAGUAAAUCACAUUAGUCAAUUUUAUGGCCUUCCUCAUCCCAAAACUUAUCAAUUUAGAGGGAUUUAUUCACAUUUCAUCUUAUUUAAAUAGUGAAAACGUCUUUUUACGCGAAAAUCAACACUUUUAGGUGAAAAUUCCCGGUUACUCAACAUUUCACUUAUUUAAAUUGCUAAGCAUACUCUUAAUUCCAAUACCUUUUUACGCGAAUGUCGACAUUUGUAAAUGCCAACCCCCGGUUACUCAGUAUGUGAAUCAUUGGAGUAGAAUAAUAAUAUUAUUCUUUUUUUUUAAUAAUUUCUUUUUCCCUCUAAGUAUAAUUAAAGGAAGAAUUUGGCCUUGUUUUUGAUUAUAUCAAUCACUUACUUAGAAAAUUAAGUAACAAUGAUAAAUAUCAUUAAUUUUGCAAAAUUCUAAGCAUAAUUUUUCUUAUUUAACCAAAUAUACUUUCUAAAAUGUAAAUAUCCUAAUUGCAUAAUAAUUCGUUCCAAGCCAAUUAAGAACUAAAUUUUUCCAAAAUACACAUAGCAUUUUAUCCAAUGGAAGAAUUAGACACUUAAAAUUUUAACAUUUUGGCCAUUUAAUUGGAAGAAUUGCAAUGAAAUAUUGGAAAAUGUUUUAGAAAAAUUUCGACAGAGUUUCCCCAUAAAAAUGGAUGAAACUCCCUGCCAAAUAUCAUUAAUUUUCACAAAAAUUAUCCUCAUGACUAUCUCCACAUAUAAUUCCAACAUUUUUAAGGCAUAAACAACUAAAAUCAUGCAUUUCAAAACACAAUCACCCAUAAGAUAUGCAAUGCCUCCCCCACACUUAAAAUCUACAAUGUCCUCAUUGUAGAGGAGGGUAAAAGAACUGAAACUUCCCUCAUAUAGGUGGUGAUGCAAUUUGAAACCCUUACUCAUCACGAUCAUCCAAUUUCUGUUCAAAAUGAGACAACAAAGGUACCAAACACCAUAAGUAGCACAAGAUGAUUCAAAUUAAAGAAAAAUAAAAACUACAACAUUUAUCUUAACAAAAGAAGAGAAAAAUAAAGAAAUAAAAGGUCGAAUCCGCUAAAAAAAACAUCAUGGCUGCUGGGAACGAGGAUCUACUGCCUCCUCGGCUCCAUGAGGACCCUGUGAGGUACCAAUAUGGCCCUCCUCCUGAUGAGGUGUCGGAGUAGGGGACCGUCGGAUAUGGAAAUGAUCCUCGAUCGCACGAAGACGGCGAUCAUGUCGGUCGAGGCGCUCAAUCAUCAUCCGCUCCGUCUGGUCAAUGCGCUCGACGACUCGCGUCUCCAUACAGCAAAUAGCAUUGAGAAGCUCUUGCCACUUGGAGCGCGUUUGAGGAGGUGGUCGUGGAACCGGAGGAGGAAGAGUCUGCUGUGCCUCCGUCUCUUGAGUUUCCGCUUGAGGUUCAGUGUGAGGCAGAGGUUGAGUGGAAGUCGAUGCUUCUCCUGUGUCCCGGACCAAAGCAGCUCCAAAUUCCGUAGAAAUACCCAAGGAUUUGAGUAUUGAAACAUUUACCUCCUCGGCCGACCUAGUUAUCACCGAUCUCUCGGUUCCAAGAGGAACUUUGAACUUCUCAAAAAUGAGGGAUAGCAGUCGGGGGAAUCCAAAACAAGUCUCGCCGGCCCUCAUGCGAGCUGUGGUCCGCAUAUAACUGAUGAUAAUGCUGGGUAGAGGAAUACCAGUCAACUGUCUACCCACUCCAUGUAUCAUCUUAUCCAGAAAAUAGAGAUCGCUAUUUCGGAUCUCCCGUUUACCACUCUUUUUCGGCACCACAUUGAAGGCAAAAAGAUAGAAGAUCAGGUGGUAACGAUGCUCAAAGGAGUCGGCAUAUACCGUGAGUUUUUUUGAACUUCCUCGCUCACGGUACUGACCCUUUAGACGUCCCACGGCUUCUCCCACUUGCCAAGGGUCUCGAGCUUUGAAUUCCUUGGUCAGUUUGACAUCUUCGCCUUCGUCUUUGAGUUGGACGAAGUGUCUCAAUGUAUCUCGAUUGAGAGUCACUCUUUUACCUCGAACCCACGAGACGAUGAGGUUGCCACUGUGGCUCUGCUUGUUCUCCACAUUGGCAUAGAACUCCCUGACCAGGUUGGGGUAGUAGUGCUUGGGCAACUGAAGGAUGUUCUCCCAUCCAAGCCUCUUGAAUGCUGUCGAAAUGUGGUAGUGCGCAUCCACCUCUGGUGCCAAGUGUUUCUCAAUUAUGAUCUCCUUGUCCAGUCCGGCUUCAUACCACUCUUGAUUUUCGAGCGAUGUGAAUCGUGUGGUAUCGUAGUCUGGCGGUGGCUCGUCACGGCUAGUGGAUGCGGUCUUCCGGCGAGACCGAGGUGGCGACUCAGGUGAAGGAGAUUCCUCCUCAGGCGACUCCUCAUGCAAAGAAGGUGUAUGUUCUUCACUUGACGAUGGUGUAGGAGUACGAAUACGAGCCCUCCUUGUACGAGCCAUAGUACCUAUAAACAAGAUGAGUAUUUAUUAGAAACGAUAGAAACUCACUCAUACAUGUUAAAUAGGAAUUUAAGAAAAUUUCGGCAGAGUUUCCCCUGAAAAAGGGCUAAACUCCCUGCCAAAAUGUACCCAAAUUUAAACAAAUAAACUUCCUAACACUUAUCAAAUCCAAUUCCCACAUUUAGAAAGGAUAUUAGCAGUAAAGAAAUCAUUUCAUGCAUAUUAAGUGCAAACAAUUUUAAAUUAUAUUCAUUUGCAAGAAUGAACACUCAAACACUUGAAAAUAUCUUCAAUCCAAUUCAUAACACUCGUUAACACUUAAGUUAACUACACAUGAGUCCCAAUUCAUCCAAAUACAAUUAUUUCAAGUAACAGUGGUUCAAUGUGCUUAACUUGAUCGGGAACACACACUUUUACCUAAUGGGCUAUUGCUCUAGUGAUAGCAUAUCAUUUUCAAUUGGUAUAACAGUGAUUUAUACCUCUCUGAACAAGUUCAGAUAUUCAAUGAAAGCUAAAUUCACAAGUUUAAAUCACUAAAAUGUUCAAGCCCAAAAAUUGAGAAGGAAAUCUCAAAACUAUCACUAAAUCCACAAUUCUCUCACAAAUAAACAUGAAAAUAAUUAUAACAACUGAUUUGAGCACAAUGUAGCACAAUUAUAUCAAGAAUUUUCAACAAUUAAGCUAUUUAGCAAAAUAUAUUGAAAAACUAAAAAUAUGCAAAAAUGAGAGAUAUACAAUGUCACAUAAAUUCGAAAUUUGUUACCUCAAAUAGAUGGAGUGAUGAUGGAGGAUGAUAAUGAUGCAAAAAUGGAGAACAACCAAGCCCAAAUUCGACCUCAAAAUGCAAGAUUUCAAUUCGGCCCUAUUUUGCGUCUUGAAGAUCAAAACCCCUCAAUUUGAUGUUUUUGAUUCCAAAUUGUUAAGGGUUAAUGCUCAGAAGAGGUUAGUGAAGGUUUUUGUUGUGAAAAAUUGGGAAUGUUAUGGAUGAAAUGGAAGAUUGGAGGAAAAGGAAUAGGGUUUCGAAGAGAGAGAAAAGAGAAAUCUGGAAAUUGAGGAAGCCUCGUUUCCCUUCUUAUCGCGAAAGGAUCCGAGGUCGGAUCAAUUCUGGAAGGCCUCGGAUCCGACAGGGCUCGGAUCAGUCCCAACAGAAACACAGACGAGCCCUCGAAUUUAUCUGGGUUGGAAUGGAUCCGAGGUCGGAUCAGUUGAUCCGUGGUCGGAUCUGUCUGGGCUUUUCAGGAUCCGAGCUCGGAUCUGUAUUUCUCUGCACUAAUUGCAGAAACUGCAAUUUUUUCAAACUUUUUCUCCCUUUUUCGGCUAAUUCCAAAUUACACAUUGGACAUACCUUUUCUCAAUUCCAACCUCCCACGCACAUGUAAUAUACCAUAAACAUAAUAUCCAACCUCUCAAAACACAACAAACACAUCUACAUUGAAAAUCGAGGGGUGGGGUUCUUUGAUCAUUUUUACAUUUUUACACUAAAAUGGCAUUUUUGAGCAUUAAAUGUAUAUCAAAUGAGUCCAUAAGCCUUUAUAACCAUGAUAUCACCAAAACUCAUUUGAAAUGCACAAUGUAUGUAUAUGCAUGGGAAUUUUAAGCACUUAAAACACAAUUUGAUAAGAAAAACUCCCUUUUACACAUAUUCUUCAAGUGCACCUCCGAGAUGGAUGAUAAAACUCCCGUACCUCCUACAAACAAGUGAAAUACAUCUAAUUAGUCAAUUAAAUCACACCAAAAUGUAAGAAACACCUAAAAACACACAAAUACACUAUUAUCAUUGGGUUACCUCCCAACAAGCGCUUUUGUUUAUAGUCGUUGGCUCGACAAUCCUAUAACUUCUUUAAUUCUCCUUUGCAUUUCCUAAGGAGUAAAUUACCCCUUUAGGAACUUUUUCUCCUGGCAAAUAGGGCUUCAAUCUUUGUCCAUUUACUUUAAAUGGAGAACCAUUUUCUCCUUUUAUUUCCACUGCUCCAUGCGGAAAUACUUGAGUUACUUCAAAUGGUCCCGACCAUCUUGACUUCAAUUUUCCUGGAAAUAACCUCAAGCGUGAGUUGAACAAAAGUACAUUUUGCCCUACUUGAAAUUUUUUAGGAAUAAUAUGCUUGUCAUGCCAAUAUUUGAUCUUUUCUUUAUAAAUUUUGGCAUUUUCAUAAGCAUGUAGUCGGUGUUCCUCCAAUUCACUUAGCUCAAGUAAUCGCUUUUCUCCUGCAAAAUUAAAAUCCAUGUUAAUAGAUUUAAUUGCCCAAUAAGCUUUGUGCUCAAUCUCUACAUGUAGGUGACAAGCUUUCCCAUAGACUAAACGAUACGGCGACAUCCCUAGGGGUGUCUUAAAUGCCGUUCGAUAAGCCCAUAGUGUAUCAUCUAGCUUUGUAGCCCAAUCCUUGCGUGAUUUAUUCACAGUUUUCUCUAAAAUGAGCUUUAUCUCUCUAUUAGCCAGCUCUGCUUGUCCAUUGGCUUGAGGAUGAUAUGGAAGUGAUGUCUUGUGCCUACAACCAUAUUUAAACAAUAAGGAAUCCAAUUGUUUGUUACAAAAAUGUUUCCCUUCAUCACUUACUAUGGCCUUGGGUAUACCAAAUCUACUGAAAAUAUUCUUUUUAAGGAAUCUAAGUACAAUCUUAGAGUCAUUAGUAGAUGAAGCGAUUGCUUCUACCCAUUUAGAAACAUAAUCCACUGCUACUAAGAUGUACUUAUUAUUAAAAGAACUAGGAAAUGGUCCCAUAAAAUCAAUACCCCAUACAUCAAAUAACUCAACUUCCAAGAAUGUAGUCAGGGGCAUUUCAUUUUUUCGAGAUAUAUUUCCAGUUCUUUGGCAUGCAUCACAAUUUUUAACAUAUUCCCUAGCAUCUCGGUACAUAGUUGGCCAAUAAAAUCCUGAUUGCCAUACCUUUGCCACAGUCUUUGAAGUACUGAAAUGACCAGCUGUUUCAAGGUUAUGACAAUGAUAUAAAACAUUAUGUACCUCAUCUUCAGGAAUACAUCUACGUAUCAUACCAUCGGCACAAUGUCUGUAUAGCAAUGGUUCCUCCCAAAAGUAACUUUUGACGUCAUGUAAGAAUUUCUUCUUUUGAUGAUAAUUGAACUCCUUUUGAAUCUCUCCACUGACCAAGUAGUUAGCAAAAUCUGCAUACCAUGGAGAAUUUCUAAGUGUUAGGACAAACUCAUCCGGAAAAUUCUCUUGAAUUGGAACCUGAUCUUUGAUUGGGAUAUAUUCCAAACGUGAUAAAUGAUCUGCAACUAGAUUCUCCGAUCCCUUUUUGUCUUUUAUCUCCACAUCAAAUUCCUGCAAUAAAAGAAUCCACCGAAUUAGUCUAGGUUUUGCAUCCUUCUUAUGCAGCAAAUAUUUAAGAGCUGAAUGGUCCGUAUAUAUAAUAACUUUAGAUCCUACUAAAUAGGAUCUAAAUUUGUCCAAAGCAAAUAUCACUGCCAAUAGCUCUUUUUCUGUUGUUGCAUAAUUGAGUUGUGCCUCAUUUAGCAACUUGCUAGCAUAGUAAAUGACGUGCAAUCGUCCUUCCUUCUUUUGUCCCAAAACUGCUCCAACCGCAUAAUCACUUGCAUCACACAUCAAUUCAAAUGGUAGUGACCAAUCGGGUGAAGUUAUAAUUGGGGCCGAAAUCAAUUCCUUUUUCAACCUUUCAAAUGCAACCAAACAAUUGUCAUUAAAUUGAAAAGGAGUAUCUUUGCAUAAUAAAUCACAUAAUGGCUUUACUAUUUUAGAAAAAUCUUUAAUAAAACGUCUAUAAAAGCCAGCAUGUCCUAAAAAACUCCUUAUCCCCUUGACAUUGCUUGGGGGUGGCAAUUUUUCGAUAACUUCUAUUUUGGCUUUAUCCACCUCAAUUCCCUUGGAGGAAAUCUUGUGCCCUAAGACAAUUCCUUCUUUUACCAUAAAAUGGCAUUUCUCCCAAUUCAGUACAAGAUUUAUUUCCUCGCAUCUCUGCAAAAUCAAUUCCAAAUUAUGAAGACAAUGGUCAAAAGAUGAACCGUACACAGAAAAAUCAUCCAUAAAUAUCUCCAUAAUUUUCUCAAUAUAAUCAGAAAAAAUAGCCAUCAUGCAUCGUUGAAAAGUUGCAGGAGCAUUGCAUAAACCAAAUGGCAUCCUUCUAAAGGCAAAAGUGCCAUAAGGACAUGUAAAUGUGGUCUUCUCUUGAUCCUCUGGAGCUAUAGCUAUUUGAUUAUAUCCUGAAAAACCAUCAAGAAAAUAGUAAAAUUCAUAUCCGGCUAUUCGCUCCAAUAAUUGAUCAAGAAAUGGCAGGGAAAAAUGAUCUUUUCUUGUUACCGUAUUCAACUUACGAUAAUCAAUACACACUCUCCACCCUACCACAAGUCUAGAUGGAAUUAAUUCAUCAUUUUUACCUAUGAUUGUAGUUAUUCCACCUUUCUUUGGUACCACAUGAAUUGGACUAAUCCAAACACUAUCUGAGAUAGGAAAGACUAUACCUGCAUCAAGCCACUUAAGAAUUUCAUUUCUUACCACCUCUUUCAUGUUUGGAUUGAGUCUUCUUUGUGUUUCUACCACUGGUUUGUAAUUGUCCUCCAAUAAAAUGCGAUGCAUGCAUAUUGAAGGACUUAUACCUUUAAUGUCAGCAAUUGUCCAUCCCAUUGCCUUCUUAUGCUUUCUUAAAACUCUUAGCAACUUUGUACACUGCUCAUCAUCAAGGUCAGCACUAACAAUUACACGUAAAGUACUAUUUUCUCCAAGAAAUUCAUACCUUAGAUGAGUUGGAAGUGGCUUAAGCUCUAACCUUGGAGGUUCAAUUUCUGAAGGUUGUGAAAACCCUUUUCCUUGGCCAAGAUUUUCAUACAAAUUACCCCUUUUAUAAGGUGCUUGAAAAUCCAAGUACUUGGCCAAUUCUUCAAUUUCUUCAAAAACAUCUUCUUGCUUACCUAAACUCAUUAAACAAUACUCAAGAGGAUCUAAAUCAAGGUUGACUUGACUCAUCUCUUGGGUUAGUUUAUCAAUUGUGCCAAUAGAAUAAGCAUGAUCAGUAAAAGAAGGGUAUUUUUCCAUUUCAUUCAAAUUAAAUUCUACUUCUUCUUCACCUACUUGAAACUUAAGCUUGCCAUUUUUUACAUCAAUAAUAGUACCUGCAGUAGCUAAAAAUGGUCUACCUAGAAUAAUUGGCAUAGAUAUAUCUUCUUCCAUAUCUAAUACCACAAAAUCCACUGGAAUGAUAAAUUUUUGAACUUUUAUCAAUACAUUCUCCAACACUCCCAAUGGAUAUCGAAUAGACCGAUCCGCUAGUUGCAAAGUAAUAUUUGUGCGUUUAAGUUCAUGCAAACCCAAUUGUCUAGCCACUGUUAAAGGUAUUAAUGAUACACUAGCACCAAAAUCACACAAUGCUUUAGAAAAAUCAACAUUACCUAUGGUGCAAGGUAUAGAAAAACUCCCUGGAUCCUUCAACUUUGGUGGUAGCUUAUUUUGAAUAAUUGCACUACAUUCCUCCGUUAGUGCUAUUGUUUCGCAGUCUUCCAACUUUCUUUUUCUAGUCAUGAUUUCCUUGAGAAAUUUCGCAUAAGACGGAAUCUGCAAAAUAGCAUCGGCAAAAGGAAUGUUAAUGUGCAAUUGUUUGAAAAGUUUAACAAAAUUUUCAAAAUCUUUAUCAAACUUAUUUUGCUUUAAUCUUUGUGGAAAUGGAACCGCAGGGGGUAUUGGAAUGGUAGCGGAAGAUGAUGGUCGAUUUUUUCUUGAUUCCUCCCGGCUACUUUCCUCCACUAUCGCCUCUUGGUUCCUAUGCUUUUCUUCUUGUUUUUCAUUCUCAUCUUUCUUAACUUCCACCACUGGAGGAUCUUUUAAUUGCUUACCACUACGAAGAGUAAUGGCUUUGACAUGCUUCUUAGGAUUUACCUCCGUUUUGCUAGGUAAUUCUCCUUGAUUACGAUUAUUCAAAGAACUAGCAAUUUGACCAAUUUGGACCUCUACAUUCCUGUACAUUGUAGUGAGUUGGUCCAAUCUUCCUUCUACUCGCUCAAAUCUGUCUGAAGUAACUUUUGCGAGCUUUUCCACUGCCAUCUCCCAACCAGGUUUAGUUUCAACUUGUUGUUGCCUUGAUUGAAAUCCCGGUGGAUUGGCUGGCCUUGGUUGAUUUCCUUGAUCCUUCCAUCCAAAGUUUGGAUGAUUUCUCCACCCCGGAUUGUAAGUAUUCGAGUAGGGGUUAUUUUGAGCAUUACGAUUGUAAUUAUUAACGAAUUGUACCUGCUCAGAAUCAACACACUCAUUAGUAUCAUGUUCACCUCCACAUAUAGAACAACAUGCUACAUGUGCAUUAGAUGAACUUGGACCAACUCCACUUUGUCUACUUAGCAACUUCAUCACAUUAUUCAUUUGAGGACUCAGCAUAUUGAGAGUGUCCAUUUCUAUCAUACCUGCGUGACGUCUUGUAUUACCUCUCUCAUUGGCCCAUUGGUAGUUGUUUGCAGCCAUUUCUUCUAUCAAAUUCUGAGCUUCUUGGGGUUAUUUACCCAUUAAAGCUCCACCUGCAGCUGCAUCGAUCAUAGUUUUAGUAGAAAAAACUAAACCAUUAUAGAAGGUUUGUAUGAUUAACCACUCCGGCAGUCCAUGAUGUGGACAUUUCCGAAGCAAAUCUCUAAACCUUUCCCAUGCUUCAUAUAAUGAUUCACUUUCUAAUUGGCUAAAACUAGUGAUAUCCAUUCUAAGUUUAGCAGUCUUACCUGGUGGAAAAUACUUAUUUAAGAAUGCUCUUGAUAACUCAUCCCAUCCAGUGAAAGUAUUAGGAGCAUGAGAGUGUAACCAAAGUUUGGCCUUAUCUCUCAAUGAAAAUGGGAACAAUCUUAGCCUUAUAGCAUCAUCACUAACUCCAUUCAUUUUAAUUGUAUCACAAAUUUCCAAGAAUGUAGCUAAGUGUGUAUUAGGGUCUUCUACUGCAUUACCUCCAAAUUGAGAUUGUUGAACCAUUUGGAUAAGUGCUGGUUUAAUCUCAAAAUUGUUAGCAUUUACCGUAGGCCUUGCUAUACUCGUUUGAGAUCCUUGUGUUCCCGGUAGAGCAAAAUCUCGUAGAACUCGCCUAUGUGCUUCGUUUUCUGCCAUGUCUUCUUCAAAUGGAAGCUCUAUUAAGAUAUCUUCUAUUGGCUGCCAAACCUCUUGUUUCUCUUGAUGUGAUGUACUCCUCCUUUGUCUGUGUAAUGUUCUUUCAAUUUCAGGAUCGAAAUGUGCAACUUCUCGAUUUGAUCGGUGCAUACACUACAGACAAAAACAAGAGAAAUUUUGCAGUUUAAAUUCAACAACUUGAAAUAAUAAAAAAAAAUGAAAAUAUCUAAAGUAAUAGAGAUGAUUAGGCCCUAAUAUUGCCGCUCCCCGGCAACGGCGCCAAAAACUUGACGGGAUAUUUGUAUCUAUACAAGUUUAAUUCCGAUUUUACACCCGUUGGACUGCAAGUAUACAGGUCGCAAUUGUAGUACAAGAUGUGUAUCGGGUCGAUCCCACGAGGAGCAAUUUAAACAAUUACUAAGCCCUUGUUCUCUCUAUUAUUUAGACUUACAAUUAAUUUGAGCAGAAAAAGUCUAAUGCUGUAAUCUACAAAUCUGAUAUACAAAUCUAGUUUAACAAAUACUGAAUACAAAUAGAGAAAUUUUACUUAAAGAAGAUUCUAGGGAUGUAGAUUCCACUUAUGGCAUAAACUACACAAAUGAAUGGAUUUACUCCUGGCUAUUAUUCUUGCUUAACCAGAGAUUUAUUUCCAAGAAUACCAAGUCUCAUUUUCAUGAUGAAAUGGCUUAGAGCAAUAUAGAUUUCCCUAUUUUCAUGGUGAAAUAUUCUACUACUCCGUUUUAUUUCAUGAAAUGCUCAAUAAAUCCACCUAAGUGUAUCUCUAUUUUCAUGAACAUACAACGCAAGCUCUACUCAUGUGUUUCAAUUGUUAUUACCAAUUCUCAUUGAAUAAUAACACUAUAAACAUGCUAUUGGUGAUCAAUCAACAACACGUAAUCACAGCUACACAAGUAGACAAGUUACUACAAGAUAUAACAAGUGUAAAUCACAUUCCAUUCAUAUUAUUUAACCAUAAGCUUCAUCUACUCCCUAGAUUAAGGGGUUUAGCUACUCAUGAAUGAUUUAACAAUCAAACUCACAAGUUUAUUAAUGCCAAACAUCAUGAAGUACAAGUACAAGAAAGAUAAAAGAAAGCUUAGCCACUUGAAGGUGAAACUCUCCAAUUCCUGCUAUGCUCUUACACAAUAUGAUUACAAGUAAAAACUCCAAGUACUUCUCCAAGAACUCCUAUCUAGAGAGAAACUAGAUACCAGAAAGAAAACUAGCUACGUAUGGUAAUCCCUCUUCUCCCCAGUCUUUCUGCAUAAAAAUGUGGUAGAAAUUCCAUUCCUCUCACUUCAUAAUUUCUUCCACUCAGAUUUUGUAAAAAGAGGUCAAAGAUAUGAUGUCUCCUUUUGUCCACAUUCAUUUGGUCUUCUCUUUUGUUGCAGAAGCAUGUGCCACCGAUUUCUGUCCCUCAAAAUAGCUGGAAAGUUGUGAAAAAGGUAAAGAAAAAUGGCUAUGGCACUUGCUGAGGAGAGAGACAGAUCCGAGUCUCGGAUCCGAGGAGUGAAAAUUGGAUCCGAGCUCGGAUAUUAGGAUCCGAGGGCUUCCAUGAUGGAUCCGAGGUCGGAUCGUCCUGACCUCGGAUACACUCCGCCAGAAGUACAGACUAGGGGUCGGAUCCCUCUUGUACACACAGAUCCGUGCUCGGAUCUGUGAUGAACAAUUUUCCAGUUUUUCACUUCUUCCCUUUUUCUACAUUUUUGCUCCCAAUUUCUUGUGUACUUUGUCUUCUGAAUGACCCUGACAUUUCUUUCAACUUGUGCAUGAAUUUCAUACAUCAAUUACCUUCACAAUUUCACAAAAUUAACGCAUUAAUCCACUCAUUUAUCAAUUUCUGAACUCUUAAACAAUAUUUAAGCAAUUAUCACCAAAAGAGUUCAAAUAUGGCUUUAAUCUUCUCAAAACAUAUCAAAAAUUCAUGCCAAAUUCGUACAAAAUGUACGUUAAAUAUUCACUUAUCAAAUUCCCCCACACUUGAAUCAUUGCUUGUCCUCAAGCAAUUUUACACAAAACUUAUUUCAAAUAUUCAAUAGAGAUAGAGAAAACAAUAUGCGUACUAUUGUCAAAUUUAAUUCCUCAAAAACCUAGAAAUCAAUCAUUAUGCCAUUUCUCAGAUUACACUAAAUACUCAUAAUAUUCAAUUAAAUAAAAAUAACUAUGCCUUAAUUUCAACAAAUUCAAAUCAAUUCUCUCAUUCUAUCCUAAUUUCACAAAUAAGUAAAUCACAUUAGUCAAUUUUAUGGCCUUCCUCAUUCCAAAACUUAUCAAUUUAGAGGGAUUUAUUCACAUUUCAUCUUAUUUAAAUAGUGAAAACGUCUUUUUACGCGAAAAUCAACACUUUUAGGUGAAAAUUCCCGGUUACUCAACAUUUCACUUAUUUAAAUUGCUAAGCAUACUCUUAAUUCCAAUACCUUUUUACGCGAAUGUCGACAUUUGUAAAUGCCAACCCCCGGUUACUCAGUAUGUGAAUCAUUGGAGUAGAAUAAUAAUAUUAUUCUUUUUUUUUGAAUAAUUUCUUUUUCCCUCUAAGUAUAAUUAAAGGAAGAAUUUGGCCUUGUCUUUGACUAUAUCAAUCACUUACUUAUAAAAUUAAGUAACAAUGAUAAAUAUCAUUAAUUUUGCAAAAUUCUAAGCAUAAUUUUUCUUAUUUAACCAAAUAUACUUUCUAAAAUGUAAAUAUCCUAAUUGCAUAAUAAUUCGUUCCAAGCCAAUUAAGAACUAAACUUUUCCAAAAUACACAUAGCAUUUUAUCCAAUGGAAGAAUUAGACACUUAAAAUUUUAACAUUUUGGCCAUUUAAUUGGAAGAAUUGCAAUGAAAUAUUGGAAAAUGUUUUAGAAAAAUUUCGACAGAGUUUCCCCAUAAAAAUGGAUGAAACUCCCUGCCAAAUAUCAUUAAUUUUCACAAAAAUUAUCCUCAUGACUAUCUCCACAUAUAAUUCCAACAUUUUUAAGCCAUAAACAACUAAAAUCAUGCAUUUCAAAACACAAUCACCCAUAAGAUAUGCAAUGCCUCCCCCACACUUAAAAUCUACAAUGUCCUCAUUGUAGAGGAAGGUAAAAGAACUGAAACUUCCCUCAUAUAGGUGGUGAUGCAAUUUGAAGCCCUUACUCAUCACGAUCAUCCAAUUUCUGUUCAAAAUGAGACAACAAAGGUACCAAACACCAUAAGUAGCACAAGAUGAUUCAAAUUAAAGAAAAAUAAAAACUACAACAUUUAUCUUAACAAAAGAAGAGAAAAAUAAAGAAAUAAAAGGUCGAAUCCGCUAAAAAAAACAUCAUGGCUGCUGGGAACGAGGAUCUACUGCCUCCUCGACUCCAUGAGGACCCUGUGAGGUACCAAUAUGGCCCUCCUCCUGAUGAGGUGUCGGAGUAGGGGACCGUCGGAUAUGGAAAUGAUCCUCGAUCGCACGAAGACGGCGAUCAUGUCGGUCGAGGCGCUCAAUCAUCAUCCGCUCCGUCUGGUCAAUGCGCUCGACGACUCGCGUCUCCAUACAGCAAAUAGCAUUGAGAAGCUCUUGCCACUUGGAGCGCGUUUGAGGAGGUGGUCGUGGAACCGGAGGAGGAAGAGUCUGCUGUGCCUCCGUCUCUUGAGUUUCCGCUUGAGGUUCAGUGUGAGGCGGAGGUUGAGUGGAAGUCGAUGCUUCUCCUGUGUCCCGGACCAAAGCAGCUCCAAAUUCCGUAGAAAUACCCAAGGAUUUGAGUAUUGAAACAUUUACCUCCUCGGCCGACCUAGUUAUCACCGAUCUCUCGGUUCCAAGAGGAACCUUGAGCUUCUCAAAAAUGAGGGAUAGCAGUCGAGGGAGUCCAAAACAAGUCUCGCCGGCGCUCAUGCGAGCUGUGGUCCGCAUAUAACUGAUGAUAAUGCUGGGUAGAGGAAUACCAGUCAACUGUCUACCCACUCCAUGUAUCAUCUUAUCCAGAAAAUAGAGAUCGCUAUUUCGGAUCUCUCGUUUACCACUCUUUUUCGGCACCACAUUAAAGGCAAAAAGAUAGAAGAUCAGGUGGUAACGAUGCUCAAAGGAGUCGGCAUAUACCGUGAGUUUUUUCGAACUUCCUCGCUCACGGUACUGACCCUUUAGACGUCCCACGGCUUCUCCCACUUGCCAAGGGUCUCGAGCUUUGAAUUCUUUGGUCAGUUUGACAUCUUCGCCUUCGUCUUUGAGUUGGACGAAGUGUCUCAAUGUAUCUCGAUUGAGAGUCACUCUUUUACCUCGAACCCACGAGACGAUGAGGUUGCCACUGUGGCUCUGCUUGUUCUCCACAUUGGCAUAGAACUCCCUGACCAGGUUGGGGUAGUAGUGCUUGGGCAACUGAAGGAUGUUCUCCCAUCCAAGCCUCUUGAAUGCUGUCGAAAUGUGGUAGUGCGCAUCCACCUCUGGUGCCAAGUGUUUCUCAAUUAUGAUCUCCUUGUCCAGUCCGGCUUCAUACCACUCUUGAUUUUCGAGCGAUGUGAAUCGUGUGGUAUCGUAGUCUGGCGGUGGCUCGUCACGGCUAGUGGAUGCGGUCUUCCGGCGAGACCGAGUUGGCGACUCAGGUGAAGGAGAUUCCUCCUCAGGCGACUCCUCAUGCAAAGAAGGUGUAUGUUCUUCACUUGACGAUGGUGUAGGAGUACGAAUACGAGCCCUCCUUGUACGAGCCAUAGUACCUAUAAACAAGAUGAGUAUUUAUUAGAAACGAUAGAAACUCACUCAUACAUGUUAAAUAGGAAUUUAAGAAAAUUUCGGCAGAGUUUCCCCUGAAAAAGGGCUAAACUCCCUGCCAAAAUGUACCCAAAUUUAAACAAAUAAACUUCCUAACACUUCUCAAAUCCAAUUCCCACAUUUAGAAAGGAUAUUAGCAGUAAAGAAAUCAUUUCAUGCAUAUUAAGUGCAAACAAUUUUAAAUUAUAUUCAUUUGCAAGAAUGAACACUCAAACACUUGAGAAUAUUUUCAAUCCAAUUCAUAACACUCGUUAACACUUAAGUUAACUACACAUGAGUCCCAAUUCAUCCAAAUACAAUUAUUUCAAGUAACAGUGGUUCAAUGUGCUUAACUUGAUCGGGAACACACACUUUUACCUAAUGGGCUAUUGCUCUAGUGAUAGCAUAUCAUUUUCAAUUGGUAUAACAGUGAUUUAUACAUCUCUGAACAAGUUCAGAUAUUCAAUGAAAGCUAAAUUCACAAGUUUAAAUCACUAAAAUGUUCAAGCCCAAAAAUUGAGAAGGAAAUCUCAAAACUAUCACUAAAUUCACAAUUCUCUCACAAAUAAACAUGAAAAUAAUUAUAACAACUGAUUUGAGCACAAUGUAGCACAAUUAUAUCAAGAAUUUUCAACAAUUAAGCUAUUUAGCAAAAUAUAUUGAAAAACUAAAAAUAUGCAAAAAUGAGAGAUAUACAAUGUCACAUAAAUUCGAAAUUUGUUACCUCAAAUAGAUGGAGUGAUGAUGGAGGAUGAUAAUGAUGCAAAAAUGGAGAACAACCAAGCCCAAAUUCGACCUCAAAAUGCAAGAUUUCAAUUCGGCCCUAUUUUGCGUCUUGAAGAUCAAAACCCCUCAAUUUGAUGUUUUUGAUUCCAAAUUGUUAAGGGUUAAUGCUCAGAAGAAGUUAGUGAAGGUUUUUGUUGUGAAAAAUUGGAAAUGUUAUGGAUGAAAUGGAAGAUUGGAGGAAAGGGAAUAGGGUUUCGAAGAGAGAGAAAAGAGAAAUCUGGAAAUUGAGGAACCGAGGCCUCGUUUCCCUUCUUAUCGCUAAAGGAUCCGAGGUCGGAUCAAUUCUGGAAGGCCUCGGAUCCGACAGGGCUCGGAUCAGUCCCAACAGAAACACAGACGAGCCCUCGGAUUUAUCUGGGUUGGAAUGGAUCCGAGGUCGGAUCAGUUGAUCCGUGGUCGGAUCUGUCUGGGCUUUUCAGGAUCCGAGCUCGGAUCUGUAUUUCUCUGCACUAAUUGCAGAAACUGCAAUUUUUUCAAACUUUUUCUCCCUUUUUCGGCCAAUUCCAAAUUACACAUUGGACAUACCUUUUCUCAAUUCCAACCUCCCACGCACAUGUAAUAUACCAUAAACAUAAUAUCCAACCUCUCAAAACACAACAAACACAUCUACAUUGAAAAUCGAGGGGUGGGGUUCUUUGAUCAUUUUUGCAUUUUUACACUAAAAUGGCAUUUUUGAGCAUUAAAUGUACAUCAAAUGAGUCCAUAAGCCUUUAUAACCAUGAUAUCACCAAAACUCAUUUGAAAUGCACAAUGUAUGUAUAUGCAUGGGAAUUUUAAGCACUUAAAACAUAAUUUGGUAAGAAAAACUCCCUUUUACACAUAUUCUUCAAGUGCACCUCCGAGAUGGAUGAUAAAACUCCCGUACCUCCUACAAACAAGUGAAAUACAUCUAAUUAGUCAAUUAAAUCACACCAAAAUGUAAGAAACACCUAAAAACACACAAAUACACUAUUAUCAUUGGGUUACCUCCCAACAAGCGCUUUUGUUUAUAGUCGUUGGCUCGACAAUCCUAUAAUUUCUUUAAUUCUCCUUUGCAUUUCCUAAGGAGUAAAUUACCCCUUUAGGAACUUUUUCUCCUGGCAAAUAGGGCUUCAAUCUUUGUCCAUUUACUUUAAAUGGAGAACCAUUUUCUCCUUUUAUUUCCACUGCUCCAUGCGGAAAUACUUGAGUUACUUCAAAUGGUCCCGACCAUCUUGACUUCAAUUUUCCUGGAAAUAACCUCAAGCGUGAGUUGAACAAAAGUACAUUUUGCCCUACUUGAAAUUUUUUAGGAAUAAUAUGCUUGUCAUGCCAAUAUUUGAUCUUUUCUUUAUAAAUUUUGGCAUUUUCAUAAGCAUGUAGUCGGUGUUCCUCCAAUUCACUUAGCUCAAGUAAUCGCUUUUCUCCUGCAAAAUUAAAAUCCAUGUUAAUAGAUUUAAUUGCCCAAUAAGCUUUGUGCUCAAUCUCUACAUGUAGGUGACAAGUUUUCCCAUAGACUAAACGAUACGGCGACAUCCCUAGGGGUGUCUUAAAUGCCGUUCGAUAAGCCCAUAGUGUAUCAUCUAGCUUUGUAGACCAAUCCUUGCGUGAUUUAUUCACAGUUUUCUCCAAAAUGAGCUUUAUCUCUCUAUUAGCCAGCUCUGCUUGUCCAUUGGCUUGAGGAUGAUAUGGAAGUGAUGUCUUGUGCCUACAACCAUAUUUAAACAAUAAGGAAUCCAAUUGUUUGUUACAAAAAUGUUUCCCUUCAUCACUUACUAUGGCCUUGGGUAUACCAAAUCUACUGAAAAUAUUCUUUUUAAGCAAUCUAAGUACAAUCUUAGAGUCAUUAGUAGAUGAAGCGAUUGCUUCUACCCAUUUAGAAACAUAAUCCACUGCUACUAAGAUGUACUUAUUAUUAAAAGAACUAGGAAAUGGUCCCAUAAAAUCAAUACCCCAUACAUCAAAUAACUCAACUUCCAAGAAUGUAGUCAGGGGCAUUUCAUUUUUUCGAGAUAUAUUUCCAGUUCUUUGGCAUGCAUCACAAUUUUUAACAUAUUCCCUAGCAUCUCGGUACAUAGUUGGCCAAUAAAAUCCUGAUUGCCAUACCUUUGCCACAGUCUUUGAAGUACUGAAAUGACCACCUGUUUCAAGGUUAUGACAAUGAUAUAAAACAUUAUGUACCUCAUCUUCAGGAAUACAUCUACGUGUCAUACCAUCGGCACAAUGUCUGUAUAGCAAUGGUUCCUCCCAAAAGUAACUUUUGACGUCAUGUAAGAAUUUCUUCUUUUGAUGAUAAUUGAACUCCUUUUGAAUCUCUCCACUGACCAAGUAGUUAGCAAAAUCUGCAUACCAUGGAGAAUUUCUAAGUGCUAGGACAAACUCAUCCGGAAAAUUCUCUUGAAUUGGAACCUGAUCUUUGAUUGGGAUAUAUUCCAAAAGUGAUAAAUGAUCUGCAACUAGAUUCUCCGAUCCCUUUUUGUCUUUUAUCUCCACAUCAAAUUCCUGCAAUAAAAGAAUCCACCGAAUUAGUCUAGGUUUUGCAUCCUUCUUAUGCAGCAAAUAUUUAAGAGCUGAAUGGUCCGUAUAUAUAAUAACUUUAGAUCCUACUAAAUAGGAUCUAAAUUUGUCCAAAGCAAAUAUCACUGCCAAUAGCUCUUUUUCUGUUGUUGCAUAAUUGAGUUGUGCCUCAUUUAGCAACUUGCUAGCAUAGUAAAUGACGUGCAAUCGUCCUUCCUUCUUUUGUCCCAAAACUGCUCCAACCGCAUAAUCACUUGCAUCACACAUCAAUUCAAAUGGUAGUGACCAAUCGGGUGAAGUUAUAAUUGGGGCCGAAAUCAAUUCCUUUUUCAACCUUUCAAAUGCAACCAAACAAUUGUCAUUAAAUUGAAAAGGAGUAUCUUUGCAUAAUAAAUCACAUAAUGGCUUUACUAUUUUAGAAAAAUCUUUAAUAAAACGUCUAUAAAAGCCAGCAUGUCCUAAAAAACUCCUUAUCCCCUUGACAUUGCUUGGGGGUGGCAAUUUUUCGAUAACUUCUAUUUUGGCUUUAUCCACCUCAAUUCCCUUGGAGGAAAUCUUGUGCCCUAAGACAAUUCCUUUUUUUACCAUAAAAUGGCAUUUCUCCCAAUUCAGUACAAGAUUUAUUUCCUCGCAUCUCUGCAAAAUCAAUUCCAAAUUAUGAAGACAAUGGUCAAAAGAUGAACCGUACACAGAAAAAUCAUCCAUAAAUAUCUCCAUAAUUUUCUCAAUAUAAUCAGAAAAAAUAGCCAUCAUGCAUCGUUGAAAAGUUGCAGGAGCAUUGCAUAAACCAAAUGGCAUCCUUCUAAAGGCAAAAGUGCCAUAAGGACAUGUAAAUGUGGUCUUCUCUUGAUCCUCUGGAGCUAUAGCUAUUUGAUUAUAUCCUGAAAAACCAUCAAGAAAACAGUAAAAUUCAUAUCCGGCUAUUCGCUCCAAUAAUUGAUCAAGAAAUGGCAGGAAAAAAUGAUCUUUUCUUGUUACCGUAUUCAACUUACGAUAAUCAAUACACACUCUCCACCCUACCACAAGUCUAGAUGGAAUUAAUUCAUCAUUUUUACCUAUGAUUGUAGUUAUUCCACCUUUCUUUGGUACCACAUGAAUUGGACUAAUCCAAACACUAUCUGAGAUAGGAAAGACUAUACCUGCAUCAAGCCACUUAAGAAUUUCAUUUCUUACCACCUCUUUCAUGUUUGGAUUGAGUUUUCUUUGUGUUUCUACCACUGGUUUGUAAUUGUCCUCCAAUAAAAUGCGAUGCAUGCAUAUUGAAGGACUUAUACCUUUAAUGUCAGCAAUUGUCCAUCCCAUUGCCUUCUUAUGCUUCCUUAAAACUCUUAGCAACUUUGUACACUGCUCAUCAUCAAGGUCAGCACUAACAAUUACACGUAAAGUACUAUUUUCUCCAAGAAAUUCAUACCUUAGAUGAGUUGGAAGUGGCUUAAGCUCUAACCUUGGAGGUUCAAUUUCUGAAGGUUGUGAAAACCCUUUUCCUUGGCCAAGAUUUUCAUACAAAUUACCCCUUUUAUAAGGUGCUUGAAAAUCCAAGUACUUGGCCAAUUCUUCAAUUUCUUCAAAAACAUUUUCUUGCUUACCUAAACUCAUUAAACAAUACUCAAGAGGAUCUAAAUCAAGGUUGACUUGACUCAUCUCUUGGGUUAGUUUAUCAAUUGUGCCAAUAGAAUAAGCAUGAUCAGUAAAAGAAGGGUAUUUUUCCAUUUCAUUCAAAUUAAAUUCUACUUCUUCUUCACCUACUUGAAACUUAAGCUUGCCAUUUUUUACAUCAAUAAUAGUACCUGCAGUAGCUAAAAAUGGUCUACCUAGAAUAAUUGGCAUAGAUAUAUCUUCUUCCAUAUCUAAUACCACAAAAUCCACUGGAAUGAUAAAUUUUUGAACUUUUAUCAAUACAUUCUCCAACACUCCCAAUGGAUAUCGAAUAGACCGAUCCGCUAGUUGCAAAGUAAUAUUUGUGCGUUUAAGUUCAUGCAAACCCAAUUGUCUAGCCACUGUUAAAGGUAUUAAUGAUACACUAGCACCAAAAUCACACAAUGCUUUAGAAAAAUCAACAUUACCUAUGGUGCAAGGUAUAGAAAAACUCCCUGGAUCCUUCAACUUUGGUGGUAGCUUAUUUUGAAUAAUUGCACUACAUUCCUCCGUUAGUGCUAUUGUUUCGCAGUCUUCCAACUUUCUUUUUCUAGUCAUGAUUUCCUUGAGAAAUUUCGCAUAAGACGGAAUCUGCAAAAUAGCAUCGGCAAAAGGAAUGUUAAUGUGCAAUUGUUUGAAAAGUUUAACAAAAUUUUCAAAAUCUUUAUCAAACUUAUUUUGCUUUAAUCUUUGUGGAAAUGGAACCGCAGGGGGUAUUGGAAUGGUAGCGGAAGAUGAUGGUCGAUUUUUUCUUGAUUCCUCCCGGCUACUUUCCUCCACUAUCGCCUCUUGGUUCCUAUGCUUUUCUUCUUGUUUUUCAUUCUCAUCUUUCUUAACUUCCACCACUGGAGGAUCUUUUAAUUGCUUACCACUACGAAGAGUAAUGGCUUUGACAUGCUUCUUAGGAUUUACCUCCGUUUUGCUAGGUAAUUCUCCUUGAUUACGAUUAUUCAAAGAACUAGCAAUUUGACCAAUUUGGACCUCUACAUUCCUGUACAUUGUAGUGAGUUGGUCCAAUCUUCCUUCUACUCGCUCAAAUCUGUCUGAAGUAACUUUUGCGAGCUUUUCCACUGCCAUCUCCCAACCAGGUUUAGUUUCAACUUGUUGUUGCCUUGAUUGAAAUCCCGGUGGAUUGGCUGGCCUUGGUUGAUUUCCUUGAUCCUUCCAUCCAAAGUUUGGAUGAUUUCUCCACCCCGGAUUGUAAGUAUUCGAGUAGGGGUUAUUUUGAGCAUUACGAUUGUAAUUAUUAACGAAUUGUACCUGCUCAGAAUCAACACACUCAUUAGUAUCAUGUUCACCUCCACAUAUAGAACAACAUGCUACAUGUGCAUUAGAUGAACUUGGACCAACUCCACUUUGUCUACUUAGCAACUUCAUCACAUUAUUCAUUUGAGUACUCAGCAUAUUGAGAGUGUCCAUUUCUAUCAUACCUGCGUGACGUCUUGUAUUACCUCUCUCAUUGGCCCAUUGGUAGUUGUUUGCAGCCAUUUCUUCUAUCAAAUUCUGAGCUUCUUGGGGUUAUUUACCCAUUAAAGCUCCACCUGCAGCUGCAUCGAUCAUAGUUUUAGUAGAAAAAACUAAACCAUUAUAGAAGGUUUGUAUGAUUAACCACUCCGGCAGUCCAUGAUGUGGACAUUUCCGAAGCAAAUCUCUAAACCUUUCCCAUGCCUCAUAUAAUGAUUCACUUUCUAAUUGGCAAAAACUAGUGAUAUCCAUUCUAAGUUUAGCAGUCUUACCUGGUGGAAAAUACUUAUUUAAGAAUACUCUUGAUAACUCAUCCCAUCCAGUGAAAGUAUUAGGAGCAUGAGAGUGUAACCAAAGUUUGGCCUUAUCUCUCAAUGAAAAUGGGAACAAUCUUAGCCUUAUAGCAUCAUCACUAACUCCAUUCAUUUUAAUUGUAUCACAAAUUUCCAAGAAUGUAGCUAAGUGUGUAUUAGGGUCUUCUACUGCAUUACCUCCAAAUUGAGAUUGUUGAACCAUUUGGAUAAGUGCUGGUUUAAUCUCAAAAUUGUUAGCAUUUACCGUAGGCCUUACUAUACUCGUUUGAGAUCCUUGUGUUCCCGGUAGAGCAAAAUCUCGUAGAACUCGCCUAUGUGCUUCGUUUUCUGCCAUGUCUUCUUCAAAUGGAAGCUCUAUUAAGAUAUCUUCUAUUGGCUGCCAAACCUCUUGUUUCUCUUGAUGUGAUGUACUCCUCCUUUGUCUGUGUAAUGUUCUUUCAAUUUCAGGAUCGAAAUGUGCAACUUCUCGAUUUGAUCGGUGCAUACACUACAGACAAAAACAAGAGAAAUUUUGCAGUUUAAAUUCAACAACUUGAAAUAAUAAAAAAAAAUGAAAAUAUCUAAAGUAAUAGAGAUGAUUAGGCCCUAAUAUUGCCGCUCCCCGGCAACGGCGCCAAAAACUUGACGGGAUAUUUGUAUCUAUACAAGUUUAAUUCCGAUUUUACACCCGUUGGACUGCAAGUAUACAGGUCGCAAUUGUAGUACAAGAUGUGUAUCGGGUCGAUCCCACGAGAAGCAAUUUAAACAAUUACUAAGCCCUUGUUCUCUCUAUUAUUUAGACUUACAAUUAAUUUGAGCAGAGAAAGUCUAAUGCUGUAAUCUACAAAUCUGAUAUACAAAUCUAGUUUAACAAAUACUGAGUACAAAUAGAGAAAUUUUACUUAAGGAAGAUUCUAGGGAUGUAGAUUCCACUUAUGGCAUAAACUACACAAAUGAAUGGAUUUACUCCUUGCUAUUAUUCUUGCUUAACCAGAGAUUUAUUUCCAAGAAUACCAAGUCUCAUUUUCAUGAUGAAAUGGCUUAGAGCAAUAUAGAUUUCCCUAUUUUCAUGGUGAAAUAUUCUACUACUCCGUUUUAUUUCAUGAAAUGCUCAAUAAUCCACCUAAGUGUAUCUCUAUUUUCAUGAACAUACAACUCAAGCUCUACUCAUGUAUUUCAAUUGUUAUUACCAAUUCUCAUUGAAUAAUAACACUAUAAAUAUGCUAUUGGUGAUCAAUCAACAACACGUAAUCACAGCUACACAAGUAGACAAGUUACUACAAGAUAUAACAAGUGUAAAUCACAUUCCAUUCAUAUUAUUUAACCAUAAGCUUCAUCUACUCCCUAGAUUAAGGGGUUUAGCUACUCAUGAAUGAUUUAAUAAUCAAACUCACAAGUUUAUUAAUGCCAAACAUCAUGAAGUACAAGUACAAGAAAGAUAAAAGAAAGCUUAGCCACUUGAAGGUGAAGCUCUCCAAUUCCUGCUAUGCUCUUGCACAAUAUGAUUACAAGUAAAAACUCCAAGUACUUCUCCAAGAACUCCUAUCUAGAGAGAAACUAGAUACCAGAAAGAAAACUAGUUACGUAUGGUAAUCCCUCUUCUCCCCAAUCUUUCUGCAUAAAAAUGUGGUAGAAAUUCCAUUCCUCUCACUUCAUAAUUUCUUCCACUCAGAUUUUGUAAAAAGAGGUCAAAGAUAUGAUGUCUCCUUUUGUCCACAUUCAUUUGGUCUUCUCUUUUGUUGCAGAAGCAUGUGCCACCGAUUUCUGUCCCUCAAAAUAGCUGGAAAGUUAUGAAAAAGGUAAAGAAAAACGGCUAUGGCACUUGCUGAGGAGAGAGACAGAUCCGAGCCUCGGAUCCGAGGAGUGAAAAUUGGAUCCGAGCUCGGAUAUUAGGAUCUGAGGGCUUCCAUGAUGGAUCCGAGGUCGGAUCGUCCUGACCUCGGAUACACUCCGCCAGAAGUACAGACUAGGGGUCGGAUCCCUCUUGUACACACAGAUCCGUGCUCGGAUCUGUGUUGAACAAUUUUCCAGUUUUUCACUUCUUCCCUUUUUCUACAUUUUUGCUCCCAAUUUCUUGUGUACUUUGUCUUCUGAAUGACCCUGACAUUUCUUUCAACUUGUGCAUGAAUUUCAUACAUCAAUUACCUUCACAAUUUCACAAAAUUAACGCAUUAAUCCACUCAUUUAUUAAUUUCUGAACUCUUAAACAAUAUUUAAGCAAUUAUCACCAAAAGAGUUCAAAUAUGGCUUUAAUCUUCUCAAAACAUACCAAAAAUUCAUGCCAAAUUCGUACAAAAUGUACGUUAAAUAUUCACUUAUCAAGGAACCUCUUUAGGAAUUUGAUUGGUAUUAGGAAACCAAUCAAUUAAGCAAUUUGGCAGGGAGAAUUCAGCAUAUAGCUCUUGCUUAGGAACAAAGCAUAGUUAUUCUUGUUUUCUUGACCGAUUGACAAGAAGACAAUUGGAAAGCUUCGAACAGAUUUUUGCAUGGCUUGUUCUCCAUUAAUGGAGAACUAAUUUCAUAUUUCUAGUCAAGGGGACAAUUGAAGAUUUGGUUCAACAAUAACUGUGAGAUCUAAAUUAUUUUAAUUGCUUCUUUCAUUCAUUGGUAUUUAUAUGUUUUUUGCUUUUAAUGGCUAUGACUACUGUGUAUGAUUGAAUAGUUGCGCAAUAUUUAAUUAUUCACGUAGUCUAUUUGCUAAUUGGGGGUAGUUGAAUCCGUAAUUGUUUGAUUACUCCAUCCCGGUAGCAACUAGCAUGAUUGGUUUCAUGUUAGGAAAACGUAUGAUAUAACUUAAAUGAACCCUCGUAGUGUGUUUGUUGGUUAGAGUUGGGCUUUUCCAAUUCUUAUUGCAAUCGAAAAAUGAAAUCCUAUGAUCGUAUUUAGGGUUAUUUCUUGUUUGGUGAAAUAGUUAAUGAUCAUACCUUAACUAUCGAAAAAGUAAGGAAAGGCUGGUUGUUUAUCGCAUGCAUGACAACUAUAACCAAUCUAUUAAUGAGUAAUUGAAUUAUCUUUGCAUCGAUGAUCAGUUGAAUGAACCGUGUCUGAAAAGUUGCACCUUUGAUUAGAAUCGUAUUGGUUAUUGAUUAAUUCAUGUUUAUUUCUGUUAGUUGUUUCAUUAGUUAGUUAAUUAGUUAUUUUAUAUUCUCCAAAAACCCCCCAUACUUCAGACCCUGGAAGAAACGAAUUAUCCCCAAUCCCUGUGGAUUCGACCCUACUUGCCCAAUAUACAAAUUAGAGAUUUUUCGUGAAUAAAUUCUGGUAUAUCGGAUUUAGCAAACUCUUCGGAACCAGGAUGAAUCUAGUAACCCAUUGCACAUCUAGAGUCCCUGCUCCAGUACCAGAAUUGACACGAAGUUGCUUCCGUUGGCAAUUAGGAUUAUUAAUAUUAUUAUUACACAGACUCGAUACCUGUCAAUACUCACCUAACAAACCUCCACCCGAGGAAAUUUUUUUUUAAAAAAAUCUACAUUAGGGUAUACAUUAGCAGAAAAUGAAAAAAAAAAAAAACUUUAGACUGCAAUCUAGUAACAUGUGUCCCAGGUGCACAAAGAAAUUGAAACAUAUAGAGCUUUGAUUGUCAAAAGUAGCACUAGUACUCCUCGGAGUUUAAUUCAAAUACAGAUGAUCAAAUAUGAGUGACGCCUUGCGCAUAGCGGCAAUAGAAAACUAUGAAAGGAUAUGCCACGGUGUGUCAGCCAACCGUCUUUAGAGUUGAAAUUCUUUCAGGAGCUUCUGUGAUUGUAUGGUUUUGUAAUCUAGCAGCAUCAGAUUUUGUGAGGCGAUGCGUUGAUGAAACUUGGGUAUUGGUAUUCAAUCCCAAGAUCUUUCAUGUAAAAUGACUCGGAUGCGGCAAAAGCCUUGGAUUCUCUGCUCCGGUCAACUUGAAAUUGGACUAGUCCCAGCACUUUAGGAAGUUGGUUAUUAGCACAUUUAAAUUUUUAUACUAAUUGUAGUAAGUAAUAUUUGGAGGGACCAUAAGUUCAGGUUGAAAAGAGGCAUGGUGAAAAUCUUUCCAAAUACAGACCCUACUACUUGUACAAAUAAAAGAGAGAACAAAAAUAUAUAACCCAUUAACACAUACUAAAAGUUUUUACAGCAAUUACAUGGUGAAUUCAUUAAAUUAGGCAUUUGGUUGACUUUGACAUGUGUGUCAAGUCAAAACAUUGUCAAAAAUUGCAACUUAUUGUAUACUGAUUUACUCGGCAAAAAUAAAUUUAGUUAAUUAUUUAUUGAUAGGAAAAAACUUUUAAAAUUUUGUUUUUCUUAAUAGAUACAUCGAAUGCCAUUGUUAAUCUCCACGUACUUUGAGGCACCAUUAUUGCCAACCUUGCGUCUAAGCAUUUAUCCAUACAAAAAUAGGUGAUUUUAAAAGCUAAAGACAUUUUUCAACCUUUAAAUGUAUUUUAAUAUGCAUAAACAACACGCUUAACCGCAUGUAUUUAUAAACUUUGCCACUGGAUAAUGCCUAAUUGGCCGUAACAAAUGAAGUUUCGGUACUUGAGGUGACGCACUAGUGAAACCAUGCAUUCCAGGGAUAAGAAUUAAACUUGGAAAUCUGAAAGAUAACUAAAGAAUAAAUAUUAGAAUCAAUAAUAUAAAAAAAAAAAGUUUCCAAAUCAAAUCAAAAUUAUUGAAAAUUGACCAAAGCUCAAAUCCAAAUCAAAUAAAUCCUUACACGUUAAACCCACGAGAAACCUGUUAUCAAGAGGUGCAAUUACCACUUGAUAAAACUCCAAUGUAGCUAUCACCUCGUGGAUCACACAUAUGUUGGGUCCUCUUAAUUAUUUUCAGUUGGUACGAAAUCAUUCAGAUAUGAUUUCCGUGACAAAUUCUGAGUGUAACGCAAUAUUCACCUCAACCAGUUGAGACAUUGUCUGAUAACCAUGAAAUUUGACUCUCCAAUUCUUGGGUUUUGCCUCUCUCUUUAUAAGGUGUAGAAUGUGGGUUUUCUUUCGAAUGAACCUGGUUCUAAAGAAUGCUAACUGGCUGACAAUUGCGGAAGUUUUUGUGCAUAUCUCUACCAUGAAGCCAAUCAAAAUGUGAAUGGACUAGACAUAAAGGGCAGUAGUUUAAAAUUUGUAGUGAAAUUAACUUAAUUACCUCAAUGGGAUUGAACUAAAAAAUGCAAUCUUCUAUUCAGACAAAAUUCAUAAGUUCUAAGUUCAUUAAGAAAGAUCAAUGCCUGUCAUAUUAAUGCAAAAUUAUUGAUAACAACAAGAAGGAUACUUUUAGAGGUGACAUAGUCUAGAGUCCAUGCAUCUAACCCACUCUCUUGACAUAGAUCGGAGUUCAGUGAGCGUUAAACUCAAGUCCAUUGGCCAAAAAAAAAGAAAAAAAAAAAAAAGACUCAAGUCUAUUCAAAAAACCAAACAUUGGACUCCAAACCAGUGAUGUCGAAUUGAUUAUCCAUGGACGCUAAAACCGCCAGAAACAAGUCAUCAAGAGGUGAAACUACCACAUACGACAAUACCCAAUUAUUUAGCAAAUCAAGGAUAAGGAUUAGGACUGUCAAUGGGGCUGAGCCAGCCCGAGCUCGGCUCGUUCGGCCCGACAGAAAACCCGAUGAGCCCUAUCAUUUAGUGAGUCGGUCUGAGCUUGAGCCUAAAAAUUAGGCCCGAAUUAAAUGUGAGCCGAGCUUGGGCCUUAUUAGGCUCAAACCCGAUAUAGGCCCGACCCUUUAAUUACCUAUAUAUAUAAUAUUUAUAUUUUGAUAUUAUGUAUAAUUAUAUAUCCAAAUAUAUUUUUACUAAAUACUAAAUAUAUAUAUAAAUUACAAAACACAAAAAUACAUCUAAAGACUCUUUCAUGAGCUUUCUUGAGAGCCAAUAUUAGUAAUGCAUAACUAAAUCUCUAAUUUUUCUUAUUGGUUGAGUAAAUUUUUGUAUUGGCAUAUUAUUGGUUGAUUUUUUUUUGGUCUACAAACACAAAAAUCAUCAAGCAUGUUCGGAUUUAAAUCACAAGAUUAUAAAAAAAAAGUUUCAACUUUUAAAGAUGCAUUGGCUUAUGAUCGCAUGUUUUAUUACUAUUUUUCAUGCAUUUUAAAAGGAUUAAAUAUAAAUAUUGUUGAAAAUUUUUUUGGUUUAUAUACUUUUUAAGAACUAUUAUUUGUUCAUGUUUAGUUUUAAUAUUAUAGUCUUGUAUAUGUUAAAUUAGUUUUACAACUUAAUAGUUAUAGUAAUUAUAUUAAGAAAAUUAAGGAGUAAUAAGUGAGCAUGGGCUAAACCCGAUUAAGGCUCACAACCCAAAUAUUAUAUGAGCUAAGUAUGAGUUUCACAUUUACGAACCCGAAACUCAUAGCCCGAAGCCCAAAAAUGUUUCAAAUUAAAUGAGUUAAACUUGAACUCAUCAAAGCCCGGCUCAUUAGGCCCGAUUGACAGGCCUAAUAAGGAUCAGACAAGUAUCAGGGUAUUAAUAGUCCUCUAUAUUAUUUAUUUGCAGCUGGUACGAAGUCAAUUAAUCAGAGAUACCCACCAAAUGACACAACUUAAGACUUGAAGGAAAAAUAUGAUUGCUGAAGAAUCGUUAUCAGAAUCAAAUCAUUGCACCUUAAAUACAACUUUUUUGGAUUCAGUUAGGUUUGCAUCGAGGUGGAGAAGAUCUCAAUUACAUACAAGCAAUUAACAGCAGAAGAAACAUAGCUUUAAUAUCUGAUUCUAGUAAUGGUUUCUGGCAAAGAAUACGUUGUCCUUCACGAGUAAUGUUUCUAGAAACAAUCUUUAUAUUUUUUGUGUUUAAAAUAACUUGAAGAAUACGGCAAAAGUAAACUUUGGUUUGUGGACUGAUGAGUAAACACUAUGAAAUGAUGAGUAAACAUCAACACUAUAUGUCUGGAAAGAGAGGAAUUACAUUAUUUUUAGCAACAAGGUUACUAAAAUUGGGGGUUAUUAUAACUUUAUCCCUUUAAACUAUAGUGCUAAUAUCAAUUUACCUUUUUAACAUUAUUUUGCAGGCAUUUGACCUCGCAGUUAUUCUCCUUUUUCAUUCUAAGAGGACCAAGAAAAAAUGUAAAAGGGUUCCCUUUUCUUUUUCAUUCUCAACUAUUAAGAAAAAAAAAAAGAAAUUGAAUAGAGGUUGACAGAAAACUCAAUUUCAGAAAAAAGGAAAAUAAAGAAGAAUCCAAUAUUAUAAUUAAUUUAAAAUAAGUUAGAGUGGGCGGUAGGGGUGAAGAGUAAGUAGUAAUUUUAAAAUAAUAAGCACAUUGGAUUCUGUAUUAUUUUUAUUUUCUUUUUUAAAAUUGAGUUAUCUCUCUAUUUUCUUAUUUUAAGUAUUGAUAAGUACACGAGGAAAAAAAGAAGAAGACAUUUUUUUGACUUUUUUCCCCUUGUUAUUAAAGAGGGUGGAAAAAAGGGAGAAGACACUUUUUUAUUUUUUUUCUUGGUAUUAAAAGGGUGAAAAAGGGGGAAAAAACCAUUCCAAUUUUUUUAAAAUUUUUAAUCAUACAGGAGAGGGAUGUAUUUCUUCUAAAAUAUUAGGUAAAUUAUAUAUAAUUUCCUGUGUUUUCAUCUAUUGCCACAUGAUUCCCAAAACAUUUUAGGGUUUUAUGCGGCUGAUGUAAGGGAAAAAAUUCAUAUUAAUACCUCAAAUUUCCCUUAAGGAGUUUUUAUAUUUAAAUCAAAUUAUUCAAUGAAUAUAUUUUUGUUUUUCUCCUAGUCUCAAAGAGUCUUGCCUCAGGCCUAAAUCAUUUCCGCUAUAUUCCUUUGGCCAAAUUUACAAUCGUAUAUUUGUGUUUGUAGCCGUUGAUUGAACUUUAGUCUUAGGAAAAAUGAUAACAAAUGGAAAGAGUGAGAUACAAGUCAAUUAAAAAACAUGAUUAACACUAGAAUUUGUGAGACAUGGAGACUUGGAUUAUAAAAAGGAUAAGAAAACUUGAAUAGGUGAAAAAAGGUGCAUUAAAACUAUACGAAAGAAGUAGCAUAACAGUGAUAUAGUAUUUGGUGAUGAGCAGAUUCUUGGUGAUAUGUUUUUUAAGUUUGAUAGGCAUUUUAUUACUUUUGGGAAGAUUAUUAUAAUCAUUUUGAGUCCUUAAGAAAAGCAUGGAAGUAUAAUAUUUGAAUAUAGAGGUGGGCAACGUGAGAUUAUCAGAAAUCUUAGAAGAAGUUUUUGAAAUUAUCCUUUGCUGUAAUACUAUUCUUUUUUUUUUCUACUUUGUGAUUAUUGAUUUCCACAUUCACACUCGAAAUGCUAAGGCAAAAAGCAAAAUUCAAGUAGUGGGUUGGUGGCUCAGCUCAUAUGAUUCUGAAAUACAACGAUUUAUUGGGCACAUUCUACCCAGUAUUGUCUGUUGGCAGAUUUGGAAAGCAAGGAAUAAAGCAAUGUUUGAGGAUAUUCAGAUGAGGCCGCUUGCCAUUUGUCGUGCCAUUUUCUCGGAAAUCCAGACCAUUGUGGGAAUUUAUUUCAAACAAGUGUUCAGAGUACAGUCAUUUCAUCAUUUGUAUGAUUGGUCGUAUUCUUCUCAUACUGAGGUUACAUACAAACUUGUUCGUUGGGAAGCAAAGGAAUCCGAUCGGUUCAUAUUAAAUACGGAUGGCUGUUCUAAGGGCAAUCCAGGGAGUGAGUGGAGGCGGUGGGGUUCUUCGGGAUUCAAAUGGCAUACCUUUGAUUGGCUUUUCGGCAUAUCUUGGGGAAACUACAAGUCUAUGUGCAGAGGUUCGGGCACUCCUUAUUGGGCUUCAAACUUGUGUACAUAGGGGUUUUCAAAAUCUCUAUGUUCAAUCGGAUUCUUUAUUAUUAGUUGGAAUUCUUCAGAAUCGCAUUCAAUGCCCCUGGAAGAUUCGACGAGAGAUUAGGCAGAUUUGGCAGUUGGUGAAAGAUCCUGAUCGUUUUUCGCAUUGCUAUAGGGAAGCUAACAAAGUUGCUGAUGCGCUGUCCAAUGUGGGCGUAUUUCAUCCAGAGCAUCAAGUCAAGCUUUACGAGGCCUUUAAUUCGUUCCCAACUAUGGCUCGUGGGGCCAUUCGACUUGAUAGAUUAGGAAUGCCUUCAAUUCGGAAAAGUAAGCGUAUGAAGGGCUGAGAACAAAGGACAACUGGAGCUAAUAUGCGGUUGCGGUUGCGGUUGAAUGAGACAUGGAGGUUUUGUGUGCUUUAUUACCUUUUCAGUCGAUUGCUGUACUUCGAAUUGGUCUUUCUCAAUGUGUAAAAUUUGCUCCUAUCAAUAAAAUAAACUAAUAUUUAAUUAAAAAAAAAAGCAAAAUUCAAGGAUGAAAAUGAAAAAAAAAAAAAAAGACAAGGUUAUAAACAUAGGGAAAGACUCUAUAUUUGAUUAAUGCUAAAAUAUUAUAAAAUGAUUAUAGAAUUUCUUUUUCAUUUUUUAUGAGUGACAUUUUUAUUAAGAAAAUUUAGUAGGGGAAUGAUGGGAUUUAAAAAGUGAAAAAAGAACAAAGAGAUCAAAAUUCAGGAUCUCUAAUUCUUGGGAGUAACAUGAUAAUAUUAUUUCUAAAAAUCCAAUAUCAAAUCCUAUUGGUGUAAUAUAAAGGAAUUUGGAUGAUUGAAGUGUUUAAAAUAUAAAAUACUUCUAAAUUAUAAUAUCUUAUUCAUUAGUCGAAUGUGGAAUCUUAUGUUUGUUGCCCCUUUCUUUUUUGCUUUGGAUUUGGGUUUUGAACUUUGAGUAUGAAUUGAGUAAGAUUAUAGCAUGAGAAGGUUCAUCAUGUUCAUUUAAUUAAGGUCUUCCUGCAUUUAAAAUGGGAGCUUACAUGACAAAAAAAAAAAGAUUAAAAUGGUAAUAAUUUACAAAAGAGCAUCAUAGUGGGAACAUUUUUCCUAAAAAAGGUCAUUUCAGAACUAAAUUCCGUGAAUCCAUGGUUUCAUGUGGGGUUUCUUUUCAUGGACGUGAUUAACAUCAUGUCUCUUAUCAUUUCGAUGAGGAUUAUUAACAUCCAAGUCCUAGAGCCUGAUUGCAUUAGUACUAUCCUUGGCCUUGGGUAUAAUAUCACAAGUUCCUCCCUGUAAAGGUUGCAAUGCGUUUUAAGAGAGUGAGAAUUAAGUAUAUCACGGGAAAAAAAAAAUUAAUGGCAAAGUAACUUACCAGAACAACCAACAGAUGGAGGAGGAUAAUCCAACAAGCAAGUCCUUUGGAAUCCAUCAAUUGGUAGGUUUUAUAUCCCUUGCAACUCCUCCUUUGAAGGAUUAGGCAACAGCAGAAGCAAAUGCCAAAUAUUACAUAUCGAUGAAAAGUGUGCUUGAUUAGAAGGUUCUUUUUCAAAUAGUCGAUUAAAAUAUGACCCCUUGACAGAUAGUGUUUCUUAUUGAGGUUGAAAAAUGAACCAAAUUAUUUGAUACUCAAAUCAAAUUUGGCUAAAGAAAAGUUUGUUUGAACUUAGUUUGCCAACUAAUCAAUUUAAAAUUUAAGAAGUAUUAUUAUGUGUUAGAUUAACUAUCAAAUUUGGCAUUAACUUGGCUUGAUUAACAUAAAAUUAGAAUUUACAAGUAAAAAAUUCAAGUUACUCAAGUUCGACUCAUGCUCGAUUCUAUAAAAAAACUCAUUUGAGUUUGGCUUAAUUAAUAAACAAGUCAAAUUUGAAGACCUUCCUCUUAAAAAAAUUUUUAAAAAAUCAAGUUUGAGUACAGUUUUAAGUUUAUUAAAUAAUCUAACAAGUUUGAAUACUAGAACAUUGAAUCUAGUAGACCUACACAAAAUCACUAAAUUUAUUUUAGACCAUAACUGUAGAUUGUUUAGAAAAAAAAGGACCAAAAUGUAGACCUACCCACGUGAUGCAAACCAACCAGCCACGUGAUCCAUGCUGUAACCUUGCUAGCUUCACUUAGCUAUCGCCUUGUAUAAAUAGCCGUAUAGCCCCCAAGAGUCUUUUCACCACCAAAGUUACAUUUUGAGGCUUGUCAUAGGCAAGGCAUGGCUUCAUCUAUCACUCUGAUCGCAGUCUUUUCAAUUGCCCUGGUAAGGUUUCUCAACCAUCAAUACUGUACUUGAAGUAGUAGUUCAUACGAGAUAAUUGCUAGACUGUAUAGGAAUACUGAUGAAACCCGUGAAUUAAAGCUACCUGAGAAAACACAUUCUUCUUCCUUUUUGCACAUUCAUCUGCAGCUCUAACCAUCGCCACUGAAGGAAUGGAAGCUCUUCAGAUGGCUCUGUAGUUCUAUUCUGAUAAAAUCUUGACUUCCAAACAUUACCAAUGCUGGUACCAUACUUAAACGUCAAUGUAACUUGAGUAAUGGCAUAUGACACUAUUUACCAUUUUUUAGUUGGAGGAUUCAUCCGGGAAAGCUUGAAGGUCAAAUCAAUACCUUAAAAUCAACAAAUGAAUAUUCCUGUUGCCAGUUGAGCUCGUAUUUGGACAUAACUAUCCUUCCCUACAAGGGGUCAUCUUUUACAGUGCUACCAUCAACGUACCUAUAUGGCUAUAUUGACGUUAGUUUCUUUUAUGGUGAUAUUUGCACUAAUGUGCAGUUUGGAUGCAUCACGGAAGCAAGGAAGAAUCCUACGGACUUUUUGCAAUCUGCUGUCAUUAAUGAGCAUACUGAGGACAAUCACCAUGCAGAGCCGUCCCCUUCCAAUCAGAAGAAGACAACUAAUGGUAACACAUUGAAA
rnacentral:lncRNA from 1 species